UAGCUGAUCCUCGUCCCUUUCAGUAGUCAUACCUUGUAUAUACUUUCACUACCAUCAUUCCCCCCACGCUUCAUUGAUUCAUCACCAUCCAAAACUCUCUCUCUCUCUCUCUCUCUCUCUCUCUCGUUGUAGGAAGUUUGAUGUGAGAGAAGAUAUGAUCAGAGAACCAUUGAUAUCCUGAGCUUCAACAGUUAUUAUAUAGAGUAAUUUUAGGGGGACUAAAUUUUUUAAAUCAAAUUUGCAAACUAAAUAAUGUGAUUGUAGAUGAUUGGAUUAUUAAUUAAGUAUCAAUUAACGUGUUUGUUUCUUAUUGGUAAAGUAUCAUUUGGUUUGUAAUUUGAUUUGAAAAUUUUAAUCUUCCUAACAUUACUCUACUUUAUAUUAUUGUGUGUGAUCUCCAUGGACAAGUAUAUCGCUAGGGUUAAUAUUACUCAUGGUGAUAAAGAAGGCCUGACAAUAGUGUUGUUCUUGUAGCUUAGCUAUCUACUUAUACAUCAACAUCCAUAUACUCACAACUGAUGCACACCCUGAUGGUCCCCAAUCCCCUCUCUCUCUCUCUCUCUCUGUCCGUGUGUGUGUGUGUGUAUCUGAUCGACAACUUGAAUUAUUGUACCAUAUGUCGUUGGAGAAAAUUAAAAAAAAAUAUUUCUACAAUGCAUGGUGUGUGUCUCUUCAAUGCACAUCACAUUACGACUUCCCUACCCAACACAAAAGAAGAAUUAAAUUAAUCGUAGAAAAUAAAACAAAAUAAAUUUCUACAAUGCAUGGUGUGUGUCUCUUCAAUGCACAUCACAUUACGACUUCCCUACCUAACACAAAAGAAGAAUUAAAUUAAGGGAGAUGAUUUGCACAGGUCAUUUAUUGCUUUUCACAAACUACUUUUUAUUUUUAACCAUUAAAUUGAAUAAUGUAAGUAAAAAUAAUGAUCAAGACUAAAUAGAGAUGUGUGAAAGGUUGGAAUAACGUGUAUUUAUCAUUUAUUUAAAUUUAAAAAAAAACCCUAAAUCACUGGGAAAAGUGGGGGAAAAAAAAAAUGGGUGUGCAUGCCGUGGAAGAAUCAGGUAUGUAUUCAGCGGACAGGGAGGUUGGGGACGAUUUGACUAUUUUCCUCAAGUAAAUUAAUGUAAGAGGUAGAUGCCUCGAAAAUUGAAAACAGAUUCUUAAAAAAAAAUUGAUGCAUGGAAGAAGAAGGGUAAAAGAGCAGCUAGCCGGUAAAUGCUGUGAAUAAGUUGAAGUUAUCCUUUCUUUCCGCUCUCAGCUUUCUCUCUCCGAGUCACUUAACAGACACAUGAAUAGAAGAAUAGCUAAUAAAACAUAUGCAUAGAUAGGAUAAGUGGCAUACAAUUUCGAGGCAAAUUGGACGCUUGAUUUCGAUUUGUGCAAAAUGUUUUAUAGUUGGCUAUUCCAUGAAGAAGAUACCCACUAACCAUAGACUUGUAUAUAAAAAUAGGGAAUAUGCAAUGCUCCACGAAUUAGAGGCAUUUUGUCUUCUGCUGAAUUUUCAAAUUGGUUACAAAUUUUGAAUUGUGUAAUGACUUUCUUUUUUUUUUAAGAAUAAAUUUGAUAUUGAUAAGAGAAUGGAUUUUGUAUGUAAUUAUAAGUAAUUGGGCUACUUACCAUACAUCAAUUGAUUUAUAGUGGAACCUCAACUCUUUUUAUGGUAUCAGAACAGGUUGUCUCAUAUGUGAAGUCAACGUCAACACAUGCCAUCUCCACAUCACCAAAUUUGUGCGUAUACUAGGCUUGAAAAUUCGUCACACGUGAGAGUGUUGUAAAGGUAUAAAAGCUCAAGAUCCAGCUCAAGCUCAAGAUGUCUCAGAUAUUGCCACUUGUCAACAGAUUAGGCAAACAAUUGUUAAGUCUGUUAUUACAUGGUUGCUUAGUACUGAUUUGGUACUAAGGUGCUUUUAUAAAAAGUGGGUAUAAAAAAAGCUGAGCUCAAAAAGGUAUUUGGUAAACACUUAAAAACAGCUUAUUUUCACAGUUUUGGAUGAAAAAAAAAACUGAAAACAUGAAGCAGUAAAAAUGAGUUUAUUCUCACAGCACAACAGGAACAGUUUUUUUUCAAAGCACAACAAUAUCAAACCAAUCUCUAAGCAAUGUAGCUUGUAUAAAUAGGAUCCUUGUAAUGAACCGUGAGUUAAUGAAAUAUAACAGAAAGCUUAUUCUCUCUCUCUCUCUCUCUCUCUCUCUCUCUCUCUCUCUCUCUCUCUCUCUCUCUCUCUAAAUCUCCAUUGCUGCACUGCAUACACUUCCUUCUUCUACUUCAUAUCUAUAAGGAUAUGUUAAGAAUGAAUCUCACAUUGAUAAGAAAAUGGAUCUUGCAUGUGCUUAUAUGUAAUUAGAUUACUCUCCAAUAAAUUGUAUUUCAAAUUCUUCUAUGAUCUAGAAGAUCUUAUUCCCGUAGAUUUGUAUUACUUGUGAGGCAAGUAAGCCUACUAAGUUUACUAUAAAUAAAUACAAAAGUGAUGAAAAUCAACAUCACCUAAAUUACCCAAACUCUCUCUUAUGUCGCUGUCCCCUCUCUCUACCUUUCGUUACAUUUAGGCCACAACAAAAAUAAACCUGAGUUUGUAUGAAACCAAAAAAGGACGUUUGUGAUUUUUUUUUUAAUAACAAUAUCGUUAGUAAGUUAAAUUAUUAGUUAUUAGGAAAAAGAAAAAUCGGUAAGAACCCGUAUUAGAGUGCAUAAACAUCAAUCAUUUCUUUACAAGCAUGAAAACGAAAACAUUGACUUUUAUAGCAAAACCCAAUAUAAAAAAGGAAUACAUAGAUUUUUUUUUUAAAUAAUUAAUAUUUUAAUUGUCCAUAAUUAAUAAUAUGUAUAUCAAAAUUUUAUAGUGCUCCGAAAUAUAAAAUACUAUUUAACUGUUGAAUUUUUCUAUUUCUAACCAAAAAUCUAAUAGUAAAGAAAUCCAAAGUAUAUAUCCGAUACUAUGAGAAUAAUUGAGAGACGUGUGAUAGGGCCGGGCAUCAACUCCCAAACAUGUCGAACUAGCAGUGGCUAAAAAAAGGGUUAAGUUUUGUUUUGUCCAAACAAACAGAACACAUUGGCCAAAAGGUUAGUCUGAAUCAGAUGGAAAUUAAAGAAAAGAUGGAUGGAUGGAUGUCAAUGCCAUGUUGCCACCAACCCUAGCUAUAGCCCUGAACCUGAACCUGAACCUGAUUCCUCAUCACUCAGUCAUAUAUAUAUGCCCCAACACGCAAGCCCAACCUAAGGUAAGAAGCUCUUUGCGUUAUUGCCAUGCCUUGUAACCAUCGUAUCACUCAUGUCAGUAAGCAACCAACCAAACUAGACAUAGAACUUUUCUGUAUAAUUAACAUACCUAGAUAGAGCUUCUAUAUUAGCAAACCAUAGAUUUCAUAUUUAAUUUAAUUUUUUAGUUAAAUGGAUGGCCUAUUACAUUUCCAUUAUUUACAUAAAUUCUUAAAUUAUAUAUAUGCGUGUGUGGGUGUCCGUGUGUACACAUUCUUUCUGAACCAAUAUUACCUACAGAAAUGUAUGCAAGUAACGUUAGGGCAACGUCUUUCUUACUAAGCAACAUUAGGGCAAGGUUGACGACUAAAGAAAGCCAUAUAUUAGGGAAAGGUGGAUAUAGAAAGCUAGAUAGCUCGAACGUACCAUUGUAAGUAGCUAAACGAUUAAUAUAUCCCUAAAUUUACUUUAAGUGGAAGGUUCAUUAAAUCUAAUUUCCUUUUGGAAAGUUAUACAGGCGCGCGUGUGCAAGGAGAUAGUGAGAAUUAAUUUUAGGGUUAGGUUAAUUGAAGUGUGUGUGUAUAUAUAUAUACACACACACAGGGAUGAAGCAAAAAAUUUAACUAAGAGAGGCACCUUAAAAAAUUUGAGCUCCUUUUUUUGACAAAUAAAGCUAGUUCUUUUACAAAUGCUGAAAAAAUUAAUUACAAAAUGCCUAAUUUUAUUACUCUAUUGUCUAAUUUUGUCUUUAACUGUUGACAAUCUAAUGCUCAUUUAUACUAAUUAACCAGAUACAUGCAACUCAACAAGGUUUAGAUAGUGUGUGAGAAAAAUAUCCAAAACGGAGGGGCAUUUAAAAACUAAAAGAGGAUUUUCACUAUUUUAGUAUGAUUAAUUGAAUAAUUUGCAAAACAAAAUAACAUGGGAAUGAUUAAUUGAAUAAUUUGUAAUGAAAUUAAAAAAAGGGAUGAGAGGGGGAUGUGCCCCCACUGGGCCUUACCUCCCACCGUCCAUAUAUAUAUAUUUAAUAAAAAGGGGAAGUUUGACGAAAAAAAAAAUAACAAGGGAAAGCUAGGCAGAGGAGAUCAUAUAUUUUUGUGUAAAUAAUUUAGUGUAAUGCCAGAGAGAUUAAAUUUACAAACUAAAUGAUAUAUCACUAAUAAAAUCAUUUAGUUUACAAAAUUUAGUUUAAAAAUUUAGUCUCAUUAGUAUUACCCAAUAAUUUAUAAAGAGAUUAAUUAAGUGGUCCUUAAUAACAAAGAGGACAGGAGAGAUCCCUAGCUAGGCAGGUCGGUUUGGGGGCGUAUGGUGAUAGAGGAGGCAAAGGAGAGCAUGAUAUGGUCUGUUUUGAGAAAUUUCAUGGUGUUGUUGAGGGGACAGACGGCAUAAAUUAGGGCAAAAAAUAGUGCAAAAUCAAAAGACAUCGACAGGCAUAUACGGCUAGUUAGUGCUAUGUAUAUGCUCUCAUGCACUUCCAUGCCUCUUUAAUCAAUCUCGUGAAAGCACAACAACAUUCAUUGGAGGAAGGGAGACAAAAGAAUUUUGGGGAACAAGGAGUGGUUAUUUGCAAUAUUUUUACUACUUUAAUUAAACAGUGCCCCUCUUUUCUUAUAAUUUAUUGUUAACAAAAGAGAGAGAUGAUCUUUAGGUGUCCAAGGUGGGAGUGCAUGAUAGAUAACUGAUCAAAACAAAGUAUUUGGCAUUUCAUCCAAAAGUGAAGUACAUAAUUAUUAAUUAAUUGGCAUUAAAAAGAAGGCAUCUAAUGAAGUAGCAUAUGUAUAAACUAGUGGCCAAAAUACUGAGUGAUGUUUUUUUUUUAAUAAACGAUAUUAUCUAUAUUUAGGAAGAUGAGAUGAGUUUAACCUCACAAUGUACCAACAAUAAUGUAGUUCAAAUUCAUCUUUGAUAGGAAACGAACUUAAGGCCUCUCACUUACAAGUAAAGAUAAAUAUCUAGAUCAUAGUAUUAAGUAGCUAAAUACGAAUGAUUCUUUGAUUUGAAGUUUUAGAAGGACAUGCAUCAUUUAAUUGUAGCCAGGAGUGAAAAUGCAUUUAGCUAAAAAUUAGUCCUGUCCUUCGAGACUCAAACUUUGGAGAAAAGUAGCAUAUAAACUAGCUAUAUCAGGAUAUAUACACGGCGACAAACAACCCCCUAGAAGAAAAUGAUGCUUAAAGGAGUUCAGAUAUUGAAACUAGCUGAUAUAUUAUAAAAGUCAAUACUCAAUAAAAAGAGAGAAUUAGAUAUGCUCCCGUUAAGCCUUUAAUUUGUUUGCUUCCAAAUUAAUGGCCAGAGAGGAAUUGGUUACACAAUUGAUUAAAUAAUUACGCAUAAGGAAAAAAACAGGAUCUUAAUUAAGGGGAUAAAUCCCAAAAAAUAUAAUAAAUUAAAUAAAACUCAAUAUUUACGAGAUUCAUAUAAAACAAUAAUUCAUGAUCAAUUUCAGUCUCUAAAGAAAGAACAAACUGUGAUAUUGGAAAAACUGAUCAGGAGCUCCCUCUGGCUGCGUGUCUUCAGUUCACAUGCAACGUCCACAAAGAUUCACCCUACUCUUUGCAUGUAUGCUUAGGCGGAUCAGCUGAGUAACUAGUUAGGAAUUUUAGGAAUGUUUAGAGAUAGGCAGAAGAAUAAGGGAAAAAGAAAGAGUACUCUUCUCUUUGAGUAGAACAAUUCAGUGAGUUCUUGAAAAUACUGUAAUGGCAGCUCUUGCUUCAUAAAUGCAGCUUUUUGUACAUAUAAAACCCUCUCUAUAUAUGUAUAUAUAGAUAUAAAAAUAUGAUAAAAAAACAGCGGUGGAUUGCCCUGGUAGAAACGGUUUUUCUCCUUAACUUACUUUCCAGCCCGAUUCAAACCCUCCCUCUCCUUAAUCUGGCUAAUAAGAAUAGUAAUAUAGAGAUGAAACAAGAGGGGAAAGCUCAAACCUAGCUAGCAAUAUAGCUGAAAAAUCAAUCAGACACAUACAUAUAUGUGUAUAUAUAUUUGUAAUUAGUGCCAAGAAGAAACAGAGAAAAGGGGACGAUUCUGCCAACCUAAGAAAAAAGAGUCAUUGAGAAUCCUCAGCUGGUAACCCUCAGAAGGAUAAUGAAGCCGCAACAGAAGCUUCGCCUGCGAAAGCGCAAACGGACUCAAAGCCACAUUCUCAAACCCCGCCCUCCGCAGCACCACCUCCCAAAACGUCUCGUACCUCUCGUGCCGCUGCUUCCUCUUCUCUCCUUCGACUCCCACCACGUCUUUAACCUCCCUUCCCAACCACUCCUCCACCGCCAGCCUCUCCCGGCUGUUGGGCGGCAGCGUCGCCUCGAGGGACUCAAAGACGGCGCCGUAGUGGUCGAGAGCCUCCACGAAGCGGUUAAAAAAGAGGGGGUUGUUGUGGUUGGCUUCUUUGUUGGCGACGGUGAAGACUUUUGGGUUCAAUGACUUGAUCUUCUGGAGAAAGAGGAGGAGGUCACGUGAGUCGUCCGUAACUAGGGUGUGGAGGUAGAGGACGCAGUUGACGGCUAGGGCUUCGUUUUGGUGGAGGCCGAGGGUUGAGGGGGAGAUUAAGUCCGACGGCCGGGCUGCAUUGUUUAGGACAAGGGGGUGGAAUUGGAAGGCCAGGCCAAGUGACUGAGCGAAUCUCAAGAGACGCUCACCGGUUCGGAGGAGGAGGGUGAGGUCGCGGCCGGUGGCUGUGAUUCGAAGCGUGGGAGGUGGGUGGAGUGGUGAGUUGUAGGAACGCUCGACGAGGGCCUGCAUAAGUGGGGGCCACUGGACGCCGUGCAUGAUGUCGAAGUCGAGGAUGUGGAUUGAGAGAUGAGAUGAGUCUAUGGAUUCGAGGAUGGCUUGAUUGGCCGUCAAGUGGCUAAACCGGAUGAAUGGGGUUAUCUGGUUUAGGGUUAGGUAACACGAGUGGAGUGUCUCCUCGUUGUCGUCCUCCUCCUCGAGUAACAUCGGCGGAAACAAGUAGUUGGAGGAGGAGGACGCGGACGCACUGGCGGCAGUUGUGAGCGCUGUCAUUGGGCAGAUAGUAGUGUGAGAGUAAUUAGGGUUUGUAUUGAGGCGGAAAGAGAGGGCUUUGACAAAAUAGUGGGUUAAUCUUUCGGUGGAGUCUCCGAAGGGAGAGGAGUUUGAGGAUAAGAGAGAAAUGAGGCGGUUGGCGGAAGGGAAGUCAAGGUGGGAAAUGAGCUCGGCGCAGGUAAUGAGUAAGUGGCGGAGGUGGGUUGGUGAAAUGUUUGGAGAUGUUGACAUAAUCAAUGGAGGCUGAUCAGAAACGUCGUGGUGGUGGUGGUAUAGUUGUAGAUCUGAGAUAUUGUUGUUGUUUGGGUGGUUUUGAUGAUCUUCUUUUUCUUCUUGUUGGAUAUGGGAAGAAUUGAAUGAGCCCAUGAGCAAUCAGUUGUUGGUGAUGAGAUCUUCACGCGAAUGAUCACUAAUUAUAUAUAUUCUGAUUGAUCAGAUGAGCUUUGAGCUUAGGUAGCUAGCUGCUGCUUUCUUUAAUAACUUGUGAUCUGCAGGAGCAAUCAUAUAUAGCUGUGGCAAUAAGUAGCAGCAGCAAACUGGGAUACCAGGUAUAUUUGGGGAAACUGGUCUCUCUUCCCUCCUCUCCCUCUCCUUGCCUACGCAAAUUAAUAUAUAUAAUACUACUUAAAUAGUUACGUAAGAAAUUAAUUGCACUCUGGAAACCUGGAGCCUGCUCACAAGGGUUUGAAGAGAGAGAUCAUUUGUGAUUAUGGUUUGGAGAGAGUUAUCAUGCUCAGUUUACAACGAGAUUAAGUAAUAAUUUAAAUUUGUAAACUAAAUUAGCAAACUAAAUGAGGAGUCACCAAUAAAAAAUAAGUACGUUUAUUAACGAUUAAGUAAUAAUCCAAUCAUCAACUUCUAUGUCAUUUAAUUUAUAAAAUUUAAUUUACAAAUUGAAUCUCCUUAGCAUUACUCAUGUGUAAUCUACUAUAGGAAGGGAUUUUAAUAAGAUGUGAUCUCAUCAUGUGUUAUGCUGCUGGGAGCAGCUUUCUAUGAGGAGGAUUAUCUACCAGAAGCUGAAAUGCUUGCAGUAGUCAGUAACAGUGUCAUUGUACACUGCAUUACCCUCUCUCUUACAAUUAUUGCAUAAACUUAUUUCUCUUCUUGAUACUUUGUAUAAUGAUUUUACGAUAUAUAUUGUACUUGCUUAUUACUAACAAGCCCAAUAUUGUUCUUGUUCCUAAUAAAUCUGAUAACUGCAGAGUACUUACAUUAUGAUACCUUAAUUGUACACCUCCAUGUAAUCCCAUAUUGCAGCCUACUUAGAGUAACAAUACGUGCAACAAUGAAUUGAAGAAAAUUAAUGACAAAAAAUAAUGAAAGUGUAUAAGAAGUAAAAAUAAGUGUGUGAAUAACACUAUCCUAUGUAUGUAUAUAUGUAUGUAAUCUGUUUCUCUCUGAGCAACAACAAUGUACAAGAUGUCUCUCUCUUUUUUUAUCUAUGACAUUAGCAUUGUUGAUCACAUUAACAAUGGUGGGACCUCCACAAUAUACUUAGUUAUUGCAUGCACAUGAUGUUCUUUUUAUUAGAUAUUUGGCAUUAUGUAAAUGUUAUCUAAUGAACAUUCAUAUUUAAAUAAACUUCAUUUAAUUAAACUGAUCAAUAGGUUAAUAAUCUAAUUAUAAUGUAAUACUAUGUUUAUCUAUAAUUAAUCAACUAUUCAGAUUUUUAAACAUGUGUACAAUAUUCAUACAUAAAGGACAUGUGAAAUGGAGAAAAAUACUAUUUCUCAAACGUACAUUGUCCAAAUUGAUUCUGGGUCAAGGAAUCAAUCGUUGACUUGGGAAGUCAGUUUAUUCACUUGGAUUAUUAAAUAAACACUCAUGCUCCACAGUGGUUGCUAGCUAGCUCACUGUUGUGUUAUGGUGAAUGAAUGCUAAAAAAUAAAAAUUCAUGUAUGAAAUUGGGAAUACAAAAUAUGUGAAUAAAUGUUUUUUAAUAACAAUGGAUAAUUCGCUCUUUGUAAAAGUGAGACUUUUUGUGUUAAAAAAUCUCGUACUGAUGUAUCAGUAGUGUAAACCCUCAAAAUUGAUCAUGCAUUACCAAGUAGUACGUAUGUGAUAAAAAACGAAAAUUAAUAACAAUGUUUGUGUGAUUAGUAGUGAGCCGCUAAUUCGUUUCUCGAAAAUCAGUUUAUUUAACGAGGUUUGUUGCAUCUAAAUUAAAUUGAAUUCAAAGUUAAUACAUGGAAUAAGAUAGAAUAGUUUCCUAAAAAAUAUGCACACACAUUGAUCAACAUGGAGUUUCUAAUCUCAUUGAAUCUGUCAAAUUCGCACAUGAGAUUUCAACUUAAGCUUGCAUUCAUGAAAGCUGAACAAAUUAAUUGUGAUUUUCUUUUCUAAAAUGAACAAAAAAAAAUCUACAAAGCAAAGUCGUUGUAUUUCCUCUCGUGGGUUUGCGGAUAUCCUUGUUUGAAUCGGCCAAUAAUUAACGGAAACCUUUGUAUUGUCAUCUGUCACAUACCAUUUGAUUUGUUUGGGAAACACACACCUUGGGAUUUGGGGAGCUUGAAAUACAAGUUGCUUCCUCCCUGAAAAGUAAUUGGAUUGCAAAAAUGGAAAUUAAACCCUCGUUAUAUAAAUUUCGGUAAUUAACCGUAUUCACUGCUCAUGAUCAAAUAUAUAAAUUAAUCAGUUUGCGUGCGGAGAAGAAUCAGUCUAGGUUUUGGAGGAUAAUAUUUUUCGAGAUAUGAUAUCCACACAUUCAUUUUUACUUCAUCCAUACAUUUUUAGUUUUCGGUCAUCGGAUCGGAUGAAUUGAAGAAUAUUAACAGAUAGAAAUUAACAAAAGGUGUGUGCGAAAUAAAAAGAAGUAUGUGGAUAGCACACCCCUAUCUUUCAUUCAUAGUAGGAGUACUUGGACUGUCACUGUCAGUAGGAGCAUGGCUUUCAUUCAGGUUUUGAAUCUUGACGAAUUCUUCUUCUACUAGGUUGUCCAUUUGUGAAUUAUAUAUAUGCAACAAGAAAAUCAUAUUUAAAGAAUUCUUUUUAUUUAAAAAUUUAGAUACAUGUGAUUUGAUGUCUCUUUAAAUUAAGGUAAUGGUAAAAUUUGUUUUAAUAAAACUAUUAGCGGAUGUCAUCACGUUAUUCAUUUUCAAAGUCCCUAUCUUCAUUUUUAAUUGUGUUACAUAUGACGUUAACAUUCGACAGCUAACUUACGAGCAACGUAAGUAAUAACUUAUAUAAUUGUAAUGACACUUGACAUUGUUUUAGUGAAAUAGUUUUUUAAUAUAGUUGUGGUUAGUUGUGGUCGUUAGAAGGGUAUUGUAGUAAUUGUAACAUGUAAUGAUUUGGCUAUAUAAGGAAUUGGUAGCAUGUACUGUAAAACAAGGUUGUAAUACAUUCAAUCAAAAGAAUUAGUUGCUCUCUCUUCUUCUCUCUUUUCUUCGCUCUCAAGCUUUAUCUUCAACUGUCAAUACGGUAUCAUCGCCGAUGUUGGCUUGUCGCCGACUCCGAUCCUAAACGGGUUUUCUCCGCUGUUUUGUCUCUGAUUCCGAUGGAGUUUUCUUCGAUUGACGCUCGAGAGAGUUGAAAGUUUUGAGAAUCUUGAACUUCGAUUGAUGCGUAUGGAGAAUCAGGUGAUUUCGUCUCUAUAAAUUUGUGUUUCUAUAUGUUUUCUACAAUCUUGAAGCUGUGAUCAUUGGUAUUGAUUCGAUAUGCUAAAGAUGGUUCGUAUGAGUUGAAGAUUUGAUAAUUUUUUAUUAGAAAUUGAAUUCAAGAAAGUGUUAUUCUUUCUGGGUUUUUGUCUUGGAGUAUCAUUCUCUAGGAUUUGUGAAGUUGUUGAAGGUUACAUUCUGUUAAUUCGUAGAGAAAGUGUUAUUCUUUAUGGGGAUUUUGUUGACGAUUAAAGAUUGUUGAUUGGUAGAGAAAGUGUUAUUCUUUCUGGUCAUUUUGUUGAAGAUUGAAGUUUGUUGAUUGAUAAAGAAAGUGUCAUUCUUUCUAGGAGUAAUAGUGUUUUCUUGGAGUAGUAGUAUUUCUGGUUUUGAAUCUUGGAGUAUUAUUCUCUCAAGAUUGUAUGUGUCAACUCAAGCUUUGGUUAGUUUAAUUGUUUUCGAUGGCAUCUUCAUCAUUCAAAGUAAAGAACUUGUUGGGUAUGCUUACUAUAAAACUCAGAGAUAAUAAUUUUGCUAAGUGAGCGUUUUAGUUUCAAUCUAUCCUUAAGGGAUACAAAAUGUUUGGUCAUUUUGAUGGUACCACUGUGUGUCCACCUAAAUUUGUUGUUACUACUGAAGUUGGUAUUACAAAGGAAAUUACAUAUAAGUUUCUUGAAUGCGAAUCUACUGAUAUGGCUCUCAUUAGUUUGUUGUUAGCUACACUAACAGAUGAAGCGAUGAAGUAUGUUAUAGGGUGUAGAAUAGCUUUCGAGGCCUGAUCCGAUCUUAUUGAAAGAUAUGCCUCAAUUUCUAAAUCUCGAGUGAAUCACUUAAAGACUGAAUUGCAUACGAUUUAGAAGGGUACAUACAUACAGUAUUGAUAAGUACUUGCUGCGAUUGAAAAACAUUAAGGAUCAAUUAACUGCUGCAGGGUGAGAAUGAUAUCAUGAUUGCUGGUUUGGCUGGUUUACCAAAUGAGUAUGCUGUUAUUAGAAUUGUUAUAUUGGCAAGGGAAUCAUCUAUUACCUUGAAGGAAUUUCGUGCUCAACUACUUGGUGCUGAAAAGGAAAUUGAAGGAGAAAUGAAUUUGUUGUCUCAAAGUAUGUCUGCUCUCUAUGUUCAACGUGCUAAUUCUAGUACUACUAUUGGUAUGGGUUUUGGUUCUAACAUGUACAGUCAGGGGUAUCAUCUGGUGCAUCUUCUUCUAAUCUUCAGGGACAUAAUCACAUUAUUGCUAAUACAUAGGGAAUUAUUGUACAACAGCCAUAUGGUUCAUCUACUCAUCCAUCUAUUACCCUUGUGAUUCUCAUACAUUCUAUCCGGAUACAUCAUUACCUCAUCUCCCUGGUCAAAAUGCUCAAUCUUUUGGUUAUGGUCUUGUGAGUCAUUCAAAUUCUGGAAAUCAACAAGGUUUCAGCCUCAAUAUUCUAAUAAUGGAUAUAGAUCUUAUAACGGGGGUCAAUACAAAGGCAAUGGAAGCACUUAUAGAAACAACAAUGGCUUUAGAGGAAAAGGAUACAACAAUGGUAAUUUUUACUACUUAGGUGGAUCGAGACAAGCUUAUAAUGGAAAUGGUUCUUGGACAGGCAACACUGAAACAAGAACAAAUAUUGUAAUUGAAUGACAAAUCUGCAAUAAGAAAGAUCACACAUCUGCCAAUUGUUUUCAUAGAAAUACAAACACUCUCACUACUGGUUUUGUGGUUGAAUGCCAAAUUUGUGGUAAGAAGGGACACUUUGCAGUUGAUUGUUUUCAUAAAGGGAAUUACUCUUUUCAAUGACAGCCACCACCACCAUCCUUAUCAGCUAUGAAUGCAUAACAAGCAACUCAAUUUGUUCCUCAGGAUUCAUGGAUUGUAGAUUCAGAUGCCUCCUAUCUUAUGACUGCUGAUAUAUCUUCUUUGACUCAAGUUGUUCAUUUCCAAGGAUUUGAGAAAAAAACCAUUGGUAAUGGUUCUAGUUUACCAAUUCAAUAUACUGGUUCAACUAUAAUUUAAACUGAUAAUCAUUCCCUUAGUCUUAACAAAGUUCUUUAUGUUCCACACAUUGCAAGGAGUCUUCUUUCAGCUAAACAACUGUGUGUGGAUAACAAAAGUUGGUUUAUAUGUGAUGAAUCUAAUUUUUAUGUGAAAGACAAGAAGACAAGGGAGGUAGUGUAUCACGGAAAAAGUAAGCCAGAAGAGUUGUUUCAUAUACUUGUGAUUCACAAGUCAAGAGGUGUACAAUCUGUUGCAAAUGAUCAUGUUGCUUGCUUGGAAAAAAAUGGUGAAAUCAAGUGUUUGGCAUCAAAGGUUGGGGCAUUCUGCUCAUGAUACUAUGUUUGUAAUGUUGAAAUAGUCUAGGGUAAUACAUAGUUUAGAUGAUUAACACACUACUCGUGCUUCUUGUAUUCAAGGGAAAAUGUCAAAAAUUCCAUUUCCUAUUAGAAAUGACAGAUGCUUAGUUCCUUUUGAGAAGGUACACGCUGAUAUUUAGGUUCCAUCUCCUGUAAAAUCCUUAUAAGGAUAUCGAUAUUAUGUACUUUUUGUGGAUGAAUAUACAAGAUUUGUUUGUAUAUAUCACAUGUGCAAUAAGUCAGAUGUGUAUGCAAUCUUUGUUAAAUUCUACAAUUUUGUUCAUACUCAAUUUGGGAUGUCAAUCAAGGGACUUCAAACAGAUGGUGGAGGUGAAUACACCAGCAAAUGUUUUACAUCCUUUUUGGUUGAUAAACGUAUUAUGCAGUUUAUUUCUUGUCCCUACACUCCUCAAUAGAAUGGAGUAUCUUAGAGGAAACAUAUACACAUAGUAGAGAUUGCACUGACUCUUCAAUGCUGGUAGUCUAUCCACAGAGUUUUGGUAUUUUGCCUGUUCUCAUGCAGUGUUUCUAAUCAAUAAAAUGCCAUGUAAAACUCUGUCAUUUAAGUCACCAUAUAUAUUAUUAUAUAACAAGGUUCUUGAGUUGCAAUCUUUGAAGAUUUUUGGGACAAUAGUUGUUCCUUGGAUAAGACCUUAUAAUGUCAAUAAGCUACAAUUCAGAUCGAAAAUGGGUACCUUCUAGGCUAUGCAAUGGGAUACAAAGGGGUCAUAUGUUAUGAUAUGUAGACUAAGAAAUGCAUUAUAUCAAGGCAUGUUAUAUUUGAAAAGUCAUUGCUUCCUGCAAAAUUGGGUUUAUCUCACAGAAGUGAUCAGUCUGUGAAUGAUGGUUCUCAACCUUCACAUGUCAUUGUGCCAGUUCCAAUACCAUUGCAAAAUUUAAGUAAUCAAUAUAGGAAUAAGAAUAGUGCAGCCUCACAUCCAAAUGCAAUUCAUACUACUAUUUCUGGAACAUCACUGAAUGAUACAUCAUCUAUUAAUUCUGCAACUCAUCAUACACCAUAGUUUCAAAGCUCUAAUUCUUCAUCAACAUCAGCAAAUGGUCUUACUCUUUCCCCUUCCAGUGAUACACCUCAUUUGCUUUCUGUUCUCAAUCUAGCACAACUCCAAGUAAUACUACCAUUCUCUGAAUCAUCUUCUGGAACUGAUUCUUUUACUAUUCCAGUGCAUCAUAAUAGGCAACAUGGUAUCCAAACUCGAUUUCAAAAAGGAGCAAUUUCCAUAAAAUAAAUUAUGCAACUUAUCUUACUACAUUGCCUGAGUUAAGUUCAUUACAGCUUAUGGACUAUUGUUCUAGUGAAACUUGCUGUGAUACAUUUUCUGGUGGAUUCUCAUUUAUAGCUGAUAUACAAGAAGUUGAGGAACCAAAAAUGUUUUGAGCUGCAUCAACCAAAUCUGAGUGGCGAUUAGCCAUGCAAGAAGAAUAUAAUGCUUUAAAAACUCAGAGGACAUGGGUUUUGGUUCCACCUCCAUCUCAUAGAACUAUAAUUGGAAGCAAAUGGGUGUACAAAGUAAAAAAGAACCCUGAUAGCUCAAUUUCAAGAUACAAAGCGAGGUUAGUUGCACAAGGCCACACACAAGAACAAGGAUUGGACUAUUCUGAAACAUUCAGUCCAUUUAUAAGACACGCUUCAUUGGGGAUUAUUCUAACUCUUACUGUUUAAUAUGGAUGGAACAUGAGACAAUCGGAUGUUAAAAACGCCUUUUUACAUGGUGAUCUUGAGGAAGAAAUUUAUAUGAUGCACCCUCAAGGAUUUAUGGAUUCCUCUUGUCUAGAUUAUGUGUGUAAGCUUGUCAAGUUUCUCAAUAGGCUAAAACAAGCCCGGAGAGCAUGGAAUUUGAAGUUCACUAGCUAUCUUCCAUCUCUGGGAUUCAAAACCUCAUUGUCUGAUACUAGCCUAUUUUUGAAAGUUGAUGAAGGUGAUAUUAUUCUCCUCUUAUUCUAUGUUGAUGAUAUGAUACUCACAGGGUCUAGUCCUGCAAAAAUUCAAGCAGUUAUACAAGAUCUUGCAGCAGUUUUUUGUUAUCUCAAAGACAUGGGAAGAUUAACUUUCUUCCUUGGUCUACAUAUUCAAUACAAAGAAGAUGGUUCACUGGUUAUCAAUCAGUCUAAAUAUGCAAAAGAUUUAUUGAAGAAAGAAUGAAUGGAGACUUAUAAGCCCACAUCCACACCAUUCAAGCCUCAUACACAGCUAUUUGAGAAAUAGGGUAUUCCAUUAUCGGAUUCUAGCCAUUAUAGAAGCUUGGUAGGGGCUCUUCAAUAUCUGACCUUUACUAGGCCUGAUAUUGCACAUGUUGUCGACAUCUCAUGACAUUUCCAACUGAUCUUCAUAUGCAUCUUGUCAAACGCAUCUUACAAUACUUGAAAGGCACACUUGACUGUGGCUAACAUUAUAAAAAUAGUUCAGAGUUCAAUCUUACGGCCUAUUCUAACUCGGAUUGUGCUGCGAAUAUUAAUACUUGAAGGUCGAUUACCGAUUUUGUGAUUUACUUGGCAUGUAAUCCUAUCUCAUAGCAAUUUAAAAAGCAGUCUAUAGUUUCACGUAGUUCUAUAAAGGCUGAGUAUAAAGCCUUAACACACUUUGUUGCUGGUCUAUUCUGGAUUCAGUCUUUGUUUCAAGACAUGAAUCAGGUACUUUCAGUUCCUCCAUUGUUACACUGCGACAAUUUGAGUGCCUUAGCUUUAAGCUCUAAUCUAGUUUUUCACUCUAAGAUCAAACACCUUGAUAUUGAUUAUCAUUUUGUUCGAGAGAAAGUGCAAAGAGGAGAUCUUGUUGUUCAAUAUAUACCUAUCAGGGAUCAAGUUGCGGAUGUAUUUACAAAAGGGUUCCUUAGUCCAAUAUUCUUGAGGCAUUGCAGAAAUCUUGGCCUUGGCAUUUCAGAACAGCUUCAGGAACAUGGUUAAUUCAAACUUUACUUGGUUACUCCAAGCUCAGUUUGAGGGGGGAGUAAUAAUUGAUAUAAUUGUAAUGACACUUGGCAUUGUUUUAGUGAAAUAGUUUGUUAAUAUAGUUGUGGUUAGUUGUGGUUGUUAGAAGGGUAUUGUAGUAAUUGUGACAUGUAAUGGUUUGGCUAUAUAAGGAAUUGGCAGCCUUUACUGUAAAACAAGGUUGUAAUACAUUCAAUCAAAAGAAUCAUUUGCUCUCUCUUCUUCUCUCUUUUCUUCGCUCUCAAGCUUUAUCUUCAACUGUCAAUAGUAAGAUUAUAUAUAAUUGUCAAAAUUAUAAUCAUAUUGAUAAGCUUACUGUUAAAAUACAGAAUGAUAUUCUUAUUGUUACUAUAGACUUACCCAUUGAUAUAGGACAUAUACUAAUACUUCAUUUUCAUAUAGGGAAUGGAUCGUCAACAACAGUCCUUGGCAAGAUAGCUAGCUAGAGAUUAAUUUGUUAUAUAUAAUUUCCAUAAGUUGAUGAAACCUUGCCAGCAUCUUGGAAAUGUUCCUUUGGCAUUCCAAACUUACAUAACUCUUGCAAGAAAAGGAAAAGAAAAGUGUUUUUAAUUGAUUCCAGUUUGUGCAUUUUCACCUGGUAAUACUUGGUGGACCCCUGGAAAUAGAUGCAGCGUGAUCAAUUGCACGAUUGGCAUCUUGAAAAAAAAUAAUUAAAAUUUCAAUAGCAGCCUAAACAGGAGAUGGCUUCACCAGGAUUCAAGGGGAGACACAAAAGAAAAGGCCUCUUCUCUCGAUCUCCUUCUAUUUCUCUUACUUUUAGUGGUUUCAAUCAAGUGUGUUUCCACAUUAGAUCUAUGCAUUGAAAAACACUUGAAGGCUUGUCAAAACAGAAAAUACUAUCUCAUAUAUACUUUUUUCUUUAACGUAGCUAGUUCAGCCCCACGCACCACCACAAGAAAUGUCAGUGUGUUUGUACGAAAGACUUGCAAAAUAUCUUUACUUCUUAUUUCUUACCCUCCGUUUACUCAAAAAUCAACUCUAUAAAUGCUGUGGCCAAAAGGACUGGAACAAUAGGGUAAACUUUAGAGUUUGUCUAUCACACCACGUAUAUAUGUUAUUGUUAUUUAUUGAUAUGUCCGUGUUAUAAUAGUUUGAAGAUUAAUAGUAUCACGUAAUUGUGUGAUGUGACAUGCUAAAGAGCAUAUCUAAGGGGUAGCCAUUGCUUAACAAAGUUAGAUUAUUCCAUGUAGGAAAACCAUAUCACUAACCGAGUUAGCAACUAGCAAUACAAGGUCAGUUGUUACUUCUUCAACUUAGCAAAUUGACUCCCGUAAUAUAUUAUAUUCAAAAGUAUUUGUUUAAUAAAGAGUUUGGAAAUAAAAUUUGAACUCCAAGAUGAAGUUAAGAUGUUAAUAUUUGAAGGUGAAAGAUAAAAUUUGAAGAAUUGGUUGAAGAGUGGAUUGGAGUGACAAUUUUUUUUUAUUUUUUAUUUUUAUUUUUUGAACAAAGGAUCAAUUGGAGUGACAAAUUUAAAAAUUAGCAUAAAAAUGCCAAAUGGGUUAGUAAAUGACACUUUUAAAUAAAAAAAAUUCUAACACUCUUCUGGAGAUACGCUAAUAUCAAUAUAAUCUCUAUGCCCUAUAUGCCGGGAUUGACCUAAUAAUUAGCUAGGCCAUCUGGGUGUGCACAAUAAAUUCUAUAUUUGACGACUGUUGUGAAAAUUAAACGAAGUUUGGUGUUCAACUAGCUAGUCGCUUAUAUACACCCUACUACCAUUAUUCUAAAACGAGCCAUAAGAAUAAUUCAUCUCUGCUGGUACUACUAAUAACUUAUAAUAAACAAACCGAAAUGGAGAUGCAGGAGAUUCAAGAACAAGGUGUUUUCUGGACAUAUUUGUUUCAAAGUUAUUACAUGCGACUUAAAAUUGAUUCAGAAUAAAAAGAAAAUUAAUUACACAAGUACAAGAGAAAGACUGUUGAUCCUGUUGCUGCAAGUAAAUACUGCAGUUGUAUGUGAAAUCAAUAGUGCAAAUGCAUAAUAAUGGGUACCGGUUCUGCAGGCCAAUUGCGAUAUGAAAGAGCUAGAAAUUUAAUUCAGCAGAGGAAACAAAAGGAAAAAGCAUCAGCCAGCAGUAAUGAAUGAAGUAGAAAGUCGGAGGAAGGAGGAUAGAACCUUGCAUGGCACAAGGAAUAUGCAAUUAUCGUGUUAUUUCGUGUCAACUAAUAAAGAUAAAUUUACCCAUAAUAUUAUAUAAUUAGUAUGAAACGUCACGAUUAUAAUAUUUAUGUCACGUAAGUACUUAAAAAUAAGAGGAGAGGUGGGAAAUGGAAUUUUAGGGCAAAAUAAAUGGAUGGAUAGCCGUAUAUUUGGGACUAGAAUUAUCCCUUCUUAUUUCUAUUCCCUUCCAUCUCAUUCUUUCACACUCUUUAUUUUAUAUUUCUCUCUUUACGAAAAAUUAAUAUAAGAUGUUGAUAUGGCUUGACCGUUCAAAUAGGAAGGAAUGAAAGAAUAAGAAAAAAAAAUAUAAGAUGUUGAUGUGACUUGAGCGUUCAAAUAGAAAUAGAGGAAAAAAUAGAAGAAAAAAAAAGAAAAAAAAAUAAGAGAAAACCCUUCUCUGUAUAUUUGUUACUUUUUUUAUUUCUUCUGCAUCGAUCUCCUUUCUGUAAUUUCAACAACAACAAACAACAAAGAUUACACGCAAAGCCUUAAAUGUGGAAUAAUAUUAUUGCUUUUUCAUGCUUUGCCCUUGCUGCACAUGUCACCAGCGUUGGCUAAACCCUCUGAUCUUCGCUCAUCGCUGACACCUGUGUUUUCCUUGUUUGUCUCUCUUUGUUGGAUUCGCUGGGUCUUCGGCAUCAUCAUGCAUGCCCCAUGUGGAUAGAUGUGGUUGUGGCUGCCUUUUCACUUUUCAAUAUUAUUCACUUUGUAAAUAGUAAAUAUAUACUAUUAAACACACACACACAUACUCACACACAUGUGGAUAAAAAGAUCUUGAUAGACAGGUCAACAGAAUGAAAUGGCAUCCUCUUUUUAAUGUUAGGGUUAAAGAAUUUUAAGGCUCAAAGUAUAGUUGGCACUUGGCAGUGUUCUUUUAGAUUUAUGUACAGGAAUGUUUACGUGAGAAUCGGAAUGACCAAUGUGUCGUAAUCAAAGCCUUGUUAAGAUAUACGCAUCUUACGUUACUGAACACCUAUAGAUAACACUCUCAAAAUUUAACAUCUUUACUAAACCGCACUAGUAAGUUAUCUUUUUAGAUUGAAGAAAUUAAUGGAUAUGCAGAUAUGCUAAUAUACGUACGUAGCCAACAUGUGAGUAUUGUGUUGGAAUUUUUGGAUUGCCGGGCCCGGCCCGCUCUAACGACACUGAUAUUGUCCUCAACUUAAUCACCUGCCCAAUUCAUCAGGUGUGAAGUUUUACCACAAAAGGCCUCAGUGUUAGUUAGAGUGGGGUAAUACUAUUUAAACCCCUUUGGUUUUCUUCACCCCACCGAUGUGGGACAGUUUUAACACUCCCCCUCACGUGUAACCUCAUUUAGUGGUUCACACGUGGAGAUCCACAUCGGUAAUUGAAACUCAGAGGUCGGCUCAGGUUAGGCCCACUUGUGUGAGUAUUGUGUUGGAAUUUUUGGAUCGUCGGGCCCGGCCCGCUCUAACGACACCGAUAUUGUCCCCAACUUAAUCACCUGCCUAAUUCGUCAGGUAUGAGGUUUUACCACAAAAGACCUCGGUGUUAGUUAGAGUGAGGUAAUACUAUUUAAACCCCUUUGGUUUUCUUCACCCCACCGAUGUGGGACAGUUUAACACUCCCCUUCACGUGUAACCUCAUUUAAUGGUUCACACAUGGAGAUCCACAUCGGUAAUUGAAACUCAGAGGUCGGCUCAAGUUGGGCCCAUUUGUUUUCAAUUGGAACUCAGCGGUCGUCUCUUUAUUAAGAGCUCAGACUUGUUUCAUGUGAGUAUUGUGUUGAAAUUUUUGGAUCGUCGGGCCCGGCCCGCUCUAACGACACCGAUAUUGUCCCCAACUUAAUCACCUGCCCAAUUCGUCAGGUGUGAGGUUUUACCACAAAAGGUCUCGGUGUUAGUUAGAGUGGGGUAAUACUAUUUAAACCCCUUUGGUUUUCUUUACCCCACCGAUGUGGGACAGUUUUAACAUUCCCCCUCACGUGUAACCUCAUUUAGUGGUUCACACAUGGAGAUCCACAUCGGUAAUAGAAACUCAGAGGUCGGCUCAAGUUGGGCCCACUUGUUUUCAAUUGGAACUCAACGGUCGUCUCUUUAUUAAGAGCUCAUACUUGUUUCCUUCCGGAUGGUGACAAGCUCAUUGGCUUGCACACAAGCUCGCCUCACGUGUAACCUCAUUUAGUGGUUCACACAUGGAGAUCCACAUCGGUAAUUGAAACUCAGAGGUUGGCUCAAGUUGGGCCCACUUGUUUUCAAUUGGAACUCAACGGUCGUCUCUUUAUUAAGAGCUCAGACUUGUUUCCUUCUGGAUGGUGACAAGCUCAUUGGCUUGCACACAAGCUCGUUGGCUUGCACGGGCCCGCAACCAUAGGCUCUGAUACCAUGUUGGAAUUUUUGGAUCGCCGGGCCUAUCCCGCUCUAACGACAUCGAUAUUGUCCUCAACUUAACCACCUGCCCAAUCCGUCAGGUGUGGGGUUUUACCACAAAAGGCUUCGGUGUUAGUUAGAGUGGGGUAAUACUAUUUAAAUCCCUUUGGUUUUCUUCACCCCACCGAUGUGGGACAGUUUUAACAUAUUGCCCCUAGGAAUUUUUUAGCCUUAACGAGAGACACUUCCACUAAACGAGUUCACCAUCACUGGACUUUCCGGCCCCAAACACCACGAACUGAUCUUGUUUCAUAUCUCUUUCUCCCCAACGAGUGACCAUAUGAAAUUUAACCAGGUAUUGAGAGAGAGAUUUAAAAGUCUCACCCACUCCAACAACUCUUUGGUGUAGGGAUGUCUACUAUGAACUAUUUUAUAUACAUGCUUAAGAUAAACAAAACUUUAACGAAAAGCUCAUAGUACUGUUCACUUUAACGAAAAACUACAUUUUUACACUAAAAAAUCAAUCAUUGUACUAUUCACUUUACCAUUUAUUUUGUCAUUAUCGUUAAAACUCAAACUUUCAAACAUUUUUCAUUAGUUUUCCUUAAGAUAAAAGGAAAACACAAAGAUUGUAGAAGCCAGAAGGAGAAAACCCCACAUACACACAGAUUGUGAAUUUAUGCAAGAAUCAACAGUAUAAUGGGAAACAAUGAAAUAUUUGAAGAGAACAUCCAAAAUUUACCAUCCAAAAUAAUUGAAGAGAAGUUUUCCAAAAAUAAUAAUAAUAAUAAUAAUAAUAAUUGAAGAGAAUAUCUCACAUCAGAUAAAAGGAAAACACAAAGUUUGUACAAGCCAAAAGGAGAAAACCCCCACAUAGCUAAAAAGUUCUGUCGAGUCCAUCCCUACAGGUGAUGCAAUCAAUGCUCAAAUUACUUGCUGGAGCUUGGAAGCCCAUAUAUACACCUAUAUAUAUAUUUUCUGUCAGCAGUAUCAACAUGUACAGGGAGGCACAGAAUCAGAAAUGAUCGAUGAUUUACACAAGCAAUCCUUUCAACUCUUCUGUCCCAAUGUACCUUGUGUGGUCCUACUACAAACCCUAGCACGUGUGUGGGUACACAUAUGGCUGUUUUCUUCUUUUAUUCUUUUAGAUUAAGCAGCUCUGCUAACUUAAGUCGUCAUUAGAUUAGAUGGAUCAUCAGAAUCUGAGCAUGCAAUAACAGUAGUGCUCAAUCAUGUUAACAAAUUAAAUAAAAAGAAAAUUAGAAAGAAUGAUCACAGUACGUUUGCGUAUUGUCUUACGUACUUGCGUAUUGUCCCAACUACACAUCAAACAAGAACAUAUCUAAUUGUAUCAACAGAUUUAUAACCUACUUGGUUAAAAAUAUUUAUUUUUAUACCCGAGGAUAUAAGUGUGAUUUCUCAUAUAAGCGUGAUUUUCUCUCCCAUUAUCGCUGGUAAAGAAACAAUAUCCUAGUAACUGGUGCGUUUCAGUAGUUUACACAUUUAUAUUCAUAUCGUCUUUAUGUUAACUUACAAGUUGAUCAAAUACAAAAUGAUGUAAAAGUAAUAAGGGUAAACUACAUUUUGCACCAUCAAGUUUGGUUUAAUUGCAUCAUCAUACCUAUUUUUAAUAUAUUGCAAUGUCAUAUACAAAUUUAUGUUUUAGUUGCAAGGUCAUGCAUUCGUUAGUUAAUCUAUUAAAUUGACCGCUAAGUGAUGAUGUGACAAGCACGGAACUCAAAAGGAGAAUUCGUGCCAUGUUGCUAAAGCGAUGAUAGUGUGGGUAUUGAUCUGGGUGGGAUGGUGAUUUUAGCGGAUUCAACGGAUUCUGGCAGCAGAGGAGCGAAGCGGAUUUGCAGCAGUAUACUGCGGUGGGGUUUGCAACAAUCAAGUAGCGCUUCGGUUUGCGGCAAUCAGGUGCGGGCACGGAGAACUGAUCAGAUGGUAGAGUGUGGUCAUCAGAUCUGAAAUGAUUGAAACCCUUAUCGUAAGUUGUGAAAUUUUUAGGACUGGGGAUUUUCAUUCAUGGUCGACUAAAAAUUCAAACCCUAAAUAUGAUUUGUGAUUUGGUGGUGAAGGGUUUAAGGUCUGCCCUUAAAUCAUAACGACACAUCAAAUAAAAAUACAUAUUAUGCAUGGAUAAGGCUAUAUACUAUAGUGAUCUAAAUAUUAUGUAUGUUGUCAAACUAUAAAUCACAAGGACAAAUUAAAUAAAAAUACACUUUGAUCAGUCACUCACAGGUGAAAUAUCAUAUCAAGUAGUCAAUAAAAAGAUUCUAUUUCGUUCAUGGCUUCACCAGUAUACCAUUAUUCACUUUGCAUCAUGCUUUGCAGCAUGAUAUGCCAGCUGAGGUGAAAAGGCAUCUAGGUUAGAAACAAAUCACUAGAAAACAAUAGUAUUUAAUAUGCAGGCCAAAGAUAGAAACACUAGCCCCCGACCCCUGUAUGCACUAUUUAGCUCUAUGUGGAAAUCAGUGUGAAAAAAAAUGAAUUAAGGGGCCCUGAAGAUCCUAUGUCUGCUCGCACAAGACGAGAAAAUACUUCACAAUUUGCAGCUUUUUUCUCUCCAAAUUUCAUUCCCAGAUAUAUAUAUAUAUGUGGAAAUCACACAUCAGAACUUUUCUAUCCACAAUUUCUCUUGCCUUCAUUUGUUAUAAUGUUCUUUUGAUCAACAACAAUCGGUAACUUCUCGAGUCCUGAUAUCAAUAAAACGGUGAGUAACCAUAAAUAUUUAGUCAUCAAGUAAUUACAAGAACGAGACUGAUGUAUUAUAAUACUAAGUAUCUUUUGAUUAUCAACGAUUGGUCAACUAUUCUUUUAUUCUUGAGUCUUGUUACCGAAUAAAACGGUGAUUAAUCGUAAAUAUUUAAUCAUCUAGUGACCAAAAGAACGAGAAUGAUGCAUUAUAAUACCAAGUACAAUUUUUAUUCCAACUUUGUGCUUCAGGGAAGGGGGUGGGGUGUUGGGUGUGCGUUUGUUACAAGAGCAUGCCUUUACAUGAUUAAUGAGUUUAUAGCAUACAAUCAUGCUCCUGCCUGCAGAGGAAUCUUCCGUCUUUAACACUGUUGAGCACAGUUACAAACAGUAAUAAACAAAGGAUAAAACGAAGGUGGCAGCACUGAAAAAACAAAAGAGCAUAAGGUUUAAAAGAUGCGAAGAAGAAAGAAGAAAAAAGUCACAGAAACCAACAUAUGGAUCAUCAACUACAUUCAGAGACCUUGUCUCUCUCUUUCUUGAUGACUAAUCAUUGUUGUUUCCAUAAGAAAUGCUAAGGAGAUUAUCUUAAAUUAAGGCUUUUCAUAGAUUCUCACGCUAUUAAAGAUGGGCACGAUUCGGUUUGAUGCGAUUUUAAGUGCAGUUUUGGAGCUAAAACCGAAAUAAAACCAAACCGUUUGAUUCGGUUUUGUAUGGUUUCAAACGGUUACGGUUUGGUUUCAAACGAUUAUGGUUUGGUUUCAAACCAUUUACAUACAAAAUGCAAAAAAAAUCUCUUUAUCUUCAUCUUUCUCUCUCUCUUCCCCCUCCCCCCCCCCCCCCACCUCUUCUCAACACUAUUAGUAAAUAUACAGUUUAAAACCUUAUUUCAAACAUUGUUAAACAUUUCCUGGAUGUAAACUAUCAAAUAUUCACAUUCACAAUUGAGCAGUUUCAAAGAAUCAAAGGAAAAAUUAGAAAUGGAAAUUUAAAAUCACGAGUUCAACAAGCAAAGCUAUUUCUAGGUGUGUAGAAGUGCAGCAAAUGUAGAAACACUGCUGUAGGUUUACAGCAAGAACGUAGAAAACUAAUGCAGAGAUAUAUUUGUGGAAGUGACAAUCUUUCAUUCCUUCAUUUGUUGUAUAUAUAGAUACAUGUCUAUCAACUAUACAAAGAGUCGUAACGGGAUCAUAAUCUGAUAAUUACAACAUAAGUGAGUAAAUCAAAUAUGUAACAACCCAAGAUAAGGUUGCUAAGUACUACGCUAACAAGGUGGAUAGUAAUUGCUGCUUAAGCUUUGGCAAUGAGAAUUACAUUGCUCCCCAUUCUUAUGCGCAAAUUAAGUUGAUAAGGAUUCUGCAGUUACUUCCCAAAUGUAAGUUUUAAACUUUGACUUGAUCACUUCAUUGGACUGUUUUGUAGCUUUACUCUUGCAAUUAUAUUUUGCAGAUCCAAUGCUAAAGUUUGGUUUAACCAUAAACAAUAUUCAUCUCGUUUGGAUAUUUAAUAAAAUGUCUUUUAAAUAUUUGUGGUGUGGUUCGGUUUCGGUGAGAUUUUCAAAAGUCAAAACUAAAACUAAACUGUUUUCUUACACUGCGGUUCGGUUUCAAACCGAAACCAUUUCAAAACCGCAAACCCAAACCGUUCGGUGUGGUUUAAUUUGGUUCCUGUUUCAGUUCCAAGUGCCCACCCCUACCCACCACCUUAUGUUUUUGGCAUAAUUAUUGUACCAACAUUAUAAAAUAUUGUGCAAAAAACAUGAGGUGACAGAGAGUUCUGCUUUUAAGAGAGUCACCUUAGCUUUUUCCUAUUUGCAUACGUGGACGUAGCCGCAUUGGGUAGAGCAAAUGUGUUCUUCUUUAUAUAUGAGUUUGAAUUAUUAUUUUUUCCGUUUAGAUUAGUGUAAAGUAAAAAAUUACUUGUACCGAAUAUAAAAAAAUAUAAAAUUAUUGUUACUCUUGUUAGUUCCUGGGUUUUAAGAGAGUCACCUUAGCAUUUUUCUAUUUGCAUAUGUGGACGUAGCCACAUUGGUUAAAGCAAAUGUGUUCUUCUUUAUAUAUGAGUUUGAAUUAUUUUUUCCAUUUAGAUUAGUUUAAAGUAAAAAAUUACUUGUACCGAAUAUAAAAAAAUAUAAAGUUAUUGUUAUUCUUGUAGUUCCUUUCAAAUCACAAAGGGUUUUGUCCAAGCUAUCAUAAAUAUGUUAUUUUGGCUAAGUUUAUAUGGAAUAUACACAAAUGAACCGUUUUCAAACUUUUAACAGAAAAUGGAAUGUAAAGUACACUAAAUUGACCCUAAUUUAUAUAGGAUUCGUUGUCAUUUUAAUAUUUAUCUUGUUCUAUUCUCGAUUGAAAGUUUGUAAUCGGUUGUAUUUGUAUGUUUUACUCAAGUUUAAAUGACUCCACCCAAUUCCAUCAGAGUAUGAAUCAAAAUUGCAAAUGAGUGAAUUAUUCUCUUCAGCACAAAGGAGAUGGACCAUGGAAUAAAACCCAUAAUUGUACCUAAAUCCAUUACGGUAUCAGCAUCUUUGCUUCAUUUGAGAGGCCUUUACUACCCCCAUUACAAAAAGGGGUGGUGAGGAAUGAUGUCUCGACUAGGGGUGAUUUGGUUCGGAUCAGAUCGGAAACAAACAUUUCAGUGCCAAUUCAAAUAUAGAAUCAAAUAUUAAUUUCAUUUCGGAAUUUUAGAUUAUAAGAAGUUAUCGGAAAUUUUGGAAUCGGUUUUAUAUUGGAAUUUUUGAACAUAAUUCAUAAAUUCUACAAUUUGCAAGAUUUUGAAAAUUUUCAAACUUUUAUGUAUCCAUCAUUCUUUUUUUUUUUAAUUUUUGUUAUAUUUGUUGGCUGUUACGUGUGUAUGUCAUAAAAUCAUAUUAGACAAGAUAAAAUUGUACGUUUGGUUAUACUCUUCAUUUUUAAUAUAUGAUAGUAUGAUUAAAUAUACUAAAUACUAAAUAAAGCAUAUCUAAACAUGAUAAAAUAAGAAUAUGCAUAAUUUUUUUUUAUAAUACUAAGCUUGAGAAAUUUUGGAUCAGAAUGUUGAAAUUCUCAGAUCGAUAGAUACGCCAUACAAAUUUUUCAGAAAUGUUCCGACUCUAGAUGGAAAUUUUUGGUACGGAUUGGAAUGUCCAAUCCCACAUGCAACCCGUAACAGUUAUGGCAACAACAAUCGACAUUUGACCUACCCUCCCAAAUAAUCUUUCAGCCAAAAUAAAUAGCACCUAUUCCCCCAGCAAAUAUGGACGGUGAGGUGCUUCAAUAGAAUUAAUACUCUCCAAGUGCAUUAAUGAAUUCACCCAAAGAAACAUAUAAUUAGUUGAUUCGAAAAUUCUACUAUGCUUCGUAUAACAUGUUUGUGAUGAAUGUAGUGUAUAAUGCAUGCUAGAAAACUCUUUUAAAUCGUGAAAAUUCUACUAUGCUCCUGUGAAUGGCAUGCGCCGAAUAUCAACAAGCUGAUUCUUGGGCUGUGCAUUAAAAAGCGUGAAAAUUCUACUAUGUUCCGGUGACUUUCAUGGUCCAGUAUUGGUUUGGGUCUAAAUAUGCAAGGAAGCAACAAGGGGCAAAGAUUAAAGAGCCAAUGAAGGAGAAAAAUAGGGAUACAAAUAAUCACGAAAACAAACGAGGAAAGCGUUGUGGUUCGCUAUCUGUAGACAAGGUUUCAAAGUGAAAAAUAAAACAAAACGACGGCUCGAUUUCACUAGACUACAAUAUAGUUGUUCAUCCAUAUUCCAAAAAGCAAUAUCACUAACAACAUCUGCAUGGCCACUAGUCAACAAAAAUAGAGGCUGCUUAACAUAUGACGGCUUACUGAUACAUCUAGGAAGUGUGUGAUACCUGUGUGAUCACUGUAUCUGGCAACCUGAAACUGCCCGAUUCUCUAACCGUGAAUCUGAACGAUCAAUCUUUUGAGAAAGGAAAUGUAGCUGUGUAACAGGUAUCAUUUAUGAACUUUUUUGCUGAGAUUGAAACCAGAGGAGAUCCUUUCGAUGUUUCAUAGCCACUUUUUUCUCCAACUGGCGGCUCUUUUAUCACCGGAUAAGAAUCUGGGAAUGCUUAACAGACUGUUAACGCGGGUAAUACCUUCCAAGGCUGACCAGUCCUCGUCCUCUUUUGUUGAAAUGCAUUCUGCUAAACUUCUUUUAGACUGGCCCUCGAACUUCGUUGGAAGCUUUUGUUCUGUUGAAUCAGAUACGGGCACAAUCUCAUCGCAGCUUCGUAUGGUACCCGAAUGCUCAAGAACAACGGCAUGAGAACUACCAGUUUCUGAAUCCUCAGUAUUCUCUUCUGUUAUUGCCAUCCUCUCCAUUGCCUCUCCGUUAAUAUUUGUCUCUUUAUUACUCUUUGUCUCGUCAUUAAUCUUAAUCAUUUCAUUAACCUUCGUCUCUUCAUUAAUCUUCAUCAUAUCAUUCUCUGUCACAGCCUCACCAGCUUCAGACAACUGUUCUAGAAAAAGGCAUACAACGGCACAAUCAUCAUUCUUGGAAGUAGGGUAUUUGAGCCUCCAGGCUCUAACGGCACAGUCCACUAGAGCCCGGGCUGCUGUUUUAUGACCGGGGGCAGAAGCUACAAUUUCAACAGCCUCCUUGUUUGAAAGGACGUCCCAGACCUGUAUGAUGUACAAUUUAUUGAGCACUUUUAGGCCGCAAGAAACCAAAAAUAUAAAAAGGAAAGAAGAAAGAUACCCCAUCGGUGGCAAGAAUUAUGAACUCAUCUCUUUCAGUAAGAUGGCGAUAGAAAACAUCAGGCACAGAAAUUAAACCAAAAUCCUUCAGACAGAAAUCUCCAAAGGCUCUAGCCAUUGCCAAACCAGGAGAAUCAUUAUUCGGCAACCAUACACGAGCAACCUCUGGCUCAUCCUGCAAAGCAAAUACCCUUCCCUUGCAUUGCUGGAUCCUAGCAGAUUCCGCUAAAAACAGAAGAGUCAAUAAAUUUGCAUCAACGGAUUUUAUUUUUCUUUGCAGUCAGGUAUCAGGUUUUGUACAUGAGAUUUGUGAGAGAUACCAGGAAGAUCUGGCUUUAAAUCUACUGUCAAUUGUACAGCAAUCAGAGAGUUGUCUUGGUCUCUCGUUGCUAGCACAGCCCUUGAAUCCCCAACAUUUCCAAUUACAAGAUUCUGACCCUAAAACACCGUAAACCUCAAGAUUAGUUUUCUCAACAGUGAUAGGAAAUUUCAUCAUACUGAGAAUGUCUAGUUCAGCCUUCAACCAGGACAGCUUCCAAGAAAUGCCAUUAUGAUAAGAAUUCCCGUAAUAAAUUAAUUUCAAAGAAAAGAAGAAUAGAACAGACUCAUAAUAACGAUAAAAAACUAAAAGCACUUACCGAAGGAUCAGAUUUCUUGUUAUUAUAGUAAGGAAAACAGAUUAUGAACAAAUAAAAAUGAAAAUUCUGUGUAAAAAAACUGUACAAUCUCAAAGUUUCCAGAAACUUUUGGUUAGAGAAUGAUCACUUAUAUGAAUGAUAUGAAAAUACAAAUCAUUUUUAAACUUAUUUUCCAACAUAUUUUACCAAUUUAGUUGAUCAUAAUGUUAAUGUUUAAAUGACAAACAACAUUUAAAUUUUUUUUCCCAAAGUUCUUGAUGUUUCCCUUGAUGACAAAAAGCAUCAGCACAUAAACUUCUUAAAACUUAUGGGCCGUUUGGUAUCCUUCUUAGAUCCAAAUAUUUGUUUUUGAAACUUUUGAGUACUAGGUAAUUUAGCUACAUUCAUCAUUUUUGAAAACUAUAUAUUGCUUUCAAAUUGAGUACCAAACAACCCCGAACUUUUCAGACAUUUUUUUCCUUUUAGAAGGAGAUGGUGUGAUGCUUUAAGUUAUCAUCAACACAGUACCCAUCCAAGUUUUUUUACUAUCAUAUAUUCAUGUAUAUAUGUACAUACAUACGCAUGUAUGCAUGUAAGCACAAGUACGUACCCAUGUAAGCACACAAACACCAUGUCACAUACAAAUACACAACGAUGCAUAGAAAUACACGCACACACACUUUGAGGAUGUUUCAUGAACAAUCACCUGCUUUACCAAUGUAACAGCAGUCGUGCCACUGCAGAAGCAAUCGAUGGUUGGAUGCAAUUUUAGUUCCUUGUCCAUUAACUUGAAAGCCUUUAAGAAUGACUUUUUUAGUGGGAGAUACAUGUCAGGUAGUUUUUCAUUUUCCCGAACCUCCAAUGAUUCGCACCAUUCAUCAUCAAUGCUUGGCGACGCAGGUUCCUCCAAAUUAGAGCUCCCAUUCGCAUUCUCAGCCUUAUCGAGAUUGCUCAGAUCACUGUUUGAAUUAGCUUUCCACUGAGUACAUAGUAUAAGAGGAAGAGAAUCCCGAACUUUCUUGGCGACCACGUGACCAAACGGACCGUGGCCAUCAAACACCCCACAAAAUGUUGUAUCACUUCUUGUGGCGAAAUUCUACAGCAGAAACUUGCAAACAAAUCAGCACAAAUUGAUCCCAAAAAAUGAACAAGAGAAAAAAUAGAGAACAUUUCAUAUAAAGGAACAACCUUCCAAAAAGCUUUGUAAUUUGACUAAACUAAUUCAAUGACGUAGGGGAAAUCAACAUUUUACUGACAAAUCAUUAUGUCGUAAAAUGUAACAAAUUUCAAGUAUAUUCUUUAUCUUUUAAUUGAUAAAAAACGUCUCCUUAGCCUCACAGAGGUAUGGAAGAUUGAAGAAGGGUCCUUCCCAAAACCAGCUAAAAAGAACGUAAAAAGGGCAACUGAGUACGGUAUGCCUACAUGCAGGGCAUUCAUCCCGAAAUUCCUCGCAAGGGUCAUUCCAAAAUCACACAAAGGUCAAAUAUAUUAGUACAGGAUCUCAACUGGAUUAGCAAAAUCUUUGCUCUGAAGUGUGAACACAGUUAUAAACACACUAAUGUAACUCACAAUUAAAGUAAUCCCUGAAUAAAAUAGUACCAAUACCAACAAAAAGUGACCUAGCAACUGUGCAAUUGAAGCAACACCACCAAUCUUUCUUCCCCCCAUUUCCAUAAAACCCUUUACUAUUAAUACCAUCCUGCCAAAAUAUGAACCCACAUUUUCCAGUUUCCACAGAUUUUUUUUCCAAAAAAAUAGCUGCAAAAAGGUCCAUUUUUCUACUCAAUCUUCCAAACCCAACUGCAAAAAUACCGUAAAUUUGCAGAAAUGGGUUUUGACAUUGGGGUCAGAUCACGGUCAAACAUGUGGUCACAGCUGAUGAUAAAGCAGCAAAACAGCAGUAAAAAGUUAGAGAGAGAAAGUGAAGAGCAAACCAACCUCCCAGACAAGCAUGGCGUCCUGAUUGGUCCCUUUCUUUCCCUGCUGGGUAUACAAGCAGGCGACUUUGCUGCCUCCAUUGCCGAUCAAUCUGCCCGGAAUAUCAAUCUGAUGGCCCAAAUCUCCGCAACCCGCUUUGUCAGCUCCCGGCUUCUUCCUCUUCCACCGUUUCGAGCCGCCUUUGGCUUUCGGAGAAGCGUCGUCGGCGUAGUCCACUUUGCUCUGCUCCACCAUAUCACUCCUCUGCCCCAAGCUUUUCUGAGUCGAACAACACGAACCCAUUUGGUAUUCGAAUUUAUGCGGUGCUCCGGAAAAAAACCCAAUUCGCCAAAUCGGAUCCGGAGAUUCUUUUGUCGCAGAGAUUCAAUUCAAAAAAUGGAGCACAGUGGAGGACGAUGGGUAGGUGCACGCUUUGUCACAAGAGUCACAGAGCCAUAUAAUUUUCAAAUAAAUUAAAACAGAUAUUAAUAACAUUAAUACUAAUAUAAAUAAUUAAUUUUGUUUAGUUAAAAUGGCUCUUGAAAUUAUCACAACCCUUACUUUGAUAUCUUAGAUAUAAAAUCGAUAAAAAUAGUCUUUGAAAUUGUUCAUGUCAUUCUCAUUAUUAAGUAAAAAAACUUCGUUGAAUUAAAAAAACUAUCAGUUUAAGGGAAUUAAUUAAAAAAACCUUCAAUCUAAUAGACAUUUCUUAUUAAAAUAUUAUAAUAAUUAACGGUGAACAAUCUUAAAAAUUAUUUUUAUUCAUUUUAAAUCUCAAAAAUAAAAUAAAAAGCUAAUACAUUUAAUAAAUAUUCAUGACAACAAUGACCCAUCUGCAAUAAUUUGUUGACCUUCUUCAAUCUUCAUCCACCUUCUUUCUGUUUUUAAUUCAAAGUGGUAUCAUUUUUUAAUUUGUGCCCAAAAAGAUAGUCUCUUUUAUUCCAUUUCUUUAAUUUCCACCUUUGGGAAGAACAAAAAAAAAAUGCAGGAAAUAAAAUAAAGUUUUUGUAUAAAUAUUUCAACCACUUCAACUGGUCCAUUGCUUAACAUUUAAUAAUCGGUUGAAUCGUGUGACAUGCACGAGAAAGACACCGUUGAAUUGUUAAUACCCCCACGGCAAAUUUGAAAGAGACCGUCACUUGUUUGGGUUCGUUUUCGGGAUUUAAUUUAAUGUUUCGUAUCAUUUAAUGUUUAGGUUAUCGAUCAAGUUCAUUCUUUUAAUAACAACAAUUAAGCUUUGUUUCAAUAAGUAAUAUCAGUAGUAUGAAUUUUAAAAAGUUGUUGCUUUCGAUUUUGCACCGAGUCUUUCGUUAACUUCAAGUACUCUAUAUAUAUUCUUAAACUCUCUUUUCAAGUUUUGUAGGUCUUUCUCUACCAUUUUUACUCUGAGUCUUUGUCUCAUAGUCGCAACUUCUAACCGGAGCAUGUGUAGGUCUUCAGUGCAAGUUUCUAAACCACCUUAACUGAUUUUCUCUCAUCUUAUCUUCAACUGCGACCAUUCAUACUAUAUCUUAAAUAUUCUCAUUCUUAAUCAUAUCAUUUCUUGUGUGCCAAAUACCUCCUUUCCAAAUUUAUCAAAUUCAAAAUUCAUUUUAGCCAUUUAAUUAACGGCGUAACCAAUUUAUUGUUAAUCGACAAUUUUUUUGUUCAUUUGUCUAUGUGGUCACAGUUACAUAACAAAACAAUAUUUUCUUUUUUAAAGAGAUUAGAUGGUGCAUUUGUCAUGACAAUUCAUCAUUUUUGGAUCAUCAAAACUCACAAAGGUAUUUCAAUUUCUUCUAACCAUACGUAACAAAAUACUUUUUGAUUCAAACGAAUUCGUGCAAAAGAUGAUUUUUAAUGAUGGCUUUCAAAACUACCGGUUCAUAUAAACAUAAGUAUUAUAAAACGAGUGAUUAACUUUAUAUUAAUUUACUAGCUAAUUAGCGUAUGAACAUUACUAAAGAAAAGUAAUAAGAUAAAAAAGAAUCCACCGACUCCGAUGCAGUCGAAGAAAUAACUAGUUGACUUUUGUUGUAAACGACAUAUGGAACUCUGAACUGUCGUUGUGCAAAGUGAAGUCCUUGAGAUUCCACAUUUUGGCAUAGUCAUCUCCGUCGCAACCGGAAGAGUUAAACUCUCUUCUUUCAUGGACUGUCUAAUCUGGUAGUGGGUAGUGACUCGUCAGGGUUGAUAAUAUGACACGCUUUUUGUUUCAUUGGACAUGGAUUUUGUCGUAUGCUUAUGUGGAGCAAAUCACUUUGACAAUGAAGGCAGCUAGAUGCCGGACAGGAACUUGCAGUCUUUUCUCGAGACUUUGAUCAUGUAAUAAGGGAGAUAGCAAAAUGUAUAAAGUAAGUAAAUUAUUACUCAUGUAACAAAAUUACGUGAUAAAAGAUACAUAAGUGAGUUGUAGGUAACCGUUGUGAGAAUGUGAAGAAUAAAGUUUUACAUGGGGUGGUGGAACACACCUUGUAAAUAGGGCUCACAAUUUCUUAAAUGAUCCGUUAAUUCGACAUGAAACGAUACAAAAAUAACGGGUCUUUGGUCAACUUGUUAAUGAGUCGGGUCAUUAUCUUGUAACCCGUUAAUAAUAUGUUAAUGCGUCGGGUCGUUAUUAGGUCACCGGUGAAGAACCUGAUAUCGUUUGCCAGAUAUAAACAUUAGGCAAGACAAUUUCUUGCAUGACUGUCAACCUGACACGAAACGACACGACUAGUUAACGAAUUAGGUCGUUAUUGCAUGAGUUGUUAAGAACCCUUUAAGGUAACGUGUUUGACAUGACACGACUCGUUAAGAUAACGAGUACGACACGAAUACGACAAACACGACCUGUUUGCCAGACACACUUCGAAGGGCUUAUAAAAAGUAAUUGUCAAUUGCUUUUAUGGGAAAAUCUCAACUUAUGCAUGGUAUCAAACCGUAAGUUGGCCCACAUGUUAAGCCAACGCAUGAAGUCCUACGGUUAUACAAAAUCUCACGUCAUCCAAUACGUGUUGUCCACGUGCUUGUGUAGAGUAAUAUUUUAUGCUUGGUACAGAUACAAUUGCACGUACUUACGAGCUGGCAAAUUCUAUAGAGCAUCCCCAGUCUCUACCAUACAAGCACAACGCAUGGAGACAAAUAGUAGCUACAUGAAAUACACUAAAGCAUUGCCCUUGUUUCUCCCAAAAAAAAAAAAAGCGUUGCCCUUACACUUCUUCUAGGUUUUGGUUUCAUUUGUGCAAGGUGGUUUGUUUGGUAGUUGGAGUGGAAUAAAAUCAAUGUGAAUAAGAAAGGGAAUGUAAUCGAUUCCAUUGUUUGGUUGAUAGUGAGAACUAGUAAAAGAAUCAAUGUAUUUUAUUCCAUUACCAUUCUCACUUUACUACUUUUAAAUACUGUAAAAUUUGCACUCUGCUACCUUUAAUUUUUUUUGUUACACUUUCAUACCUAGAGUUUUUUUUUUUUUUGGUAAAUUCAUACUUCUGUUAGAUUUUUCGUCAAAUUCUUGUUAACUGGUGACAUGACAUUGUGGGUCCCACGAGAACAUACGAAACAAUUUUAAAAAUUAAAAUUUUUUUUUCAAAAAAAAGAAGAAAGAUGUUAAUAUCCCACCUCCAAUAGCAAAGUCCCAAAAAUCAACCUCCAUCUCUAUCUAUCUUCACACCCCCACACGAGAUUAGGUUUCAUGGUUGUCGACGAGAAUAAACAUUGAUUCCUUCAACUUGUAGUAAUUAUUGGUCAAGAAAUCGAAUUGAAUCGAUCGAAUUGAGAUGGAAUCGAAAAUAAUACAGAAUUGAAUCAUAGUUGAUAAAUCAAAUAAAUAUGAUUCUUCGAUUCAAACAGUCGACCACUAGAAACCAAUUUGGAUAAUAUAUUUUCUUUUUUCGUUGACGAGGUUGAAGAGACAAAAUAGAGAGAGGAGGCUUGUCAGCGGCGAUAAUGGUGGUUUAUGCAUCUGUUGAUGGAGGUGAGGCAGCCAACGACUCGUGAGCAUUGCAGAGUCGAAGAGGGAAGGGAGAGCAUUAUUCUUUGUUUUAAUUUUUCAUUAACGAAUUAAUUUUUAAUAUUAUUUUGUUUGUCAAGUCUGUAAAUUUGAUGGGCGUAGCAUGUCACGUCAUCAGUUAACAACGCAUUUAACGGAAGGGCUAACAGAAGUAUAUACUUGUGAGAAAAUGUAAUUUUAGGAAUGAAAGUGAGAUGAAACAACGCAGGAUAGCAACGUGUAGAUUUCAUGAUACUUGUUAAGGAUAUUAAAAUGCGAAUUUCUUGACUUUAGUAAAGUGAGAACCAUCUUUUGGUUAAAAAAACAAAAACAAAUAAUUGUAAAAAGUCACUUAGUACUAUAAUUUCGUGAUUUUUUUUUUCACUCAUAAGCAAAAAGUCUUUGGUUCAAUUUUUCGCUAGAGACCAAUCACAUUAUUGCAAUCCAUUGUCAAAUUAAACUGCUCUCUCAUUUAGUUUAGAUAAGAUCGUUUAAAAUAAAAAGUAAAAAAAAAAGAAUUUAAAAAAAGACAGUAACCGUUAGUUUCGCCCAAAAAAAGAAGCACCGUUAGAUGAUUUCAGAUUCGCGCCUUUUCAGACGCGUGUCAGAGAGAUCCACGUAACCUAACGGUUUAAUUUAUCCAUUAAAAACGCCGUUAAAGUACCCAGUACCCAGUACCCAGUACUCUAUGCCUGUGCAGCUUCAGGUGGCAUAAGAAGUCAAAAGACUAGGUUUUGAGACGGGUCUCCAUCUCUAUCUGAAAGCCCGAAGAGAAUUUGCAGCUGCCCUUCUCUCUCUCAUUCUCCUCUUUGGUAAUUUUCUCUCUCUAACUCCACCUUCUUCUUCUUCUUCUUCUUCAAUCUUUUGCUAGCUUACCAAAUCUCAUCUGCAACUUCCAUGGCUGAAAUAAAUCAUUGAUUGAUCAUUUCUGAAGUUCUUUUCAUUCAGUAAAGAUUGAAACUUUACUGUGAUAUAUCAAAAGAUUUCAAGUUUCUUUUCAUUCUUCAUAUUUUUUGAAGGAAAUUAAAUUUUGGGUUCUGAAGUGAGCGACUUCAUCUGAUCGAAUCAAGUGUGUAUUUGAUAUAUACAUAAUCAUAAUAUAUAUAUGUGUGUGUGUGUGUGUGUGAACUCUUGGGCACUUUGUACUGCUAGCUGGUAAUUUUUAGGGGAAACUUCUAUCAUGGGAUUUAUUCAUUUAUUAAUUUGGAGAGGGACAAUUUUGGAUCUCUCUUUUAUCAGUUUGUCAAAAGCACUUUGUGAAGAUUUUGACUUAGUCAAGUCUUUCUAUUGAAAGAAGAAAGUAUUGAUUAAAUUGAGUUCUUUGGGAGUUUUAGAAAUAUGUUUUUAAAAGUAAAGCUUACUUCUAACCAAAUUCAUCAAAUUCUAGACUUUAGAUUGACUACUACACCUACACCCUUGAAACUCAAAAGUGCUUAAUAAAUAAGUAAUUUGAAAAGUGCUUAUUUUGGUUUAUGUUGCAGGACGCAGUUCCAUUUGUGGUGUGUUUGGCUUCCAAGAAACUACCGUAUGUUAUUAUAAUUUUCCUUGAAUAUUUUGUUCAUGAAGUCUUAGCUAUAUCAUGGGAGUAUGAGAUCCUAAGUGUUUAUGUAUUACGAAUUUACAAUGCAAAGCUGAGAAAGUAAGGUGAUUGAACGAACCAAAUACUAUGCUGAUUGAUACUAAUUAAAUAGAGUACUUCAUUAUGACGAAAAUCAUUCAUCCGUUGUGGCAAAUUAAUGUUAUGUUAUUUAUGAAUGUAACCUGUCUCUUCAGACAGGUAAAAUGCAAGGAGUACUCAAAACUUUUACAUCACACGGAAGCAUUGUGAAAAAUGGAGUUUUGAGACACAUCCGUCUUGUGAAUCCCCUGCUCCAGCCUGUUGCGUUUUCACGUUUUGAGUCUGCUACGCCUGCCAAUGCCCACAUAGAAGAGCAGGGUUUUGAAAGCACCAGAAUUGCAGAUGUCUUGAAUGCAAAAGGUAAAGGUGCUGAUGGUUCCUGGCUCUGGUGCACAACCGAUGACUCUGUUUAUGAUGCUGUUAAGUCGGUAAGCAUAUUCGAGCUUUAUGAAAGUUCGUGUUCGUGCAAUGAUUUUACAAUCUUUGGAAUGAAGGAUUUAAGUCAUAAAUAAUUAAAAAUUCCCUUGCAGAUGAUCCAGCACAAUGUUGGAGCCUUAGUUGUUGUGAAAUCCGGAGAGCAAAAAUCUCCCGCAGGAAUCAUAACAGAGAGAGGUAGGCUUAUGUAAUAUACUGAUAUAUACCGUGCCGCACUUGUUUGAGAUCAUGAUGUGAAUGGUCUUUGUAUUGGGAGCUGGAUUAUUCUUGUCUGAAAUUUGUUAGGGGAACAUGCCAGCUGUGAGAAAUUUAUGCAUUUCAAUUUCAAGUGUUUCAGCAGCUCCCAAGGGAAGCUUGUUUAGAUUCGAUUUCGUUUUUCUGAGAAUUAUUUUUGGAAACAAUGGUCUAGAUCACUUUGAGUAAGGAUAACACCAAUAGAAAUUCAUUAUUAAUCUAUUAUACAAUUGGUAUCGAGCUUUACUCUUGAAAGUAGGAACAAAUUCGUAAGUUUAAAGGUUGAAGAAAAGCACCGGGCAGACUGAAUGAGCUUAUGCAUGGACUUGUUGCUGAACAAUAAGCUAAAAUAGAAAGGUAAAUUUGGCGAGCACAAAUAGUUGGGCAAACAUUUGGGAAAGUUUGAAGGGAUAAUGACUGUCUAUAAUUUUGAUUACAUGAUAUGCGUUGCACUAACAAUGAUCGGAAGGUACAUUUGGGUUCUCCAUAAUUAAUUGUAUAUCUGUUUGGCGGAUAAUUUUCAGAUUAUCUCAGGAAGAUCAUAGUUCAGGGAAGAUCAUCCAAGUCAACAAAAGUUGGGGAUAUCAUGACUGAGGAGGUAUAACUUGUUAUACCCAAUUCGUACUCCUUGUACAGGAAACUUUGUAAUCUUACUAGGAUUUACAUCCCUUUACAUUUGUUGAAGUUUCAUGAAUGUUUAACAUCUGAUUGAAAAUGUAAAAAACGCGGUGCUUGCAGAACAAGCUUAUCACUGUCACCCCUGACACCAAAGUUUUGUGGGCAAUGCAACUCAUGACAGGUAUUAUUUUCUGCUUCUUGACAGAACUUUCUAACUUAAUGUUCCUUUACGUUAUAUUUUGCUUCCGUGCAAGGAAGCUGUUUCAAACUUGAAAUUGGUGUGUAUUAUGCAUAGAUAACCGAAUCAGGCACAUUCCAGUAAUGGACAACGGGAAAAUGGUUGGAAUGGUGUCCAUUGGUGACGUGGUUCGUGCUGUGGUGAGUGAGCACCGGGAGGAGCUAAACCGCUUGAAUGCUUUUAUUCAAGGUGGUUACUAGAUAGUGAUGAUGACGAAGAAGUGAGACGCUGCUUUAGUUGACAUGCCGGAAUGACAAACAGUAAUAACCCUCGCCCGAGUGCCUGUAUAUAUCGUGUGUUCGUUUGUGCACCUCCGGUUGUUCGACAAACAGUAAUAACCCUCGCUCGGGUGCCUGUAUAUAUCGUGUGUUCGUUUGUGCACCUCCGGUUGUUCGACAGACAGUAAUAACCGUCGCUCGAGUGCCUGUAUAUAUCGUGUGUUCGUUUGUUCACCUCCGGUUGUUGUUUGGUUCUGUACUUCCAGUUACUGUCUAAUUACAAACCUGUGGGACUAUCAAGUACUUAACAAUAAGCAAUGUUAUGUUUUGCUUAAAUCGUCUUUCUUUCUCCAGUCGAUGGUAGCGCGUGCGUACCUUGUAUUUUGCAUCGCACACGUUUAUGUCGAAACCAUAAUCUUGAAUCUCGUUUGGUGUUUAAGCAUGCAAAUCAAGCUAGUGUUCAAAUAUACUCGUUUGAAGUGUUUUUAAAAUGAUUGAAAAUGUUUUUUAUGAGAGUGCUUUUGAAACUAAUUCUUAGUAAAAAUGCAAGUGAAUCUUGAACUCAAAGCAUUUUCACAAAAAAAAAAAAACGUUUUCAAUCAUUUGAAAAGACUUUAAAUUUUAGGGUUUGUAUGGUAUUCUAUUUGAUUUUUUUUAUAAUUUGUCAAAACAUUUCUUAAGAAUUUCUCUUGAAAACAAUUUUCUAGACUCAAAAACUUGUUUGGUGUGCGAUUUAAAAAUUUUAUAUCUUACAACUUAAACUGGACAAAGAGAUCCAAAAAGAGGGGGUCAAGAGAGAAAGAGGAGAAAGGAGGAAAGAAAGUAAGAAAUUAUUGGAGGAAAGAGAAAUAAGUGAGAGGAUCCAAGAGAGGAAGAUGAGCGAGAGAAAUAACCGUGCGGAUUGGAGGUGAGAUGAAAAAGAUAAAAAAAAAAAAAAAAGGGGGAGAGAGAAAGAAGAAACGAGAGAGAGAAAGAGAGAGAUUUGGAGUGAGAGAAGAGGAGGGAGUGAGAGAAAAGAAAUGAGCAAGUUAAGUUUAAAAACUCUAAAAACUUACUUUUUGUAUUUUUAAAUAAUAUAAUAUAUUUUUGAGUUAGUUUUAAGUUCAGUUUUUAAAAAUAAUCACACUAAACAAGUUUUCAGGUUUAAAACUUGAAAAUUAUUUUCGAGUUUAAAAAGUUGAAUUCAAGUAAAGUAUUAAACAUGCUCUUAGUUUUUACUUUAAUUUUUUCACAUGAAGGGGAACCUUAUGUUCCUUUAAUCAUGUGGAUCACUUUAAAUUUCAGUUUUUACUUUAAUUUUUUCACAUGAAGGGAAACCUUAUGUUUCUUUAAUCACGUGAUCCAUUACCUUUACAUGUGAAUCUAUUCACGUGACUCGUGGGUGAGUAAAAGCUUGGAGUAACAUUUACUCAUGUAAAAUGUUGAGCUUAUAAAUGGCUUAAAAGAAUUAAGUUUUCUCAUGAAAUUACCGAAAAUGAAUUUUACUUUGUAAACGAAGAUUGCUAGUUACAGUCGUUCACGCAAGUAGUAGUGAUUGCUAAUUGUUAAUGCAUAAUUAAACUCAUCCGCAUUAAUUGAUGACAGUAGAAGUAUGUGUUGGAGCAAUCAUCCUUAGACAUUCUUAUUUCAAAAUGAAAAACUUAAUAUAUGUUUUUGAGUAACAAUUUAAUAAUCAUUUUUCACAUGAAAUAUGGCAUGGCAACGUGGGGCUCACUUUUCAGAAGAGUAACGCUAAAGAGAUUAAAUUUGUAAACUAAAUUUUAUAAACUAAAUGAUAUGAAAGUUGAUGAUUGGAUUAUUACUUCAACAUUGAUAAGCGUGCCCAUUUUCGAUUGGUGACACAUUAUUUAGUUUGCAAAUUUAGUCUAUAAAUUUAAUCUCACUAGUUUUACUCUUUCCAGAAUAGCCCCUGUGUUGUAAUUUGAAUGAUUAGAGCAUCUCCAAAUGAGACAUCAAAUUCAAAACAUUAAAUUUCAAUUUGAUAGCUGACUUAGUAAUUUGACAUAUUGUCAAUAUUUUUCUUUCACCCGAUAUGUCAAAAUCUAUUACUUCAUUUAUGUUUUUUUUAAACAAAAAUAAUAAAAAUUGGGUUGUUAUUGUUUUAAAAAUAAUAAAAUAAUACAUAAAUAUGUUAGCAUUUAAGGUAAGACAAAUGGAAUGCCUUUGGAAAUAGCAAAAAUCAAAUUAGUAGAUUUCAAUGGUAGUUUUUUAACAGUUACGUCAACAGUUAAUGGUUGACUGGACAAUCAAUCUAAUAAAAGCCGUAAAUUAGUCAAAUGUUAAAAACACCAAAGUGUAAUGUAAGACAAAUUGAUAACUUAGCGACGUGAAACUCACUUCAGCCUUCCCGUGUUAUAUUUUGAAUAGUUAGUUGGUGUCUGUGGUGGUUUUUUGAUAAUUAUGUUAACAAGUAACGAUUAACUAGACAAUCAAUCUAACAAAAGACGUAAACUAAUCGAACAUCAAAAUACCGACGUGUAAAACUAAAACUUCAUUACUCAUUUUGAAACUGAUACAAACGUAAUAUCGUGAAAUAAGCUUAGCCCUAAAAGUAACAAACAGGAAACAAAGACAAAUACUUUUCUUGUGACAAAGACAAUAAUGUCAAUAAAUGUGAUAAACCCUGCAUUACAAAUUUUCAAUCCAUCAACGUCAAAAGACUCAAAACUCAAAACGUGUCAUCUUGCUCGCCAACACACCUUUUUUUUUUUUUAAUUUUUUUUUUAUGCUUUCAAAAUCAAACCCCACCACAGGUGACGAAACUAGACAAAACUAGUAGUUUUCCAAAAAAAAACUAGACAAAACUAGUAGCUUUCCAAAAAACCUACACAAAAUUAGAAAAUAUUGCGUAAAAUUCCAAAAUAAAAUAUCCAUUUGCUCAUCUCUUUGCUCUUCCCCGCCCGCGGUCAAGGCUCUUCAGCCAAUCUCUGGUAUCCUUUAAUCCUUACUCAAUGAAUAUUAUAUGGUUCUUUUGCAUAUAUUUUUUUGUUUUUGUGGUCCUUGUUUGACUGACUGGUCCUUCCUCUGGAUUUUUAUCUGGAAAAAGCAGAAGAAGGUUUCUCUGCUUCUGAGUUCUAAAAAGCGCUUAUUAACUUGGAAUUGGAGUUAAUGUAAGUUGUUUUCAAAAGGGUUCUUCUCGUUUUGUUCAAUCUUUUGAAAGUUGAAAGCUUUUUGUCAAAUUGGUUUCUUUGCUAUGAAGAAAAUAGGAGGCUGCUUGCAUUUGUUGUUAUUGGUCCUUGUUUGACUGGCUGGUCUUUCCUCUUGAUUUCUAUCUGGAAAAUCUGCUGCUUCUUUUGCUUCUGAGUUCAGAAGCGCUUAUAAACUUGGAAUUGGAGUUAAUGAAAGUUGCUUUCAAAAGGGUUCUUUUCUUUUUGUCCAAUCUUUUGAGUCAAAUUGGUUUCUUUGUUAUCAAGAAAAAGGAGUCUGCUUGCAUUUUUAUUGUGUAUGCGGAGCAGGGUUUGAUCUGGAAUAUAUUUUUUGAACAGUCUGAGCGUUUAAUCCAACAAGGAAGAAGUAUGGUGGGAUUUUCUUUUCCCUUUGGUUUAGUGUCCAUAUCUGGCUAUCUUGCCCCUGAGAAAGAAUUUCACUUGCUGGCAUCUGUCCUCUUUGGCAUCUUUCUCUGCGAUAUUGUAAGUUCCAAUCUCUAAUUUAGUUGUUUAUUGUGGGUCUGAAAGUUUUCUUUGAACCUCUUUGCUUGAUAGUUGAGGGAGUUGCUGAACUAUAUUCUCCGUGGUCGAAAGUAAACUAAUAUUUGGGUUCAAAUUUUCUAUUAUUGCCUUUCAACUCCAUUUGCACUAGUAGUUUUCUGAACAAGUUCCUAAAUUUGGCUUUUGAUCGAAUGAUUCAACUAACUUUUCCCGAAGUUGAUAGUGUCAUUGUUUGGCUGCUAAAUUAAACUUUGGUUGCAUUUACUUAAGGAUUAUGUAAGAAAUCAGGAUUCAUGAACAUGCACCUUUGAAUACAUUUAAAGGGACACGAGUAGCCAUUUGCGGUUUCAAUAUUUGGAAUGGAGAAUGAAAAUAAAAACAAGUUUUGGAUGAGUCUUUUAUAUAGGAAGUCUGAAUCUGAGUGUUCGAAUAAUGGAUAGAUUAAUACCGGUUGUUCUCUGUUGAUGGCUCCAAAUCUAGGUUCUUUUUGUUAUGCUGUAGUUAUUUUGGUCUAUUCUGUGUUCUCAAUGAAUAUUCUGAACUAUGAAAAGUUACAAUCUUUCUUUUUGGUAGUUUUGAAUUUGAUGAGAAUUCAAUCUUGAAGGUUUACAGAUUAACGCGCCUUAUUAGCCUUCUCACCGUUGAGGGAUAUGACAAACUCAGCAAAGCAGAAAAAGUUGAAUGGAACAACCGGUGAAUAUCUUCUGCGAGUCACAGAUUGAGUUUCUUGAUUUUGAUUUUUACUUUUUGGGAUAAGAAUUCUCUUGAAUUUCGUCAAGAAUACUAGUAUUGAUUAUUUUUUCCUCCUUUCCUGUACAGGGGGUUCUCAACUGUUCAUGCUAUUGCCGUAGCAUUUGCAUCAUUUUACCUUGUAGUGUUGUCAGAUACUUUUCAUGAGGAUCAUCGUGAUGAGCCAAUCAUUAGCAGAAGAUCUACCUUUUCAAAUACAACAUUGGGGGUAUGCAAAUGCAGAAAGAAGCAUUCAUUCAUGGCUUAAUUUCUAUCUACUCCCAGAAAAUUUUAUGUCUCUCCGCUUAUGAAUUUUGAAUCAAUUUGACUGUGCUGCAACAUGUCAAUUACUCUUCUGAUACAGUUGGUUUUGUUGACUGUCAAACAUGUUCUGUAGCACAUCAAAACAAAUGAGCUAAAUUAUCUCUUACGUUUUUCAUCUGCGACUCUGUGUCUACCCGUACCAUCCUCGUGUGAAGUUUUCUUCACAUCCUCUUACAACCCGAAUUGAUUACUUUGAGCUAAAUUAAACUGAUAAUAGAAAACCCAAAAACUUGUUCUUAAUUGUUUUCACUAAUGCAGAAAUUUUUUACAUUUUGCUCUGCAUACGCAUGUUUUUGCAAAUGCGCAAGUGCACACCUACAUGCACAUGGGUUAGGCAACUGAACAUUAACAUCUUAUGUCAAUUACAUCUGCCGGGUUGUUUGACCCAAGUUAAGCCUAAAUGCAAUCAAACUAACAUGAACCUCUUAAUGGAAGAUUGGUUUGAGUGUAGUAUUCGGUUUGUAUGAAAAAUUGCAGCUCCUAUUCUUCAUGUUUCAUGUUCAGUUCUAUGCACAAUGACAGUUUCUCAAUCAAUAAGCGACUUUCAAAUGCCCCUACUGUAAUUUACAAUUUUCUGGGUGCAGACACUUAUUAUUGUAACUAAUUUUAUUGGGUACUUUUUGCAGAUCUCCAUCGGAUAUUUUCUGUCAGACUUGGGAAUGAUUUUGUGGUAUUUUCCUGCUUUAGGUGGACUGGAGUAUGUGAGUACAUAGAUGAAGGAUAUUGCCUGUUUGAUAAACAUAACAAUCUCUUCUAGGCUAUUUUUAUUAAAACCUUAAACCAUAUAUUUUGGUUCUAAAAUUAACUCGGUGAAGUUUGGUAAAAAAAAAAAAGUUGCAUUUUAACGCCUCAGUUGAAUCACUAUCGUGGUUUAAUAAUUUCGGGAGGUUAUCUUACCAUUCAAGUUUGAAUGCAAGUCAAAUUCUGUAUUAACUGGUACGAUGAUGUUCAUCUGUUUUAUCUUGUUUAGGUUUUGCAUCAUGCACUAUCUAUGUACUCGAUCUUUCUCUCCCUUUUAAGUGGAAAAGGCCACAUUUACAUACUAAUGGUUCUGUUCUCUGAGAGCACGACUCCUUUCGUAAACAUGAGAUGGUGAGUGUAACAUUUGGUAAUCGCUUAAAUCUCCUGUUCUUGGUUGUCGUUAUUGGAUGAUUCAUGCGAUUGCAUACUCAGGUACUUGGAUGUUGCUGGUAAGAAGAACUCUAACCUGUACGUCGUCAAUGGCGCAGCAUUGUUCCUGGGGUGGCUGGUAAUGUCGAACUAACUCAAUACGUUUGUUUCCUUUUAAUCUUCGUGCGUUGUUAUAUGAGUUAACAUCUUCGUGCGUUGUUUAACUUAAUUUACUUCAUUUCCAUCAAGUAACGUAAUUUGUAACGUCUUAACGGUUGAUUUCCACCAAUUCAUUCAGGUGGCAAGGAUUCUUUUGUUCAUUUACUUUUUCGUCCACUUGUUUAUCCAUUUCAAUCAAGUGAGUCCGUUCUGCAUACCCUUUCAUCUUCCUUGUUAACAGAACAACUUAAGAUUCCAACCUACGAAAAAUUCGGUACUUAUCAUCUCGGCAUUCGUUCAGGUCAAGACAAUUUUCCCUCUGGGAUUUUACAGCUUGUUCCUGGUGGCUCCAAUGCUGGCUACAAUGAAUCUCAUUUGGUUUUGGAAGAUCACCAAAGGUUUGAUCAAAACUGUUUCCAAGGCCAAACACAGUCAGUGAUCCUUCUAUCUCGAGAGUCGGGAAUUCGACGUACCCCGAUGUCCAUUAGUCGUACGUCUUCUUCCCUUGUUUCUUGAUUGAAUGUGAAAGAUGAAUAGAACAAUCACUAGAUGUGGAUAAUUUGAUGGUACAUAAAUAUCUGCCACAAAGUUUUGGUUCUCAAAUCAACGUUUAUGUCAUUUUUUGGUUACUAUUGGAGAUUAAACUCGAAAACUAGACCCGACGAAAUCAUAUACUGCACCAUUUUUCACGAAGAGUUCGGGACCUUCGGGUCAAAUGUCGAGUGAUUUUCAGACACCAAUUUUCUCUCAAUGUACAACUUGUUUACUUUUAGCAUUUGAAUUGAAUAAAACUAAGAAAACUCAAUUGAUAGAUAUAAAUAGACGUGUACAGAAAUUAUUUUUCGUUUGUUUUCCUGGUCAAAUGUUAGUUUAAUUUAGGACUUGUGUGAACAACUUUUCUUAAAGUGCAUAUUUUUUUUCUAUACUAUUAUUAAGUGAAGCCUCAUUGUCAACUUUUUUCCCCUUUUUUUUUCCUAUUUAGUCUUCCUUAUGUAAAUAUUGUGUAUCAAAAGUGUUAUUAAGAGAAGCCUCCUUGUCAACUUCUUUCCCUUUUUUUUCCUAUUUUGUCAUCCUUAUGUAAAUAUUGUGUAUUAAAAGUGUUAUUAAGAGAAGUCUCAUUGUCAACUUUUUUUUCUUUUUUUAUUUCCUUAUUUUGUCUUCCUUAUGUAAAUAUUGUGUAUUAAAAGUGAGAGUAAAAUUGGAAAAAUAAGUAUAUGAUUUUCAUUUUCUCAAAAGAAAAAAAGAGGGUAAAAUAGGAAAAAUAAGGAUAUGAUUGUCAUUUUGUUAAAAGGUACAAAAUUACUAUUUUGCCCUCCUUUUUGUCAAUAGUGUAUCAAAAGUGAGGGCAAAAUAAGAAAAAAAAAAAAAAACAAAGUUGACAAGGGUUCUCUUAAUAAUAUAGAUAGAUAGAUUACCCCAUGCUUUUUUAUAGAACUACCCUCUUACUCAUCCAUAAAGCAAAAGUCCAGUAGGUUGAAAUACUAUUCGGAUUCCCCUUCCCCAAUAUAUAUAUCUCUAUUAAUUAAUAAAAUACUCAUUGUCAACUAAAAUCUUAUGAAAUUAUUAGUUUAACCCUCUAAUUAAAACAGAACAUGAGUAAGAAAUAUGAGGCAGAAAUGUAAUUUCACACAAUCAAAAUUUGUUUUUUUUUCAAAGUCUCACCUACGUGUAAUCUUAACAUCUGUAAUUUAAAAAAAAAAAAAAACUUCCCACUCCCACAUACUCUCUUCUCCUCUCAUUCUAUUUGAAAAACAAAAAUAAAAAAUUUUCUCACACACUUUAUGUGUGUCCGUAUCCUAGUAUAUAUAGAAAGAACCUCCAAAAGUAACAAAACUCUUACCUUAAUAAACAAUGUGAUUCGAAUAAUACACCUCCAGUAUAUAUGCCGCCCCAUCUGUUCUUUUGGUUAGAAAGAGAAUAUUAGGAAUAAAAAAGUUAGCAAUAAACUACCGAAAACGAAAAGAGUAAGUCAUUGCCUGAAAGAGAGAGUCGGUUCCUUGCACACACUACAAUGACAUCAUGCGCUAAUUAAAUAAAAAAUUACGUAAGUUUUUUGUUCACGUAUCUUUGUUUUAUUUGCACAACUUAACUAAAAUAGCAUACUCAAAUUUUAUUCCGGUAAUGACGAAACUUGUGGGCAAGUAAGUGAGAGAGAAAGGCUAAAAGCUCCCAACUUUCCACCUAGACCCACUUUUUGCUAACUCCCAAAUUCCCAAUUCAAAUCGGGUCAUUCAAAAGUCAAACUCUUUCAGUGUGCCAUGUGUGUGUGAGGAGAGAAUGGUGGCCGAGGAGACUAUUAGUUGGAAUAGGAACGUUGAACCUUAGAGAGAGAGAGUUGUAGAGAGAGGGAUUCGGAUUCUUUCUCCUUCUAUUUUUUCGUUCGUCUAGCCUUUUUUUAUUUAAAAAUUUGUCAUUAAGUCAUGUCAGUUGAUUCUUUUAUAGUCUCUUAUUCAAAUGUUCGUGCCGACGUCUGUUGAUUUUUUUUUUUAUAAAAAAAGAAAGACAAAAUAAAAAACGAAAAACAGUAAAUGAGAAGAGAUUUGAAGAGGAAAAAAUACGACUCGAGAAACUGAGAGAGAGAGAGAGAGCCCCAUUGGCUGGUGCUAUAUUUAUCCACCACAACGACCAAGGACUGAGAAAAUGAAGAGGAAACCAAGUUUUUUAAGUAAUUUUUUUUUCUCGUCCUUUCUUUGUAUCGGGAGAGACAUAUGAACCAACGGAGUUGGCGGUCCGUUUUUGCUUCUUUGCCCUGUAAACUGCAGCGUUUCUGCCUCCUGUCCUCCUAUUAUUUAUUUCCCUCUUUUUCUUGUGAUAUCCUUCCAUGGCUUAAAGAUUGCUCCUUUCUUUCCCUUUUCGAUUCCAAAUCGCACGUUUCCCAAAACCCAUUUCUUCAGUUCCCUAAAGGAUUCAUGGGUAGCGUAGGUUUGCAAGUUUUGAAUAGGAAAAGAGGAUUAUAGAGAGAGAUAGAGGGGGAGCUGUGAGUCACAGACAGGUGAGGUGAGUGGGAAGUUUUGAAGGUGUGGGCAGAAUGUGGAGGUGGUGCAGUGGUGUGUUGGUGAGACAUUUGGGGGUGGGGAAGCCCAACGGCGCCAACCCAUGUUUUGGAUUCAAGGGUUUUGCUAACCGGGAAUGUGGGUUGUUGAAUAUUCCUGCAACUUCGUCUCUGGCGCUGAUUCCGAGGAGAAGAAUGUCGUCUUCUAAUGAUUUCAGCAGCGGUGGGGGUGGCGGAGUAGGAGGAGGAGGAGGAGCAGAUCUGGGCAGAGGAGUAGGAGAGACGAUAUCGUCUUCGGAGGCCAAGAGGAUGAUGAGGCUGGUGAAUGUGGAGGCUUUGAAGGCAAAGCUUGGGACAGAAGGGAAAGAGGCAAUACCGUAUUCUGAUCUUCUGGAGGCGUGCCAGAGCAUUGGGGUUGCCAGAUCUCCGGAGGAGGCUGCGGCUUUUGCUCGGGUUCUCGACGAGGCCGGCGUCAUCAUCCUCUUCCGGGACAAGGUUCUCCUCCAUCCUAAUAGGGUAUGAAACCUCCUCCCCUCAACUUCGUAAUGUUCUUCUAGCUUGUUCAGAAUGAAAUUUUGCCUUCGUGUGUUGAUAAUAUUCUAAACUACUCUAAUUUACGCGGAGGACGAAGGUUUGAACUCGGGUGCAAAAGGGUUUGUUUUUGGGACAUGUUUAUCUCCAAUUGUUAUUCUAAUUCCCUUAACUUUUUCUGCUGUUUUAUUUUCACUGCCUGCUUUAAAUACUAAUUCUAAUCACGGGAUUAAUAAGUAGUGUGGAUCGCAUGUUUUCUCGGCUUCCAAAUUGAUGGGAGAGGAAAUUAAGUUUAGAUUAUCUUCCGACAUGGAAACUUUAGUAAGUUUCAAGUAAUUAUGUAUCAUCUGUAGGAGGAGAUACACUGGGUUUCGUGUUAUUUAAUUCCCUGUUAGGUCUUCAUUACGCCAUCAAACAGCUCAAAUAAGUUAGCUACUACAUGGAAUGCAAUGGCGUUCUAGGUUUCAUAUAGCCGACCCCACUUAGUGGGAAAAGGCUUUGUUGUUGUUGUUUGUGCUUCAGAAUUUGGUUAUAUCCCAUAAACCUGCCUUUUUUGACUUUUUGCUGCGUUUUACAUGGCGGUGAAGGUUUCUAGUUCUUCCAAAAUUACCUAUCCAAACACAGCAUAGGAUUUCGAUAUUCUGUUGGGGUUGAAUCUAGUUGCUUUUAGCUUCUGUUUUUCGUUCGUGAUUGCAAAUGUGAUUGUUUUAUUUUAAUACUUGGCAGUUGUGUGGACAUCUCAUCUUUCAAGUCUAAUGCAGAGAUUUGGAAUUGAUCAAAUAUAGGAUCUGAUAUGUGAUUCUUGCAUUGGAUAUGAAUUAAGAAUCUGAGCUGGUUACAAGAGAUUUCUCGAACACAAUAUAUAUGUUUAGAAGCCUUACAUUACAUUGACUCAUACCGCUGCAUUUCAUUCUUAACUUCCAGGUUGUGGAGCUAGUUCGAAAAGCAGUACCCCUUUCUUUGACUCCAGAAGAUGACCCCUUGUGGGAGGAGUUAAAACAGCUGCAGAAGAAGAAGGAAGAAAUUGAUGUACUGGCACAUAAGCAUGUCCGGCGCGUUCUCUGGUUUGGCCUGGGGGUUGUCCUGGCACAGCUCGGGCUCUUUUUCAGGCUAACAUAUUGGGACUUCUCAUGGGACGUAGUGGAACCACUCGCGUACUUCACUACGACUUCUUACAUUGGCAUAGGCUAUGCCUACUUCUUGAUCACGUCAAGGGAUCCGACUUACCAAGAUCUGAUGAAGAGGCUCUUUAUCAGGAGGCAGAGGAAACUGAUCAAGCGUCAUAAUUUUGAUGUCGAAAAGUUCAAGGAGAUCCAGAGAAAAUGCGGCAUACCUCUACACGCCAGUGCCUCGCUUAAGAAUCGGGUAGGCCUGGAAAUAGAGCUCGACGACUCUUUACAUAGAGAUUAACACUUCCAAUUUUGUACUUUUGGCCGGGGUAGGGAAAAGGCCGGAGGUUAACUCAGACUCUUCUGUUUUGUUACAAUCUGGCCCCUCCUGGUUUUAUGUAGGUAGGGCCCAGAAAUAUUGAUUUUAACAUGUUGCUUCUUACCUACCUUCCAAUUUUUUUGGCACAAAUACUUGAUUUCAUGCAGAGCUGCUUUUAACUGAAGCAAAUUGCAAUGGAUACUGCUUUUGGCUCAUCGCUUUCUAAUUCACAUCUUUUCGGAGAGUAAUAGAGGGAUCGCAUUAUGUACCACCUCUCUAAUAGAAGUUCGGCCUUUGGCUCAUCGCUUUCUAAUUCACAUCUUUUCGGAGAGUAAUAGAGGGAUCGCAUUAUGUACCACCUCUCUAAUAGAAGUUCGGCCGCUUGUGCCGGAUGAGCUAUGGAGGCGUGGUUUCAUAAUGUGAGCCUGAAGUGCCUUUCGUCUAGCCAGUAAGGGCUGGUUUGGUAUUGCUGUGCUUUGAAGAAAAAAAACUGUUUUUGUUGUGCUGUGAGAAUAAGCUCAUUUUUGCUACUUAAGGCAUUUCAAUUCGGAAGUAGAACGAGAAUCGCACAUCCUAGGCAACUGAAGCCAAUCUAUUCAAACUUUACCGUACUGUCUCUCGAUCAGGCGGGUUGUUAAUCGGUCCUAAAAUUUCAGGGAUUCACAAACGCUGUACGAACAGUUUACUCUUUUCCGACAGCCGGUAGUAAACUUCAGAUCAACCAUGUUUAACAUACCAAGUCUAUUCAGUAACUAGACAGCCUGUUCUUUUACAGUUAGAUAAUCAUAUACAAGUUGUUCUUUUUAUAUAUUAGAAAGUCAACUUCAAGGGAGCUAAGUACAUCGAUCACAGAUUGUUCUUCAGAUCCGCUGAAGUGCUCCAAAAUCUGAGAGAGAGAGAUCUGCAAACAUCCAAGUUUUUAAACUUGUUAGUUUUAUCUUUGCUUGAAAAGUGAGGAUAAUAACGCUUACCAUUUCACGACACUAUACUUACCCCGUCUUGGUUCUUAAGCCAAUCGUAUAUGGAACUCUCCGUUGCCUUCAAUGCAAGGGAACUUUCAUCAUCUGGACUACCAAGUUUUUGGCGUUUUGUUGGGAGUAAGUCCUCGAAAUGUGCUUCAGGUUGGUUUACUCCUUGUCCCCUGGUCAAGGGAAGAGGAGUGGUUUCUUCAUUUUUACCCGAGCUUGCAACUGAAUCUUGGGCCAAGGCUUUAUCUUCAAGAGGUUCUUCCGUGGGGGAUUUACGAGCAGAACAUGGUGACGAUUCUGUUUCCUUGCUUGGAAGUUGACCAGCUUCUUGUGCAUCAUGGGGGCUAGAUGGAGUCCCUUCCAGAGACACUCCAAGCUUUUGCAUUGCCAGGCAAGUCUUGAUGUGUGCAUAACUUAUCUGUCAUUGUAAAGCAUGUUCAAACAGAUAAAAAGAAAAUGCACGCAAAUCGCCCGUCUAUAUGAGUAUGAAGCACGUAUAAAAUAUAAAUUCACGUACAUAUACACAAUUAGACAGACACAUUAAUAGCAUAACUAAAAAUGAACUCCAAAAUCAAGGCAAAGGUUUUGAGGCUCACAUCUUCUGGCAAUUCGUCUUUGAUAGGCUUUAACCUUUCCGUAGGGCCAACCUUUGAAAUGGCACACUGAAUAUCGGAGAGAACUUUAUGCGUUAGUCCAACCUCGUUGCAUAGCCUGAUCCAAUCAAUUUCGCAUCCUUCUUGAGCAGCUUCUACCACAUAAUCAAGAACAGUCUGCUCUUUAAUAGGUGCAGAUCUACCAGGGAAGUUCUGUGAUUAAAAAGAUUUAAGGUAUGUAAGAAUUGAAGGUAUGUAAGAAUUGAAGUAUAAGGAAAAGAUAAUAAUCCAUAGUAAAUACUGAAUAUUGGAGAACAUACAGCAAUUUUCUGAAUCGAGAAACCCUCAACAUGCCACAAUUUCCAGGCUUCAAACUUUGCUGGCGUUAACUUUCUUGGUUGGUUGGGUACAGGAUAGACUUUUCUCGUAAUAGCAGUAGUUUGUACGGUUGCCUCUCCAUCCAAUGAAAGAUUUAGUCCUUGUGAUAGAUCCCGAAUGAUCCGAAGAAAAUUGUUUCCAUGAGUCACUACAAGGUGCUGCAUGUAUAAAGAUGACAUUUAGCCUUCAUAUUUAGAAAAGUUAAAAGAGCAGGAAAACUUAUAUGAAACAAUGAAAAAUAUCAUUUACUUUGCUACGAUAAUUCAUUGAAGCUUCAGUUAGAUAAAAAAAAAUUGCUGAAUGCACUAUUUGUGACUUGGUGGAAUUAGAACCCCAGCCAACUGUUUGUUGAGUGCAGGAAGCAGAUCCGGGAUAUUGUUAAGGACGAGAUAGAGGUAGUAUAGAUUAUAUGCUAUCUUGGAUAAAAUUAAUUAAUUUUUUUCUAGAUUUGAAUUUUGAUCUCCCUUGAGGCAUUUGACAAGCAUUCAGCCAUUAUAAAAUCAACUUUUACGAAAAGUGCUUCUAUUGUCGUGAAUUAUGGCGUGUGGAAAGGCAUUGCCAUGUUCAAUCCUGCAACAAUUUUUUUACCAGUUACUCGUGCCUAUGUCCAGUAAAUAUUCUGGAUAGCACUGGAAGCCAUCAGAAAAGUCUUUGCUUGAGAAUAGUGAACCAGGUAUUGAUCUGUACAUAUUCAAGUCCUUUGCCAGCCAAAGGACAUGAUUAGUACGAACAGAUUACAUUCAGUCGGAAAAACACAAAAGAUGUAUCUGCAUCAAAACUUGUUUAACACAAACGCAAUGUAUCAAAUCCUUGUCGUUAAGAACUAAAGAUUUUGAGAAUAAAAUUUUUUACUAGUUAAACUACGAGGGUUUAGUUGGUUUGCCAAUUAUAAUUAAGAUCCUAGUUAACUAAUCACACUGGAGAAUGGAGAUAUACAUACAGAAACUUUGCUAUUGCUCUCUGCAAGACAUACCUGGUUGACGCCAUCGAUGUUUGCUAGCCUUGCUUUGGUAGAUGGUCUUGCUAAAGCAAUUUUUUUAAUUGUUUGAUCACCACAAAUAGCAUAUCUGCAGAGAGUAAAAUUUGGAUGAACUCAAUGUUUUUGGUAAAAAAAAAUUGAAAAUUGCUUUUAAGACAUUAAGAGAGAAUAUUUGGAAUUUGUGGUCUUGACUAUAUAAUUAAAAAGAGAUCUACGGAGCGGUUCCAAGGCUUCUUGCGAGCUUCCUUCUCUCUUCUAAAAGCAUGUGGUAGAGUUGUUUCUCUGCCUGAGAGAAAAUGAAAAUGUGUAAAAAAGGUACUAUUGUAAAUGUUGAUAACAUACGGAUAAAAUAUUGAGUAACUGAGGUGAAUAAACACAAUAACAAUUAAAUUGCCAACCUCUGAGAAUCCUUCACAUUCCUGAGUAGCCAAACUCUUAAUUUCUCCAACUUCGCCUGAUGCAUGUUUAUUGUCCUCAUCAUCGACCAUUUCACUGGUCACUGGCAAGAAUAAGGGUGGUUGAUGAUCCGGUCCAGCAGAACUAAGAAAUUGGUAAGCUUUUGGACUAAGACUGAUGCAUGAAAAAAGAAAAUUCAAAUUCAAUCAUUUUCUUUUCGAGUUUUGCAAUUGAAAAUCAAGAAAAAGAAGAAGACCUAUUAUUAAUGACAGAGAAGGGUCAUUUCUGGUGGAAUUUAGUAUCAUAUAAAAACUAAAUAGAUGUCGAAAAAGAGAUUCAUUAUUAAGUUUUACCUUCUGCAAAAGUAGAAUAAACGAAAAGAAUAUACCUUACAGUUCUGUAUAUGUCUUUUACUGUCUCCCUCAAAUAACCUGUAUUAAAAAGAGCAUUUUAACUCAUGAACAGACCAAUUAUCAGCUAAAAACUCAAAUGCAAGUAUAUCAGCUUAUGUGAACAAAGAUACAAGCAUAACAUGUAAGCAUUGGUGAACGUCUUAAGCAUUCAUAUGCCUCCGGUAUUAAAAUGUCAAAAGUAAUACUCAGAGCAAGGAGACCAGCUGAUAGAAAGUGUCCCUUACAUACCAGAAGAGACUAAUUGGUAACCAAGGGCUUUCCACCAAUUCGAAGAAUAGUCUUUCCCAAGCCCAUGCAGUGGAAGCUUGUCAUAUUGGGCAUCAAUAAUUUUUUUAGCCUGUAUGCCACAUGGAAAGAUCACCAUGAGUAACACAACGAUGUAAAAGUUGAAAGGAAAAAAAAAACAGCAACUGAAAAAUGACACUUUAAAGAACUUUAGGACCAGGAGCUUUCAGAAAGAACAGCAUUUAACAGAAGCUAACUAUAUAAAACAAUUGGCUUCUAGGAAUUCUUAUUAAUUUUUUUAGUUACAACUUUCAGCUUGUAUCACUCACAUGUUGUGUAUAACCUUGUAUCAUUAAGUUAGUUUGAAUUUUAUUCCUUCAAUGUUAGCAAGAACAUAACUGUCUUUUGAAAACCGCAAACAGAGAUAUCACUAAAGCUAAAACACAAGGCUAAAGAUUCACAUUUUUGCCCUUGAAUCACCUAAUGUAGAAGAGAGACAAAUGGAACCAACUUUUAUUCAUACAGUUCAACUCUUUGGACCUCCAGAUCAUCGAAUGCUAAACAUUCUUGUAGUAAUUACUUGUGCACCUUUUUAUCAAUGAUAAACAUGGUAUACUGUGUUUCAAAAUCCAAAUGCAUUAAAACUCACUCGAGAGCCACGAAGAAUGUCUACAGGCAUACUGAGACCCCAUUUACCCCUACAUGAUUGAAUGCAAGCCAUUAGAAGAAAUGCUUCUUUAGACAUGUCUCGCUCCCUCUUUGUGGAAGUGCAGUUAUCACAAUUACCUACAAACACAAUUUUAAGCCACCGCAUAAUAAUUGGUUCAGUUUAAGUUGAAAGAUUAUCUACCAUGGAAUGCAGGUGAAUUGAUGCUAAAGUGAAAAAACAAUUAUGUUUCAUUUUAAUAUUAUAAUUUAAAAACAUUUUACGAAACAACCUCCAACUGUCAUAAAAACUUUCAAUCUAUCUAAUCUAAGCAGUCUCUUGAAUAUUAACAUGAAAUUAUAUCAUUUCUGUCAAGUUCAUCACCUGUAAGUUCCAAUAUUUUAUUGAAACAAAAAGCACUGAAUUUAAAUCCUAGCAUCAAAAGCUAGCAGUGAGUAAAUAAGGCAGAUGAUUGAACUACAUGGAUGCAGUUUGAAACUUCAACGCUAAAAUUAGGGGAGUCUGAACUCAGGAAUUCCAAUAAAGAAAGCAGAUCCAUACCGCAUUUAUCAGCUGGAAACUUUUCCCCAAAGUGACCAAGUAAAAACUUCCUUCUGCAAGUUGUCAGUAAGCAGUACCGUUGUGCUGCCAUCAACGACUCUACAACAGCUUUACGUUGACUUUCCUGGUGAUUAGAAGCCCACAAAAACUCAUGAGGCAGAAAAAUAUUUGGCCACAUCCUAGAACAGAAACAAAAUAAGCACUUACAGAAUGUAGCUCUCCAAUGUAAAAGUCAGCUUUUGCAAAGUCACUUCUAGUGUAAUAAAGCCAGCAGACAGAUGCAAUACCAUCUCUACCGCAUCGUCCACUUUCCUGGUAAUAAGACUCCAAGCUCUUUGGGCAACCAUAAUGUAUCACUUGCCUUAUGUUUGGUUUGUCAAUACCCAUUCCAAAAGCAAUUGUAGCAACCAUGACAUCGAGUUCAUCUCGUACAAACAAUCUGAUGAGAAAGAAUGAUAAGCAUAAUGUAAAAUACGAUGCAAUGCAAGGUUAAGAAAUGGAAGGGUGAUGUACUCAACAAUUACAUUGAUAGCACAAGGAGCAACUAUAAAUUCUACUUUAAAUACACAUGGAAUGAGAUGAGAACCUAUGGGACUCCGCACGAGCUUUAUUGUCCAUUUGACCAUGAUAGAUUCCAGCCUUAAUACCUACCUCCUUGAGUGACUCGAAUACCUAGGGAAGGUAAUGAAAAACAUUAAAAGAAUGUAAGCCAGGUUCUUCAGAAAAUUCAUUCAUGAAUAAAACAAGACAUUGAUAAAAACUAUCAUAUACAUGAUAUAAUGCGGACAGUAAGUUACACAGAUACAGUGCAUGCAUAAAAAAUACACAUGUUAAGAAAACGAAGUUAAAGAACGUACCUGCUCAACAUCUUUAAUUGUCGUGCAGUAGAUGAUAGUUGAACCAUCUGAGCGCACAAAUGUUGAAACUUCUUGAACGAGCUCCUGAACAAAUGACUGACCACGAUUGAAUGACUUGACACCAUAGAACAGAUUUGUCCGGUCAAAUGAGCCUAUGGCAACAUAUGGGUUUUGCAUCUUCAAGGAAUUAACAAUGUCCAUCCGAACCCUGGAAUAUGAAUACGAGCAAAAGAUAAAUAUUGAAGUCUUCAUAACAUUAAAAAAAAAAAAAAACUUAAAAACAAACCAAAGUAAAUAAUGCAGGGUCUCCAAGUGCAUUACAAUUUUCACCAAGUGCGUUACAGUUUUCACCUAUUUGAAAGAGAAUUAUAGUCAUAUACGUUAAGUUACAAAAACCAUAAGAGUAUGGGUCAAGUAAGGAAUGGUUUUGUGCCACCGUUCUCUAGGAUCUAGCAAACAUAAAAAAUAUUAGAUGACAAUAGCUCACUUCCUAGUUCCCACGGUUGUUAUGCCAAGUUAGAGAAACUAGUACAAGAAACGAAAAUAUUUCUGUUGAAAUAUAAGGCACCAAAAGCAGAUAAUACAAGAGGCUUACAGAAAUAAAGAAUGUUUGUAAAUAUUAUCAGUUGAAUUCUGAGGAUUUUAAAUAAAUGGAAGCAAUACCCGAAUAGAAAUGCAACAGCUGAUAAGAACAUCAAAGUCAGAGAGAGAGAGAGAGAGAGAGAGAGAGAUACUUUUCAGUAGCAGUUGCAGUUAAGGCAAUAAAUGGAACAUCAACAAGAAGGCCACGUAACUUGUCUAGUUUCUUGUAUUCUACCCUGUAAAGUCCACAACGAGAAAUGCUUAGAUGAUGAUGAUUAGUGAUUACAAGUAACAUUAAGAUAAUUAUAGGCAUAAAACAAGGUGAGAAAUAGAUAUACAAGGAACAAAAUCGACACAUGAAACUCUGACUGAAAAAAUACUUUUGGACGAAUAUGCAUUAAAUAGUAAUUUGGAAAACAAGAAACUAACCAUAGUACCACCACCCAAAGACUAGGCAACUUUGAUUUAAAACUGAAGUAGGAUCAAUAAAGGAACUUAAGCUUUAGAGAUUUUGUUGAUCUCAAUCCCAUUCUAGCCAGAAAUUGGAGAAUGAUGCCAAAAUAAAUGUCACAGGCCAAAGUCCCAACAUUUCAAAAACAAAGACUACGAAAUCAAGUCAUUGCGAUUUACGUUAGAAAGAACCACUAAAUAUCAGUAACCUGAAAUCAUGGCCCCACUCCGAUAUGCAAUGUGCUUCAUCAACAGCAAACAAACAGAGUCCAACACUUAGCAAAUUGGACCAGAAACUGCAAAAAAGGCAUAGAGUCAGGAUACCAAUUUCUGUAAGAAACACAAAUAAUCUAGAAUAUAAUACUGACAUCGAAAAAUCCACUAAACUCCUUCCAUAUGCCAACAAAAUCUUGAUAAUGGCAGACUAUAAUAUAAAGUUCUCAUCUACAAUCAUCGUACGUCCAUGACCAUAGUAGUCCUAGUUCACUAGUCCAAACUCCCAGCUCAUGUUUGUAAUUGUAAUACAGCAGACAAAGUGCACAAUAGAACAGAAAACUUGAAACUGAUAUAUGGCAAAUAAAACUAGCAAUGUACCUUGAAGGAACCAAACAUGCCUUUUCCGGGGUCAUGUAUAAGAUAUCAAAUUGACCACUUUCAGCUCUGCUCUGGACAGUGGAAUCAGUUUGGCUACUUCCCAUAAACUCGGCUCUAAUUCCUCGUUGCUUCAAAGACAUUACCUUUAAACAAACAUCAAAUAUUUCAUUUAACCUCCAACGACACGCAAUUAUUGAUUACUAAUCUUCAACAGAAACAGAAUUAAAUUACAUGAUUACAUACCAUUAUUUAACCCAAAAAAAAAAAAAAAAAACCAACCCAACAAAAAGAAACAAUCUUUGGUUCACCUGAUCUUGCAUUAGGGAUAUAAGAGGGCUCACAACAACACCAGUCUUUCCGACAACCAACGGAGGCACCUGAUAGCUGUAAAAAAAAAAUAACCCAGUAAAUCAAACACUUCUAAAACCCUACUCAAACGACAGAGAAAGGAAAGGAAGAAACUUUUACCACAACGACUUGCCGCUGCCGGUGGCCAUCACAAUCAAUGAGUCGUUUCCGUCUAUGAUUUUCUCAAUCACUUCCUUCUGGUACGGUCGAAACGAAGAAAACCCAAAAUAUUUCUACACCCAAAAAUUCAACAAAACUAAUAAAAAAAGAAAAAAAAAGACUAAAAAUGAAGAAAAGAAAACAAGAGAAGCAGAAGAAGAUAAGGUCCUUCACCUUGAGAAUGGACUGCAUUUCUGCUGAGACGAUCAGUCGGCAAGGAUUUUAUGGAGGAAGGAAAAGCACUUUUGAGUUUUUAGCUACUUUUUUUUUGGAGUUUUGAGAAAUGUUUUUAUGCUUUUCAUUAAGCAGAUAAUAAUACAUAUAUAUAGCGUCAGAAAUCCCCAACUUCUCCCGCCAUUUCUUUGAGGAAGAAACUUCGGAACCCCAGGCCCACAGAAACCAACCACUGCAGCCCAAGACCCAACAACAUCCACAACAACAACAAAACAUUUUCCAUUACGUGGGGCCGGCUAUAUGAAUCUUAGAACGUCAUUGCGCUCGAUUCUGUGUCGCGUCUUCCGUUAGAUUCAAGUACUCUAAGUCUUCUCUUAUAGUCUCUUCCAAAGUCUUCCUAGGUCUUUCUCUAUCCCUUCAAGUCUGAACCUCUGUCACGUAAUCGCAUAUUCUAACCAGAACGUCAGUAGGCCUUCGUUUCACAUGUUCAAGCCACUGUAGCCCAGGACCCAUUUAGGCAAUAUUCUACUUUAAACUGACGUAACAUGCAAAAACACUGGAAAAGAGUUAUUUGGACUCAGAUUUUUUUACAAUGUCGCUAGACGCACGUUUGCAAGUUUCUUCCUUAUCUUUGGUUGUUAAAACAGUUGUCUCAUAACUUGGUCAGUAACCUACCAUUGAAGAAACAGAAUCUAUCGAUCCCGUGUCGUUUUUGCUACAAUGUAAAUUGAAAUUUUCUCCAAAACCAUGUUGUAUAAUGGUACAUUUUUGAAAUUUAGAAAACUUGUGGUUGAAUCUGUUUGGAAUGUAUGAUGAAACUGUUGUCAGAUAACAUAAACAAAUGAGCAUAAACCACCGGGAGCCGACGGACGUUAACAACUUAACACAUCUAUCAAGCUCGGACUCUAAUCCAGCUACAACUAUCAAGCUCGGACUCAAAUCCAGCUACAAUUAUAGUAAACCAUCCAAACACAAUGGAAACAUCCGGCGAGAAAAACAUUACAUAUUGUGCGGCAUAUCGGAACAUCUACAUUCUAAAACAACUUUUUGUACUCUUCGGCAUCUUGUGCCAUUUCCUCGAGGCUUCUGUCCUUCCUUUCCUUGUCUAAAUCAAGCUUUUGCGUUAAUUCCUUCUCCUUUUCAUCCAGCUAUAGCAUUGAACACAGAAAAAGUAAAUACUCAAGGCUAAAACAUACGAAUUAGUUAAGUGUUAAUAAAACCUGAAACAGAUGUUCUAAUCUUACCGCAUCAUAAAUCUCAUCAUUCUUCUCAAAGUCGCCACCUUUCCGUGGGAGGAUAUGAAUAUGAACAUGGGGUACAGUCUGUCCGGCUUCGGGUCCAUCCUAAGGUUCAAACAAUGAGGAGAAAGUUAGCUUCAGGGGACAUAAAACCAUUACAAUGUGCAGCAGCGAACAUUUCAGAGGCAAAGAUGUGAACUUGAGCAUUAAGGAUCGUCUCCCAACAAAAAUCAUAAAGCAAAAUUGUUGCCGUUAAAUACCACACGAAAAGUAGGUAACCCGCUCUGCCUCAAAUAACAAGUUCAAGGCAUAAUUCCUAGGUGAUAUGGAAGUGAAAAGAAACCUAAAAGCUUGGAGGAAGUUCGAAAUAUGACCAAUGUACGCUUUAUGUGUCGAUAAACAGGAAUGACUGAUGAAUAUAAGGCAUUAAGUGAUCACUUCGUUAAUAGUAAUAUCAUUAACAGAUCUCAAGGGCAAAGUAACUGUCUGAAAACCAGGCCAAACACAGAAAUAUUGUUCACUAAUAAAAAAAAGUUAGUCUAAAAAUUCUUACUUGAAUAGCAAGUGUGAGAGAUGAUGCUUUGUGGUAACUCUCAAGCCGGCUACCAACCCUUUGUGCUGUGAUCCAAAGAUCACUGGUCUCAUCAGCAGUGAGAUCAACAAAGCGCUUCACUUCUCGCCUUGGGCAGACAAGCACAUGUACAUGAUGUCAAGUCAAGCAAGAUUGAAUUGAGCAUAUUAUAAUUCCACAAUAAAAUGGGUAUAAUUUGCACACACAGUUACACACAAUGCUAGGUCAUCCUUCUUCCAGUGUCUUUCAACACAUGCAGAUGAGAAGGGAAGUUAGGCACACAUAUCAGUCCAUGAUAAACUAUAUACAGAACCGUGGUCCGAAAGAGACCAGUCAAUGUCUACUAAUAAAAACGGAUGCACUUAGUAGCAUGUUCUUAAGACUCAAGCAUUGCAACCAGCUGAAUCUACUAUCUGCUGCUUACAUUUUGGUGCCACAGAAAAUCCUUUCGGACCCAAAAUCAAGCUGGAUAAAAGACUCUUCCUUUUCGAGUCCAGAACGAAAAACCGACACCCCUUUCCUUUGACAUCCAUAUUCAUUACUCACUAGCAUGAUCCAAUCAAUCAGUAAUAAAACUCAUAUACUGCCUUAAUUCUCCAAGCAAGAAAAAGGGCACUAAAACAAGGAAAUUUCCCGCAGAUAGCUCUUUACCGUAGCGGCGAACAACAAUCAUACCUAUGCAACUGGUGCUGGUUCGAUCCCCAUUGAUUCUCUUUCCCAUAACAACUAACUAUUUAACCCACUAAGGCUAUUGCUACUAAAAACAGAAAAUUUCCUAACUUUUUUUUUUCUUAUAUAACAAAUUAAAAAUGCAUUUAUUCACCGAUCUCAAAACAAAAUUCAUAUCCAAAGCAAAUAAAAGGAUAUGACCUGCAAAGAAAAAGGAGAGUUGGGUCAUCAAAUUUGCAAUUUCUACAUCCAAUUUUCAUGCUUUGAUUAUUCAGUGUUAAGAGUAAGAGAAAAGUACCAGGAACAAGAGGGCGCAGGUUAACCAGGGCGUAGGAUAGCUUGGUGGAGUAGAAUACUUCCCUACUGUCGAUAUUGUACGGCCCGAACUUGAAGCUCUCCGAAGCCAUCUGUCUGCGUUUUAUAAACAAACUAUAAUGAAUAGUACCGGCGGCGGAGGUUAAGGAAAAGGAAAGGGCUGGAAUUGGUGGUUUCUUUGCGGGGGUGGAGAAGGAGGAAGGACGAAGGAAGGCGGCUCUGGCGACGGAGGACGAUCGUGUAAUGAGAGAUCUGACGGUGGAAGCCACUGUUGGGAACAGAAUUUUACGCUUUUGAGGUGAGCUAAUGCUAUUUCUUUUUCUUUUUGUUAUUUUUUUUAAUAACUUGCCAAUUAUCGUAUUUGUAGGGAUGUGAUAUCUACACCUCUUUUUACUUCAUUUACAUUUUUUUAGUUUUCGAUCGUCGGAUUGAAUGAAUUGAAAAUGAUCAACGGAUAUAAAUUAACAAAGAGCGUGUGAGAAGUAAAAUAGGGUGUAUGGAUAACAAAUCCCUAUUUGUAUAGUAAUAUUCCUCAAAUGUUAGAAUCUCAAGAAUCAGAAUUUUCCGUUUGGUAAAAGGUAAAAUGUUAAGCGACUCAAAUAUGUUCUUAUUGACUUAAAACAUUUAAAAAUAAAAUUGUUUACUUCUUUUAUCGUACUAUAGAUUGCCAUACAUCUAACCUGAAUGGCUAAACUCUUUCGCGUGUGUCGUACUUCCCAAACAAACACUAAAUCAUAAACACACUAUUUUAUUCUAGGGCCCCACUUUAAAGGCUCGCUUAGGACCUUCAAAUUCUCAAGGCCGGUCAUGUGUCGGAUCAAAUGAUUAGAGAAAAUCAAUGAACAGAAAUUAAUAAAAAAUAUAUGAAGUAAAAAUGAUUAUGUGAAUAACAUCACCAUUUUCCUUUUAUGUUUCGACUUUCCCUUUGGGCCUACGUUUUUUUGUUCACGCGAUAUUAUAUUAGACGAAACACUACAAUAGUGGUGUCUCUAUGUCAUAUAAGUUGCUUCCUAUGUCUAAUUUUCUUGAAAGUAAAAAACAUGGAAACUUUAACGAAAAGCACCUGGUACUGUUCAAUUUAACGAAAAACCACAUUUUUACACUAAAAAGUCAAUCCUGGUACUAUUCACUUUACCCUUUAUUUUAUCUUUAUCAUUAAAACUCAAAUUUUUCAAGCAUUUUUCAUUAGUUUUCUAAAAAACAUAUAUAUAAUAUGUAUUUGUAUCAUGAAAAAGAUAAGUAAUGUAGAUUACACUGGAUAAGGCUGGCCCUGCUUGUUAUAUCGAAGGAGGGAAGACACAGUUGAAGAAGAAGAACCAGAAGGAGAAAUGUCAGCCGUGACAACUCUCAGUCAGGCAUGCUGGGCUGCCGCCGUCGUGAAACCGAAAUCAAACACCGCCAUUUCCCAUAUCCAAAACCCAAAGCCCAAAUCUUUAGCUCUUCCUUUCUCGGCCAAUUCCAGCUGCGGUCACUUCUUCUCCUUCAAUCCCAAAACCACCCUCAAAUCCUCCUCCUCCGUCCGUACAUUCGUUGCCGCCGUUGAAUCCGACCAGCUCAGCUCCUCCGACUCCGCUGACAAGGUCCAAUUCUCUCUUCAACCCAUAAAAAGUUUUCCUUUUAAUUUUCAUUUUCUCAUCCAAGACUGUAAAUUUUGAAUUUUUUUGUUUCUGAAUGCAGGAAAAGCCGAGCAGGUACUAUUUCGUGGUUGCAAAUGCGAAGUUUAUGCUCGAUGACGAGGAGCAUUUCCAGGAGCAGUUGUGUGAGAGGCUUCGAUACUAUGGAGAGAAGAACAAAGAGCAGGACUUUUGGCUUGUGAUCGAGCCUAAGUUCUUGGAUAAGUUUCCUAACAUUACUAAGAGAUUAGGAAGGCCUGCCGUGGCUCUGGUUUCGACUAACGGUCCUUGGAUUACGUAAGUUUCCCUGUUUUUGAUUGCGAACAUGCUCGGUUUCAAUUUGUUGUUUUCUGACUGCUGUUUUGUUUCGAGCUUCAUAUGUUUUGUUAGUUAAGUAGUGAUGUAGCAGAAUCAGAGGUUGAAUCAAUUGGGAAUUUCUGUUGUGUAUUAGUGUCCAAUUCUCUUGUGACAAUGUUUGAUGAUGCUAAGAUUCUAGACUCGAUCGAUCAUUAUGGUAGAACGCUGAAAACUGCAAGAAUCCGAAAGUUUUAAGUUGUUGAAGAGUCGAGAAUUGUGUAUCUAGCUAACACGGUCUCUAGUUUGCAGCCUUAUCCUGCGCGUGUGGAGAUGCGGAUGUAGAUAUUCAUACAUGUGCAUCUUCACCUUGCAUCUUUUAAGUUUAGAAAUAAGUGGUGGAAGGGGGGUUUAGAGUGAUGUUUGAAUCCAGCAUCUCCUGCAACUAGAGCUACGAUAUGAUUUUAGAAAACCAAUAAUCCUCGAAAGUUGAAGUUCUUGAGAAGGAUUACAUUGUCGACCAAGCUAACAACCAUGUAAAUAUGAGAUUCUACACGAUUGAAGCGUAUGCUUACACCAUUAGAUAUGCUAACAACAACUCCUCAGCUAAAAGAACUACAUGACCUGAUGUUUCGAUAUAAGAAAUAUCUUCUUGUGUUUGUACAGAAGUAGAAAUAUGAAAGUUGCGACCCUUACAAUGGUAGCAUGUCUCUGAAUCUGAUCAUGUUUUGCGGCUGCAGGUUUAUGAAGCUGAGACUGGACAGAGUGUUAGCAGAAAGUUUUGAAGCUGAGAGUCUAGAAGAAGCGUUAGCCUCCAAUCCAACCACUAUCGAGUUUGAGAAGCCACAGAAAUGGGUAGCACCUUAUUCCAAGUAUGAAUCCGGGUGGUGGGGGCCUUUCUUGCCUCCAAGAACGAAAGAGGAGAGCAAAGCGUAAAUCACUUUUUUCCUUUCUCAACGUGGAUUUCGUCAUCUGUUACUAACUAGAGCUGAAGUUGAUGCAUGUAGGUAAUGUGAAGUUUUGCAAGGUUAGUACCUCAUGUAAUAAACUUUUGUAGUUGCCCAUUAAUGUGUGAAGAGAGAGUAUUCAAGAAGUUGUCUGUCCGAAAGGAUGAAGAAAUUUGCUUGUGUCAUGCGCGAUUAAUGCAAUAGCUUUCGACAUUGCAUUCACAUCAGAAAACCGAAAUAUGAACGAAUACAUUUUCUUCAAUCGAGCAAGGAAGAUGAAUGAUUACUUUUCUUGAUCAAUACUCCUCGAGGAAAACUAAUUAAACAAGACUAGAAGUGAAACACAAAGAAAGCAACAUAUUUUCUACAUCUUCAUUACAGCCUUGAUCAGAAAAACCCGAGGGAACGAAACCAGCAAGAACGGAAUAUGAACUGUACCGACUAUAUGAAGAGGAAGAGUCCAGCAGAACUUCAAAAAUAGGCAGGCAGGCAAAUAUUUAGGGUUGCUUUCUGUUCUUGUUAGAAAUUACUUUCUUUCUGAGUUUCUGAAGGACUGUUUCAUCCAACACUGCAUACUGCUUCUUUAUUUCAAUCAGUGCUUUCUCUGCAAUGCUGUCCACGCUAUCCUCAAGAUUAUCGUACAACGUCGGCACUAUCAUCAGUAUGACAAACACUGCACCAACCAAAACGAAAAAUUCAGUACUCAUCUUGAUAACAUAAUUAGCAGACAACGAUCAAUUAGCUUUUAGUCGAAUGAUACUUCUUUCACAAAGUCAGAAAAGUCGCAAGUUAUGUUCCCCCUUCCUCCGUUGAUAAAAAGUAAGCAUAUAAACGAGAGAAGCAACGAUGAUGAAUAAACACUCGGGUAAAAAUUAUGCAUGUACAAUCACAAUGGAAUUAUACAACUUAACAAAAGCAACCAUUUCUUUUUACAAAAUGCAAUGUUAGUAGAUUGUCAUCAUUUAUAGUUUUCGAUGCAAGAACAAGAUGUUAUUUAUAACAAUUAGUCGAAACAUAAAUCGUGGAUCAACAAAGGCCUCUCGGGAACUUGUUUAAGAAUAAGAAAGAGGAAUCUCAUGUAAACAUUGCAAACAACAUCAACGUUUGUAAAUGUUGAUCAUAGAGAUUGCCAAGGACUACUAAAAACUUCAUGGCAGAGACGAAACAGUUGGAGCUGAUGCAAACCUAAGUAAAGGAAGCUUAAGAAAGUGCACCAGCUUCCGAUGACAGAGAGAACCCACAAAGUCGACGCCACCUGCAAACGAGUCCAUCACGUUAGAGUUUUAUGUUCAAUCAAAACCUACUAUUCUUGCAGCAUAAACAAAACCUAGAGGGGUAUGAAAAAUGUCGGUACCGCGAGGAAAUCUCUUACGUCUCUCCCAAAAACUACAUGCCCAAAUGAUCUUAACGCUUGAUUAUAUGUAGUUGUUAAGGAAAUAGCAGUCCUCAUAAACAGGUGCUGUGGUACUACAAUCUCUGGAAUUUCUGGUGCAGACCUGUUUCAUCAUCAUAUUCUAUCCAGAAAUCAUAACACAGACACAUGAAAAAACCAAUUAAAAAAAGGGAAAUACGGACAGAUAGAAGAACCGCUAAGGCGCUUAUAAAUUCUUAAUAAAAUAAUAAAAUUAGAGGAACCCUAAAUAUAUAAUAAAGGGGCAUUAAAACAUGAUUAAUGUACGGCGUAUUGUGUGUUCAGUGUCUUCCGAGCGCUAUUUUUUAUAAUUUGUAACUAACCGUUUGUUUUUUUGUGCAUAUUAGCCUAAACAAAAAUUAAAUUAGGCAAAAUUAAGGAGCUCACACAUGGAUGAAGGAACCAAAGUUGGACCACAAGAAGAAGGCUGUCAAGGAGAGCAAUGAAGUGUGGCAAAGAAACGCAACCAAAUUAUAACCUAAUCUCUCAAAGAGAAGCCAAGUGAGUGUUGCACCCAUAAAAAUGUAGGCUGAGAUCUGCUUAUUUCUCCAAAGUAUAAUAUCAGCAGCUGAAAGAAUUAAUAAUUUCACUUUUAGGUUAAUAGAAGCAUGAAAUUUACAGCAAGCAUAAGAAGAAAAAAAUUCUAAUUACAGUUUACGUACAUACACCAGCGCCGAGGACAACAUGAAGAGGCUUCUGGCGACCAAACAAUCGGUUCUUGCAUGUAAAAGCCAAGCAGUAAUUAUCACUGUCGGAGUCGGAAGAGUCAACUCCGCCUAUGUAAGUUUAUCUUACAUUGCCGGUCCCAAGCCCGGAUAAAGGAGGAGGGGGAGGGCGUCAGGUAGUCGACAGCCGGCACUCCAUAAUUACGUCGAAUCCUUAUGAAAAUGAAUCAAGAACGAAAUCGCGCUAAAGCUAGGGCGUCACCGCGCGUUGUGUGGCCCGAGCACAGUGAUAAGUGAGUAAGGGUCGCUGUAUCUCCAUCGGCACCCGGAUGCAGUGUUAAAUGAGCAAGGGGGCCAUAGAAACUUCUUUUCGAACGACUCCACUCAAAGUUGUUUGGGAGCAUAUGCUUCUAUUAACUUUACACGGGACACACAAAAGAAGUACUUUGAUCCUAUUAGACGGGGGAUGGUGAAGAAGCUAGGACAGAAGGGUAGAGUUCAAGAGAGCAAAAUGCGUUUAGGAACGUGGAAUAUAGGAACCUUAACGGGAAAAUCUAUGGAAGUAGUGGAAGUUAUGGUGAGGAGAAGGAUAAAUAUUAUGUGCCUACAAGAAACUAAGUGGGUUAAGUGGGUUGGUCGUAAGGCAAAGGAUCUAGAAAACUCAGGGUUUAAACUUUGGUAUUCGGGCACAAAUAGAACGAGAAACGGUGUUGGCAUCAUCGUGGACAAGACCUUGACACAAGAUGUUAUAGAUGUCAAGAGGGUAGGAGAUAGAAUCAUGGCAAUCAAGAUUGUAAUAGGACAAGAACUUAUCAAUGUGAUUAGUGCGUACGCACCUCAAGUAGGGUUGGAUACGAGUUCGAAGGAGAAAUUUUGGGAAGACCUUGGAGACUUGGUGCAAGGAAUUGCUCAGACGGAGAAGAUAUUUAUAGGAGGAGAUUUAAAUGGACACGUGGGCAGGGAGACAGGCAACUAUGGAGGUUUUCAUGGUGGCCAUGGUUUUGGGGAGAGAAACGAGGAUGGGGAAGCUAUCUUGGAUUUUGCAAUGGCAUAUGAUCUCUUCUUAGCCAACACCUUCUUUAAGAAGUGAGAAGAACAUGUGAUCACCUACAAGAGUGGGUCGUCAAAAACACAAAUAGAUUUUCUUCUAAUGAGGAAAGGGGAUCGUAUAACUUGUAAGGAUUGCAAAGUUAUACCAGGAGAGAGCGUGGCUAAUCAACAUCGUUUGUUGGUGAUGGAUGUACAUAUCAAAAGAGUGAGAAAAAAGAACAAGACUUGGAAGUGCCCAAGGACUAGAUAGUGGAAUCUAAAGAAGAAGAAAACAAGCCAUUUUCAAAGAGAAAGUAAUCACCCAGUAUGUGUGGAUAGAGAGGGGGAAGCUAGCCAAAUGUGGGAUUCCAUGGCUAGUUGUAUCCGAAAAGUAGCAAAAGAGGUAUUAGGAGAGUCCAAGGGCUUUGCCCCACACCAAAAGGAAUCUUGGUGGUGGAAUGAGGAGGUACAAACAAAGGUGAAGGCUAAGAAGGAAUGUUGUAAAGCCUUAUACAAGGAUAGGACCGAUGAAAAUGGUGAAAGGUAUAGAAAAGCGAAGCAAGAGGUGAAGAAAGCUGUGAGAGAAGCUAAGUUAGCGGCUUAUGACGAUAUGUAUAAGCGACUAGAUACCAAAGAUGGAGAGUUGGAUAUCUAUAAACUAGCUAGAGCAAGGGAAAAGAAGACAAGGGACCUAAACCAAGUGAGGUGCAUCAAGGAUGAGCAUGGAAAGAUUCUUGCUACAGAGAACGCGGUUAAAGACAGAUGGAGAAGUUAUUUUCAUAAUCUUUUCAAUGAAGGACAUGAAAGGAGUACUUCUUUAGGGGAGUUGAGUAACUCAGAAGAGUGUAGAAACUACUCUUUUUAUCGUCGAAUCCGGAAGGAAGAAGUGGUUGUAGCUUUGAAGAAGAUGAAACAUAGAAAAGCAGUAGGCCCAGACGAUAUACCAAUCGAAGUGUGGAAAGUUUUGGGAGAGACAGGUAUAACAUGGCUCACUGACCUUUUCAAUAGGAUUUUGAAAACGAAGAAGAUGCCAAAUGAGUGGCGAACGAGCACUUUGGUGCCUAUCUACAAGAAUAAGGGCGACGUACAAAAUUGCAUGAACUAUAUGGGUAUUAAGCUAAUGAGUCAUACAAUGAAGCUCUGGGAGAGAGUCAUUGAGCAUAGAUUGAGGCAAGAGACACGGGUUUCGGACAACCAAUUCGGGUUCAUGCCAGGGCGCUCAACCAUGGAGGCAAUCUAUCUCUUACGAAUAUUGAUGGAAAGAUAUAGAGAUGGGAAAAAAGAUUUACACAUGGUCUUUAUAGAUUUGGAAAAAGCGUAUGAUAGGGUCCCAAGAGACAUUCUUUGGAGGAUUCUAGAGAAGAAAGGAGUACGAGUAGCAUAUAUCCAAGCUAUAAAGGAUAUGUAUGAAGGAGCAAAGACUGCCGUAAGAACUCAUGAAGGAUAAACCGAAAGCUUUCCCAUAACUGUAGGAUUACAUCAAGGCUCAUCCUUAAGUCCUUAAUUUUUUGCGUUGGUAAUAGAUGAGUUAACAGGACAUAUUCAAGAUGAUAUUCCUUGGUGUAUGCUUUUCGCAGACGAUAUAGUGUUGAUAGAUGAAACUCAGGAAGGGGUAAAUGCAAAGCUUAACCUUUGGAGAGAAGUGUUGGAAUCUAAAGGUCUUCGCCUAAGCCGAUCAAAGACAAAAUAUAUGGAGUGCAAGUUCAGUGCAAAUGGAGGCCAAAACGAGUUAGGGGUGAGGAUCGGAGAUCAAGAAAUACCAAAGAGCGACCGUUUUCGUUACCUAGGAUCUAUCUUGCAAAAGAACGGAGAAUUAGAUGGAGAUCUCAACCAUAGAAUACAAGCUGAAUGGAUGAAGUGGAAGAGUGCAUCCGGCGUGUUGUGUGACCGUCGUAUGCCACUGAAGCUCAAGGGAAAAUUUUAUAGGACGGCAAUAAGGCCGGCAAUGCUGUAUGGCACAGAAUGUUGGGCGGUGAAGCAUCAACACGUACACAAAAUGGGUGUAGCGGAGAUGAGGAUGCUUCGUUGGAUGUGUGGGCACACGAGAAAAGAUAAGAUUAGGAAUGAGGAUAUCCGGGGUAAAGUAGGAGUAGCCGAAAUUGAAGGAAAGAUGAGAGAAAAUCGGUUACGGUGGUUUGGACAUGUGCAAAGAAGGCCUACUGACGCUCCGAUUAGAAGAUGCGAUUAUGGGACAGAGAUUCAGGGCCGAAGGGGUAGAGGAAAACCUAGGAAAACUUUGGAAGAGACUCUAAGAAAAGACUUAGAGUACUUGGAUCUAACGGAGGACAUGACACAGGACCGAGCACAAUGGCGUUCUAAGAUUCAUAUAGCCGAUCCCACUCAGUGACUUGGAUUUUCCAAGUCUCUAACCGAGAAGUUUUCCUCCCUCGGGAAAUUAAAGGAACACUACCUCAACCUACAUGCUCCACUCACAAAGCUUCAACAUACAAGCUUCAACAAAAGAAAAUUCAAAGAACUUAGCGAAGAAUGCUUUGGUGUAUUUAACACAAUACAUUGAAAUGAAGGAAAGCUUAUUUAUUGAUAUCCCCGAUAAGUUACAAAUAUGUACAUAUACAUGAGUCAAAAUAAACAAACAUGAGGGAGCCUUCACAAAGGUUGCUUAGGAGAAGUCUCAGCAGUCGGUGGAGCCCCAGAAAGAGAAGGCACUGGAAGGGGAUCAUUUGGAGCCUCAGUACUGGACAGAACCCUAGAAGGAUGAGGCAUCAGAGGUUGAUCAUUUGGAGCUUCAAUACGCGGUACAGCCCCAGAAGACGAAGGCAAUAAAUGUCUUUGGAACAAACCCACAAAUCUCUGAUGAUCAAGUAAAACCUGACCAUCAGAUUCCUUCAUCUGGUCAAGCUUCCUCUUCAUGUUUGUAGCAUAGUCAUGUGCGAGCCGGUGCAACUGUUUAUUCUCAUGCUUGAGCCCUCUAAUCUCCUGUUUGAGACUCAUCACUUUAGCCGCCAAUGAUUCAACUUGGCGGGUCCGAGCAAAUAGGUGUUGGGCCAUAUUAGACACAGAACCUGCACACUGAACACUGAGAGCCAGAGAAUCCUUAACAGCCAACUCAUCAGACCGUUUGGAAAGUAGUCUGUUAUCCUUGGGAGUGAGAAGGUUCCUGGCCACCACCGCAGCGGUCAUAUUAUUCUUCAUCACGGAAUCCUAACGGUAAGAGGACCAGUAGGGGAGACGAAUGAUGGGCGCCAUAUAUUGUCUGGAGAAGGCGUGGCUGCCUCUUCAACAAGGUUCAAGUCAAAACGACGGUCGGAGGGGCCAGACAUUUUCAAAGAUGUUAAAGAGAGAAGAGGUCGGACAAAUCAAGAUCUUAGAAGUGCAAGAAUGGAGCUUCUACUGGUGGAGAUUCAAGUGUGCUUUGGAACUUAAUGCCAGCCUCUAUAAAAAUCUGCACUCGAUGGAGCUUCAGAAAUCGAAGAGGCGCCUGCUCAGAAAUUGAAGAGGCGUUUGGUUUCUCAAAAGCUGGGCUGCUCAGAGACCACGAUGGUCGAUCUCAGAAAUCGAAGUGGCGUUUGCUUUCUCAAAAGCUGGGCUGCUCAAAAACCACGAAGGCCGAUCUCAGAAAUCGAAGAGGCGCUUGCUUUCUCAAAAGCUAGGCUGCUCAGAGACCACGAGGGCCGAUCUCAGAAAUCGAAGAGGCACCUACUUUUCUAGCCUUGUCAGCACCUGUCACACGCACUCAGCUUUGCGGAAAUUAUGGGCAUUCUGUCGAAGAUUUCUGGUGAAGUAGAAAGCACAUGAAUCUUACUGUUCAAUCACCCACUUCCCACACGCAACAUUAGCUCAUGGGUACCACAGAUAACUUUGCCAAAGUUCUCUGACAAAGUUGAGACACAUGAAGCUUGCAGCUCCCACUACGUCGCUCUGACCAAGAAGGGUAAAAAAAUAGCAAAGAAACAGCAUUAACAAAGUUUAGACACAUAAAUUUUGAAGGUCUAGCUACCAUAUUAUUACCCACAAGGAUAAAGGAACAGUACCACUGCUGGAUAAUUGGAAAGUCCCUGUGUGUCAAUCUCUGUGCUUCGUGGCAAGGUAGACUAGCAAACAUACCCAACCUUUACUCACAUUCGAGAAAACUCCCAACAAGAUUGCUUGCUCCAAAAUCAAAGAGGCACCGCCUUCCGAAUCUCGAGAGCCAGACUCCCAACAUGAUUACUUUCUCAAAAAUCGAAGAGACACCGCUCUCCGAAUCUCGAGAGUCAGACCCCCAGCAAGAUUGCUUUCUCAAAAAUCGAAGAGGCAUCGUUCUUCGAAUCUCGAGAGCCAGAUCCUCGACAGGAUUGCUUGUUCGAAAACCGAAGAGGCACCACUUUCCCAACUUCAAAAGCCAGAUUUCCUUGGAUAAAGCUUGUCUGUAAUCUUCACAUGCAACAUCAGCUUUCCAGAUACCACAGACCACUUUUUCAAAGUGCUCUGACAGAGUUAAAACAUGUGAAGCUGGCAGCUCCCACUACCGUGCUAUGAGCAAGCAGGGUAAAGGAAUAGCAUUACUACUUGUUGUUAGGGAGACUCCUAUAUAUGUCGACUUCCAUCCCUAACGGACAGGCAGACCUGCAAAAAUGCUCAACCCUUCCUCAUAUCUGAGAGGGCACUUCCAACGAAGCCUUUCGAAAUAUUCAGCUUUCUUUCCCCUCGAUAAUACCUCUGCAAACAAGUUAUACUAGAGCAAGAAUAUCUCAUAUCAUCAGGGUUAAAAGCAAGAGUAUCCCAUAUCAUGUUUUUUCCCUGUCUUUUCCUUUGGCCUUGUUCUUACCUGCAAGACAAGGAGAAAGAGAGCAAUCAGUCAGCACUUGGAAUCAAGCUUCCAGUCAGGAACUGACUGCCUGGAACCCCUUACCUGAUUACUUACCUGGCAUUGCUCUCGAGUACUCAUCUUCAACAUCUUAUGCUUCCAGGGAAGAUACCGCAUCUGCCUGAGGAACAGAUAGGGCAAGUGAGAAGGAUACAAGGAAGCAUGUGGAGACAAGCGUAACAGCACACGUGCCGAUACAUCCACUACUCUGUCAAAAGCAAAAGUAUCCCAUAUCAGCAGGGUCGAACGUACUCUAGAUUUGAUGGACUUGUUUUGACCCUCAAAUUCUUCAGUCGGCCUUAUACUCUGGAGGAAACCAGAAAACCUUCCAGCCCAGUUCAAGAAUAAGCCUGUGGAAAGUUACUUCUUCAAAAACAAAAGUAUCCCAUAUCAUCUCUUCUCAUUUUUCUUCUCUUUAUCCUUCAUGCUGCCUGCAAGAUAGGGAGAAUGUGAACAAUCAGCCGGAACUCGAAAUCAAAGUUCUGAUCUGGGACUGAUUGCUUGGAGCUCUGAUUGCUUACCUUGUCUGUCACCUCUUUCAGCAGAUCCCCUAGCUCGGCGACUUGGGGGACUCCUACUACAUGGUUUGUAUCGCGCUUGACCAAGCCUGAAACUACAAGUAAGCUUCAAGUGAAAUUGAUACAUUACCUUGUGCAUCUCCACCAGUUAAAGAUACCACCCCUGGAUGGAGGAAGAGUACUUCCAGAGGAGAUGUCACAUCUACCUAUGAGACAGAUAAGGCAAGUCAAGACGAUACCACACUCUGGUACUUAGAAGUUUCGUGACUACGAGAUCAUUCUCCCACAAUAUUUCCUAAUGUCAUUUGUACUAAAUCAUUCACUUGUACUCACUAAAGGAGAGUUUGAACCUAUGUACUUGUGUAAACCCUUCACAAUUAAUGAGAACUCCUCUAUUCCGUGGACGUAGCCAAUAUGGGUGAACCACGUACAUCUUGUGUUUGCUUUCCUAUCUCUAUCCAUUUAUAUACUUAUCCACACUAAUGACCGGAGCAAUCUAGCGAAGAUCACAAAAAGCGAUCGUUUUCGCUACCUAGGAUCUAUCUUGCAAGAGAACGGAGAAUUAGAUGGAGAUCUCAACCAUAGAAUACAAGCUGGAUGGAUGAAGAGUAAGAGUGCAUCCGGCGUGUUGUGUGACCGUCGUAGGCCACUGAAGCUCAAGGGAAAAUUUUAUAGGACGGCAAUAAGGCUAGCGAUGUUGUAUGGCACAGAAUGUUGGGCGGUGAAGCAUCAACACGUACACAAAAUGGGUGUAGCGGAGAUGAGGAUGCUUCGUGGUAUGUGUGGGCACACGAGAAAGGAUAAGAUUGGGAAUGAGGAUAUCCGAGGUAAAGUAGGAGUAGCCGAAAUUGAAGGAAAGAUGAGAGAAAAUCGGUUACGGUGGUUUGGACAUGUGCAAAGAAGGCCUAGGGGUAGAGGUUCAGGGCCGAAGGGGUAGAGGAAGACCUAGGAAAAUUUUGGAAGAGACCCUAAGAAAAGACUUAGAGUACUUGGAUCUAACGGAGGACAUGACACAAAACCAAGCGCACUGGCGUUCUAGGAUUCAUAUAGCCGACCCCACUUAGUGGGAAAAGGCUUUGUUGUUGUUGUUGUUGUUGUUGUUGGAGUCGGAAGAGUCACCUGGAUCUGAUUGGUUGGUGAGAAAAUCAGAAUCUGCAAUAUCCACGUCCACCGGAUCCAACAUUUUAUGUGUACGUUUGAUGUUUGUAUGCAUGUAAAUUGUAAUUACAUUAAUCACUCUCUUAAUCACGUAACCUGCAAUGCAUGUCACCAACAAAACAGAUUACGAAUUGCAUGCAAAAAUCACGUCAAACAACCUCCAUUCCACUCAUUCUUUCUUCUGAAUCCCAACUUAAAUCUGAGGAACAGGAAGGCUUUGAUCUUCUGGCGUGGUGCAUGUUUCUCUACCCUCCACAACACCUCUUGUCUUGUGGCCACGUGUUUCUGGAAAGGGGCAAUUGAAGUUCGGGUGAAAGAAUAAGAAUAUGAUGGUGUUAUUCACACUGGCCUAUUUUUAUUUCUGAUACUCUCUUGUUAAUUUUUUUUAUCAUUGAUCUUCUUCGGUUCAUUCUAUAUGAUAGUCAAAAAUUAAGAAAGUGUGUGAGAAGUAAAAACAGGUGUGUGGAUAGUAUUGCUUUAAGAAUAUCAUAUAUUUGGGCUAAAAAUUUCUUUGUAGUUACAUUUUUAUAUAUUAAACUGUAGAACAAAAUAAUUCUUCAAUAAUAGUUGUAUGCGAGACACCUACCUAUCUGAAUGUAGAGAGGCCUAUUAUACUAAAAAGAUCCCCCUGGUCCCUCGUGUAAAUUUGUGUUAUUGAUAAUAGAAACGUAAAGAUAAAACAACAAUUGGGACAUCAUUUACCAAAACCUUGCAAGAUGAAGUAAUAGAACCACUAAUUUGAAAAUCAGAAACCCAUCAUUUUUUUAUAUAUUAAACUGUAGAACAAAAUAAUUCUUCGAUAAUAAUUGUAUGCGAGACACCUACCUCUCUAAAUGCAGAGAGGCCUAUUAUACUAAAAAGAUCCCCAAUGAAUGUAUGAAAAUGUGAUGGCCAAUAAAUGUAUGAAAAUGUGUCACGCAUUUAUUCUGUGUUGAUGUGAUCUGCAAUGACCACUAGUUUUAAGACAUUGUUAUAAAGUAAUUAGAGGCCUAUAACUGAAUUGAUUGAAAGUAUUUGUUCUAAAACUCAAUGUAUGACCAUAUAGUUUUUUUACAUUUAAUCUUGAUUCAACGAUAUUCUACACCAAAUGGGAUUUGGACUCAACCAUACAAUUAAUGGGGCUAAUCAUAAUAUUCAGGUAUCAAACUCGUCAUUCAAGUGAUUAAAACUUAAGACUUUUCAUAUAUAAAAUUAUAAUUAAAGAAAAAUAGUAAAUAUGUAAAUACAAGUAGACCGUAAUAAUAGUGACACUUAUGAUAUGAGUUAGGGGUGUCUAUAUUAAUUGUUCUUGAGUUUCAAGAAAUUAGCGACUCAUAUUUUGCAAACACAUCGACAUGUCCAAUUGCAAUAAAUAAAUAAAAAGAAGAGAACGAGCAGUAUCUAUAGUAAUGUUACAUUAAUUAUUCCAAAAAAGAACAGACAAUACAAGCUAAAAAGAGCGAUAUCUGUUUUUUCUUUUUCCAUAUAAAGAAAAUGAUGAGACAUUGUUCUCUUUACAGCUUCCUGAACAAAAGACGAACUCCAUGUUUUGCCUCUAUAACCAGUCCAAGAGAACGUUUGUGUAUGUAAUUUGGAGAAAGCGAGAAGGAUAACAUGGACAAUAUGAGAGAUAUGAGAACUUGAGUUCAGCCAUAGCAAAGUUCUGUCCAAUACUCGUGGUCCGGCCCUUAACACAGGGUGACCGUCUAGGGCUUCCAAGUGGAAGGGCCCCGAAAAUGUUGUGUCUUAUGUGUAAGGUUAUGAUAAAUAAUAAAAAUUUAAGAGCUUUAACAAAAUUAUUGUUACCGUAUUGGUGAACUUGAAGCUAGUUUAUGUUUUGGGCACGAGUUUGAGUUUAUGUUUUGGGCAUGAGUUUGAUCCCACCAACGCUGUUGUUUCUCCUUAUUUUAUAUUUCUUUUUCAUCCGUUCAGUUUAGGCCUGGCAAACGAGCAUGUUUGUCGUGUUUGUGUCAUUUUUUGUCCUACUGAUUAUCUUAACGAGUCGUGUCGUGUCAAACUCGUAAUCUUAACUGGUUCUUAACAAGCCCGUUUCAUUAACAAGUCGCGUUCAUGUUGGGUUAACGAGUCAUACAAAAAUUGUUUUGCCUAAUGUCUAGAUUAGACAAACAGCAUCUUAUUGGGUUCUUAACGAGUGACCUGACACAUUAACAGGUGACUCCAUAACUACUCGGCUUGUUAACAGAUUGAUCCAAAACUUAUUAUUUUUCGUGUCAUUAAUGUUGAGUUGAGUUAACCGAUCAUGCAAUAAAUUGUCAAUCCUAGUUUAGUCCAUCCAUUCUAUAAUUAUAAUCCUUUCAUCAUUUAACAAAAAAAAAAUUACACAUAAAAAAAUUAAGAAAGUAAUCUAUUCUAUUGAAGCCUUUUUUUUUUUCAAACAUUCUAUUGAGGCCUAGGGCUUAGGGUUUGGUAUUUCUUUGAGCCUUCCCCUACAACUCCAUCUUCACAUCACUGUCUCAAUAGAUUUGUAAAUUAAUUAUCUCACAAUUUAGAAGAUUGGAAUUUUAGGUCAUCUAAUUUUUAAACUAUGAAUUUAGUUUUUAUUUGAAGUUGAUCAAAUAGUGUAAUGCCUUCAAUAGAGAUUGAGUGACUUAGUUAUGUUCUAUUGAAAAAGGUAGGAAGGAAACUUGAUAGUGUGAAGUUUUGAUGCCGUAACAAGUUUUUGAGUUGAUUAUGUAUUUCAUUUUUUUGUUGCGAUCGACUUGUGCUCAUCAAACUAUUUAAUUUGACUUGAGACUCCUAGUGUACUAGAUUUCCUAGUAUGGACUCUCUGCCGUUCAUGUUUGUGACACAAUGUCAUACAAUGUUGGUACAAGUAUUAACGUUAAACUGUGAGGUAAUAGAGAUGUCAUAAUGAGUCACACUUUAAGAAAGUCUUCUUAGCAUUUCUCUAAAAAAUAUAUACCUUCAUCUCCAGAAGCAAGUAAUCAUUUUGAUUUGAUUUUAAAAAUUUAUCCCAUUGUAAUUAAAUUGCAUUCUUUAAAAAUUUAAAGAAAAAAAAAGGAUAUUUUUUUGGUAUUAUAAAAGUUUCACCCUGUGCUUUCUCACUUUAUAUAUGAACGCUUUAUAAACAUUUUGAAAAUGCCUGCGGGAGGUAUAUCAAAAUCAUUUUGGCUUUGUGGUCAUGGAGGCAAGUGAUAACAUGUCAAUACAUAAUUGGCAGUUUCAUGGGAGCCCUUGACUGUCUAUCUCCCUUCACAGCACACAUGUGCUAAUAUAUACACAAAGUGUCAACCUCACCACAGAUGAUCACAAGUCGGCUAUGGUACUGGAAUCUGGAAUAUCGUAUACGACGUAUAGUGAGGUUCAAUACAUGAAAUCAAAGACAAAGUCGUAUAACUAAGAAUUAAGGACCCAUCAUUUGUGUGAACAAUAGGGUACAUAUUUGCAACCAACAUUAAGUGGAGAUGCCUAACACUUUGACUAAAAUCUAUGUUUUGUAUAUACGAUCUGAACGAGAUUGAAGAUUUGGCAUGUUACAUUUGCUUCAUGCACCAACAAAUUUAGGUUCUAUUUUUAUUAAGGGAUACUUUGGAUGCGGUCCCUAAUCCUUAACAUUCUUUGAUUAAAACCUUAAUAGUAUUCAAAGUUUGAUCAAAGUCCCUUGACUUUGUACACCUCAUUAUAUUACUAUUAAUAUUUAUAUUUUUAUAGUUUUGAUAUUAAUUGUGUUUAUACCAUAUUUAGGACCUCCGUAUUUAGAUCUCGUACAAAUACACAGGGGACUUAAAUGUAAUUAUGUAAUAAAGGAAGGGGCAAAUAUGUAAUAAGUGAUGAUCUCUUAUUCUAUAAAAGGACUCCUCACUAGGCCUGGGCACGGGCCGGGCCGGGCCGGGCCAUGCCUAAUUUUGAAGGAACCGGAGCUUAAACGAAACGGGCCGGGCUAGGCCGGGUGCAUCAUAUUUCAUUACAGGAAUUGAACCGAACCCGGCCCGUUUCAAACGGGCCGGUCUGGGCCGGGUCUACGGUUCCCUUUUUUUUUUGUUGGGGAAAAAACAAUUAUCGUUUUGUUUAAUUUGCUCCAGCAAGUUGCUCAUCAUAUUGUCUGCUUAAUUUGUUGUUUAUCGUUUUGUUUGCUCUCUACCUGUAUCACUAUUGACAAUUGCACAUUUGCACAUUUGCACAGAUUGCAUAAAGAUAUUACAUAAAGAUAAAGAUAUAUUGUAGCAAUUGCACAUUUGCACAGAUUGCAGCAAUGCUGGCAAUUGCACAGAUUGUAGCAAUAUUGCAGCAAUUGCACAUAAUUGCAAGUGAUAGAAUCGUAGGCCAGUAUUUCAUUAGCCAUCUACAAAAUUGCAAGUGAUAGAAUCGGUGUUCUUUGAAAUAAUCAUAACACUUGACAUACAAAACCGAAUGCAGAAAACACAAACUGAAAUAACACUCGUAUUAAGAAUCAAAAUCGAUAUGGCAUUAUCAAAGUUUUCAUUGCAAUCAAUAAUAUCACCUGGCAUUAGUAAUUAGCAUUACAUAGAAAACAAUAUCCCCACAAAAUUACCCUGAACGUGCAGAGCAGCAGACCCUCAUGGAAUGAAAUCUCCACCGAAUCCCAGAAAAUUCAAAACCGACAGCAAUGAACAAUUGAGCUGCGCAGACAAUUCAAUCAAAACUCAAACCAAGAUAUUAUAUAUAUCAAAUAUUUCCAAGUAAUCAGCCAGAUAAUCAAAUCAAACCCAAAUCAGAAAAACUAAAAAUAUAAACUCGUUCCUGGUGGCGAACUCGACACCGAUGGUAGACUUGGACUCCAAAUUAAACUUGUUCUUGGUGAACCUGGAAAGCAUGUUCGACUUUCCCACCUCAGAAAGACUUUCCCACCCCAGAAAGUCUUGGUUACGCCGAUGGUAGACAGUAGCCGUCGAGGGAGUCGAGGCUCGAGGGAGUGACGGUGGAGACUGGAGAGGUAGGGCGUGGGGAGUGAGAGAGUGAGUAGCAAGGUGUGUGUGCUUGUCUGUGUGUGUGGCUUGCUUGUGGCUGGCCGGAGUCGUGUCGGAGAAGGUGGACAGAGGAGUGGCGCCGCGGAUUCGAGAGAGCUGAAAGGGUUAGAGAGUGUUGGAGAGAUCGAGAUUCGAGAGUUACUGAGAAUCCGAAACUGAUUUGGAUUUUGGAAACCUAGGUUACAAAUUAACGGUUCAGAUUGAAUGAUAGGUUAUCAUUCAAUCUCGAUCGUUGAUUAUAAUUAGAAAUGGGCCGGUCCGGGGCCCUAUUUUUCUAAGGUUUAGGAACCGGCCCGCCCCGUAAAUAACCAUGGCCCACCCCGCCCCGCCCCGCCCCGUUUGUUCCCAAAAAAAAAGGACUCGACCCGUACCCGCCUCGAACCUACAUUACAUGCCCCUAUCAGCGGUUCCUCUACCCGUUUGCCCACCCUUACUCCUCACCCUCACAAUGAGGAGAGGCCAAUUCUUAGGCCAUAAGCUCCCUCAUCCUCUCACAUCCCCUCACAUUACAGAGGUUCUCGCUCCCUCAGAAAUACAAUAAUCAGUGUGGACGUAGCCUAAACCUUGGGGUGAAUCACGAUACAUCUUGUGUUAUUUACAUUACUUGUAGAUUCACGGUCGGACUUACGUUGUUCCAAGACCUCCGGUUUUGUGCAUCAACAUUUGGUGCCGUCUGUGGGAAACGACAUAAAAAACUAUGUCGGUUUUCUUUCAUUUUUUCAUUAAAUCUCGCCACCGUUAAUCUGCAGAAACCAAGAACCCAACACCUCCCCAUCACGGCAACAGUUACGAACAAGCUUCACAAUUCUUAGAUCUCUCUCUCAAAGGAUAGCAUUCACAUUCAUUCUUUGCUUCCUUCUUUUAUAUCACGAGAUCCCCAUCUCGGCUUCUUUUAUAUCACGAGAUCCCCAUCAGAACCUCUUAUUCUUCUUCUGCUGCUUCUGGAGUUUUCAGCGUCUGUUUCUGCAAAGCUUCACUGUUCGUUCUUCUUCUUUUCGGAGCAGCUUCACACCCAUACAUUGCUGAGGAAGACGACGAUUCCGUGAAGCCCAUUUCGGAGCAGCUCGACCUCGACUCAUCGAUUCCGUGACUCGCUGAGUUGCAAAGCCAACAAGCCCAAUUUUCGAGAACUCGAUCCAGGUUCGCCCGUUUCACCUCUUCGGACUCGCCAGAGCGGCGACAUCGCCACUGCUACAAGUAGUAGCUCUAGCUUCCCAGGAUCGGUUUCCGGUCGAAAUGGGCCCAACCAAGUUACCAGAAGGGCCAAUUCAGCCCCUAACAACCACUCCGAUGAGUUAUCUAGCUCUAGCAAGAGCAGUCCCACCGCCGUCGAAAGCGUCCAAUCCGUCGGAAACACCCGCAUUUCAAACCGGGUAAUACAAGAUCCGAUUCGGGUUCCAUACACCCGCAUAUACACUCGGGUCAGAGCUCCGUGAGCUUUCCGCCGCCAAGUGUUUAGCCCACUGGGAACAUAUACCCAUCUAGAAAAAUCUUAUUUUCUUUUUCAGGGCUGCAGCCAGAUCCAGCUGAGGUGGAGAAGCCAACAGUAAAACGGAGACAAAGAAUAAGAAGAGGAAGAGGAAGUCGGUUUCAGACCUUGCUGGUGUCAUGAGGAUUCUUGACAUUUAUAGGCUUGCCGUCACGAGUUUCACUGGUGAUCUUGAACUCUGGUUUCACUACCUUGACUUUUGUAAAAGAACGACGAAAUGGUAGGAUCAAGGAGGUGGAGUCAAAACUGGCCUUCGUCUAUUGGAUUCACAAGAAGCAGGAAUCGUGUUGCUCAUGCAGGAACUAAUUAGUGCUCUUCUCGGGUACUUGUUAUUUUGUUUGUUCCCACCAAUAAACGAGGUGCCAUACAUCUCCCAACCAGCGAGGUGGAUAGGAGAACUGCUAAGGGGAAGUCCAUGGUUGCUACAUUCAAACAGUGUGCACGCUACUUGCAUCCUUUUUCCAAGUUCUGCAGGGAGAAGGAAUCCAGUGCAGUGCGCCUCCUCACAUGUUACGCUAACCUGGAAUGAUCAAAAGCAGAAAGCAAAAAAACAAAAGCAACCAGUAAAGCUACAGGAAAAGAAAGAAAAACACUAUGAUGGGAUUUUUUACAGCUUGUGUUCAAACAGCAGAAAAAGAAAAAUGAGGAGGCAUAUAUACCAAAGCUGCUUAUGUCGGUGCAAAUCUUGUCGGCAAGGCUGAAAGAAAAAUUCCCGAGGAUGACCCAAGAAACCCAGCUGUAAUAGUUGAUAAUUGUCUGCGCACUUCCUUAACCAAUACAGAAACGUUGUCUGCCAUCAGCCAAAAGAGAAAAGAGAAAGAAAAAGCAAGGAAUAAACACCCCACCAGAAUGAUGUGAUUUACUUUUCUUGGCAGAUGUAUGAUGUGAUUUAUUUUUCUUAUCUUUCGGAGACAUCUGUAUAAACCCCAUCAGAAGGUAAAAAAAAAAAAAAACGGCAAAGCCCAAAAUUAUAGGCUGGAAUGUUGUGUGGAUGGCGAAGGCCCAUAUGCCCAUAAGAGCCAGGCCCUCUAUUAUCACCAACCAGGUGAUCAAAAGUACGCCAGUACUUCACAAUUAUUCGGCAACCUACCGCUAUUACCACCAACCAGGUGAUCAAAAGUACGCACAGUACUCCAAAAUUAUUCGGCAACCUGCCGCUAUUACUACCAACCAGGUGAUUAAGAGUACGUCUAGUACUCCCAAAUUAUACAUGAGCAUUACUCAUGUCAAUCAUACAUAAACAUUCAUGAGCAUUACUCAUAUCAAUCAUACAUAAACAUUCAUGAGCAUCACUCAUGUCAACAUUCAUGAGCAUCACUCAUGUCAACAUUCAUGAGCAUCACUCAUGUCAACAUCCAUGAGCAUCACUCAUGUCAACAUCCAUGAACAUCACUUAUAUCAAUCAACAUAAACAUUCAUGAGCAUCACUCAUGCCAAUCAGCUUCAAAAGCUUCAUUUACAAAGCUCUAGCUUCAAAUGCUUCAUUUACAGAGCUCUAGCUUCAAAAGCUUCAUUUACAAAAGUUUUAGCUUCAAAAGCUCCAUUUACAGAGCUACAGCUUCAAAAGCUUCAUUUACAAAAGCUCUAGCUUUGAAAGCUUCAUUUACAGAGCUCUAGCUUCAAAGCUUCACCUACAAAGUUUCAAUGCAGGGUAUACAAAUACCGCCUCUGAACAACCACCACUUCGGCUCAUACAUGGAUUCAAUUUGAAGUCUCCAGCCAACAGACUUUAUUGACCGAAGACUUGGGGGACUACAUUAUGUACCAUAUAUUGGGCCUCAAUUGGGCCUCAUGAAAAAUACUUGGGGAACUUAGCCCAUCACUUAUGCAUUAAGGAACGAGCCCUUAUUUUAUAAAAGGGACUCCCUCACUUUCAUUAGAGAGCACUCAUGAAAAAUACUUGGGGGAUUCUAGCCCAUCACUUAUGUAUUAAGGAGCGAGUCCUUAUUCUAUAAAAGGAACUCCCUCACCAUCAUUAGAGAGCAUUAACUCUAGCCCAUCAUUCAUAUAUUGAGGAGCGAACCCUUAUUCUAUAAAAAGGACUCCCUCACCUUCAACGCCACAAGCCGAGCCAACCAAGGCAACAUAAGCCACGAGCCGAGCAGCCUCGCAACAUGUGCUACUUCUAGUUGAGCAUCAUUUCAGGUUGAGCACCGCCUCAUAUUGAGCAUCAGUUCAAGACAACAUCUAGUUACUUCGGCCCACACAUGGACUGAAUUUCAAGUUUCCAGCCAAAAGACUCUCUUGACUGAAGACUUGGGGGACUACUGUUUAUACCAUAUUUAGGGCCUCUGUAUUUAGAUCUCGUACAAAUACGCAGAGGACUUAAAUGUAAUUAUGUAAUAAAGGAAGGGGCAAAUAUGUAAUAAGUGAUGAGCCCUUAUUCUAUAAAAGGACUCAUCACCCUCACAAUGAGGAGAGGCCAAUUCUUAGGCCAUAAGCUCCUUCAUCAUCUCACAUCCCCUCUCACAUUACAGAGGUUCUCGCUCCCUCAGAAAUACAAUAAUCAGUGUGGACGUAGCCCAAACCUUGGGGUGAACCACGAUACAUCUUGUGUUAUUUACAUUACUUGCAGAUUCACGGUCGGACUUACGUUGUUCCAAGACCUCUGGUUUUGUGCAUCAACAAAUUGUUUGAUAUUUUAUGAGAUUUAUAAUCCUAUAAAUUUAAAAUCCCUCAUUAUAAUACUAUUAGAAACGGUUACAAUUAAAAAAUUCAAACAUUUUCAUUGAAUAAAUGGAUAAAAACUAUGUAAAAAUAAGAAAUAAUAAAUGGCAAAAGAAGGUAUCCAUAAUGUUAAAAAAAUUGGUACAUUUCACAUAUAACAAAGUGGUACAUUAAUAAAGAAGAAUGAGUACAUUAUAAAUAAAUUAGGGUACAUAUAAAAGAUUAAAAAAUUAUGAGUACAAAUGAAUUUUAAAAAAAUAUAGGCGCUAAAAGAAAUUAAUACAUAGGUACAAAAUAAAACUAAAAAGAAAAUACUACAAAUUUUUAAAAAAUGUUGUAAAUUAAAAGUGGGUACAAACUAAAAAUAUAAAUAUAUGAUAUAAAGUUUAGGCAUAAAACAUAAAUAUUCCAUAUGUAAUUUUUCUAUCAUUGAUUAAAUAUACAAUGUCACGUGACGGUAUACACAUGGGUACAAACACAAAUAAAACUUUAAAAAAUAUGGCACAAAAAGAAACUAAUAUAUGGGUACAAAUUAAAAAUAAAAAGAAAAUUGGUACAAAUUAAAAAACAUUUGCAAAUUAAAAAUAGGUACAAACUAAAAAUAAAAAUAUACGAUAAAAAAUUUAGCCAUAAAUAUAAAUAUACUAAUUGUAACAUUUUUAACACUAAAGGAAUAUAUUUAAAAAUAAAAAUAUUUUAUUAUUCAAAUAAUUAAUGAUGUUAUUAAUACCCAAGGACCUUGAUUAAAAAUUGAAAAUGAAUAUGAUUUUAAUCAAUGGAGUAACAAAAAGAAGGAUGUGAACCUAAUUUUCCCUUUUAUUAAAGAGAUAGUACAAAUGUGAUAUCUAUAAAUAAAUGCAUGUAUUUUAAUAUAAAUAAAUUUUAGAACACUACAAUAAGGAUAAGUGGAAUGCUCCUUUCUUUUCUGACAAAUUUCAUAGGUUCUAUUUUAAUUAAAGAGAUAGUACAAAUGUUGUAUCUAUAAAUAAAAGGAAAACUAAUGAAAAUGAUUUGAAAACUUUGAGUUUUAAUGAUAAGGACAAAAUAAAGGGUAAAGUGAAUAGUACCAUGAUUGAUUUUUUAGUGUAAAAAUGUGGUUUUUCGUUAAAGUGAACAGUACCGGGUGCUUUUUGUUAAAGUUCCCAUAAAUAAAUACAUGUAUUUUAAUAUAAAUAAAUUUUAGAACACUUCAAUAAGGAUAAGUAGAAUGCUCUUCUCUUUUCUGACAUAGUUUCGAAUUGAACAAAAAAUACGAUAAAAAAAGUCUACUAGAAACUAGAAAUAUUGAAAGAGAACGAGAGAGCACGUAGUUAUUAAUUCUCUGCUCGUGGAGUGCUAUACCAAAAUAUGACUUUUUAUUCCCAAGUUUGAACAUACGUACUUGAGCUAAGUUUUGAGUGGAACCUACAGGACCGACUGCAGCAACCUCCAUAACCACCGCCCCCCGGGGGGGGGGGCCACAAACCAGAAAAAAAAGCUGCCAAACCCUAUCAGCUAACCAACAAACCCCAAGCUGCCAAAGGAACAACAAAAAGUCCGGAUAAAAUAAAAAGUCGAUAUCAACCAUGUUGAAAAUAAACAAAAUCAACACGAAGAAUUUUUUUUUGAACAAAAAUCAACACCAAUAUAAUUACAAAGAAUUACGCAAAUUAUGAACUGUGAUGGCCAAUAAAUGUAUGAAAAUGUGUGUUGAUGUGAUCUAGGCCUAUUACUCAAUGAACACCGUUAGAUCGUAGUAAUAUUAACACUAUAUGCUAACCUUACAGAGGGGUGUCAAUAUUAAUUGUUCUUAAGGUUUAAGAAAUUAGCUCAUAUGUUGCAAACACACGGACAUAUCCAAUGUUAAAUAAAUAAAAAGAAGAGACGAGCAGUAUCUAUAGUAAUGUUACAUUAUUACAAAGGGGCACAAACAAUACAAGCUAAACGAGCAAUAUCUAUUACUUAGUACUAUGGUCUAUUGAUAUUUUUCUUUGCUUGUAAGUGAGAAGUCUUAGGUUCGAUUCUUGUCAAAGGCGAAUUUGAACCACAUUAUUAUUAGUUCAUUGUGAGGCUUAGUCUACUCUCUCAUCUUCUUAAUGUACAUAAUAUCAUUUGUUAAAAAAAAUAGCAAUAUUUGCUUUUGCUUUUUCUUUUUCCAUAAAAAGAAAUUGAUGAGACAUUGUUCUCUUUAUAGCUUCCUGAACAAAAGACGAAUGCCAUGUUCUGCUUCUAUAACCAAUCUAAGAGAAGGUUUGUGUUUGGAGAAAGCGAGAAGAAAAACUUGGACAAUAUGAGAGAUAUGAGAACCUCCAGUUCAGCAAUAGCAAAUUUUGUCUAAUACACAUUAGUGGUCCGACCCCGAACGACAUGUACAACUGAGGAAGCUUGCAAGCACCUGCAAUUCCAUUCGCAAAUCUCUACGGGUUGAAUCUGGUCCCCAAAUUCCCGGAUCAGUAUGUUGUGUUAGCGGUCCAAACAUAAUGUCCCCAAAUUUCAUGUCCGCGAAAGCCUCUCUUGAUACCACGGUAGUCAGGGGAUGAAGGUGCAGCGAUUCAUGAAUCACCACUGUCAGCUGAACAUUGCAAAAAUUAGAUAAUGAUUUAGACAUGACGAGCUGGUGAAAAGAACGACAAUACUCAAACCGUACUAUUGCUCCCUUACUAAAGCGUAGACAAAAGUACCGUGGCUAAUAUCACUUCAACCGACUUUUUGACUAUUAGGCACCGUUUCCAGUCCUAAUUAACAUCCACCUACGGAAAAGUAGUAACAUUCUUCUGUGGCGAUUGCUGUUUUAUGUGCAGUGACUUCAAUAAGUUCAUAUAAUUGAAUGAAAGGUCAAAUUUUUUUUUCGUAAUCUCUGUGGUGACACGCCACUUUUGAUGUGACUCUCGUGAUGAAAAGCUUUUAAUUAAACCUUCAUAGUGGGCCUUGUUAGCAAUUGAGAUCCAAAUCCAAAUUUUCAUUAGUCUUCCGUUAAAUAAACUCACGUGACUAUCACAUGAAGGGUCAACUUCGUCAUUUCAAUCCAAAUUACAUCUUAUUCAAUGGAUAUAUAGUAUAAUUUAGGGUUUAACUGAAAUUAGAUUUUACAGAAAAUAAAACAUAAAAAAGCUUGAACGCGAAGACUGAAACUAAACCUAUAAAACCACGUCAAUGGCUAGGAGAAGAGGUGAAGGUGAAGUCACACCUAAUUUCUUAGGUAUGAUUUAAUUUCGUUUGGAAAUCCUAAUACUUCUAAUAUACCAUUUGUUUUUUUUUUCAAUGCCAACACGUCUUUGAUCAUGAGUUAUAAUCUUACUCUUACUUGAAUUUUCAUUCUUGUAUCAAUUUGUACCAGUUUGAAUGCAUAAAUGCCUUUCAGUUUUGUCUUUAAUUGGUAAUGUGGUUUUAUGCAUGCCCUAGUUGGCCAAUACACAACCUUUCAAUUUUUUCCUUAAUCUUUUUUGAAUUUUAAUUCUUUAAGUUUCUUACGCUCUUGAAGUUCAUAUGCAGAGGGCAGACCUGAAGAUUGAAUUUUCUGCAAUGCCUUUCACUCAUUGUCUUUAAUUUUACGAUGCCUUUCACCUGUCUGAAUGCCUAUAUACUGCAUUUCACCCAUUGUCUUUAACUCUCUAAGUUAAUUAUUCUUGUGCAUAUGUGAUUUUUCUGCAUUAUAUAGGUUGAGAUACGUGUGCUAUUAAAUUGGGUGAUGGUUAGUGACGGUGGAGGAGGCCCACUAGUGGCUAUGGUGGUGGCUAGGAGCUAUGAGAUGAGAUAUGGGAACUGUUGGGUUUUUUUAUCUUUACAAGUUUCUUUUAUUUGUAAUUUUAUUUUAAUUCACGUUUUUGUCUUUUUAUUUUUCAAAAUAAAUAAACUUAAUUUUGACCGAUCCACAGGUGAUAGUCACAUGAUUUUAUUUAACGGAAGACUAAAGGAACUUUGGAUUUGGACCUCAAUUGCUAAUAGGGCUCACCACAUGAGUUUAAUUAAUAACUUUUUCAUCAUAAGGGUCACAAGUCGCGUGUCACCACAGGGACCACAAAAAAAUUUUACAUGUCAUAACUAGUUAAUAAAAAAUAUACAAAUGUUAAGGAGACUCCAUAAGAAGUGGGACUCCUUAUAGACUAUCUGUCACCUCAUGUUUUUUGCACAAUGUUUUAUAAUGUUGGCACGAGAAAUAACAUUAAACCAUGAGGUGGUAGAUAAUCCAUAGAGAGUCCCACUUUGAGAGAGUCCUUAGCAUUUCUCUAAAAAAUAUAUACAUGUUUCAUCUGAAGAAGCAGGUGAGGUAAUUUUGAUUUGAAAUUUACAAUUUUGUCCCUUUAUAAUUAAAUUGCCUUCUACAAAAAUUUAAAGAAAAGGGGGAUAUGUUUUGGUAUUUUAAAAGUUUCAAUUUUUUUUUUUUGAAGGUAAAACUGAUUUCAUUCAAGUAAUAUAUGAACACUUCAUAAAAAUUUCAAAAUUGCCUGCGCUAGUUAUUAAAAUCUUUUUGGCUUUGAGGUCAUGGAGGCAAGCUAGUGAUAACAUGUCAAUACAUAAUUGGCAGUUCCAUGGGAACCCUUGACUGUCUAUGUCCUUUCACAACACCCAUGUACUAAUAUAUACACAAAAGUCUCAACCUAGCUGGCCACAGAUGAUCAAAGUCAGGUAUAGUACUGUAAUCUGUAACAUAGUAUGGUGAGGUUCAAUACAUGAAAUCAAAGACAAAGCCGUAUAACUAAGAAAAAAGGUCCCAUCAUUUUUGUGAAUGGGUACCUAUUUGCAACCAACAUUAAGUGGAGAUGCCUAACACUUUGAUUAAAAUCUAUGUUUUGUAUAUAUGAUCUGAACGGAAUUGAAGAUUUGGCAUGUGCCAUUUGCCUCAUGCACCAACACAUCUUGGUUCUAUUUUUAUUAGAUAGGUGGUACAAAUGUGCAAUGGCGGAUUUAGGAUUUGAAUCUUGGGCGGUCCCAAUGUUAAAGGUCCAAGUUUUUUAGAUAGAAACAAAGCACAAAGCAUGCAAAAACAGUUUUAGUUUAUUCACUGAGGCAUUUCGUCAAACAUUUGAUGAGCGAUAUCGAGAAAAUUUAUCGAGUGUUGUCUACGCAACCUGUCAAGUGUAGUCCGCGCAAUCUAUCGAGAUAUACUUAGCAGGUAUUACAUCAAACACUUGGUAGGUACAAAAGGACCCGUACAAAACAUUCGGAAGGUCAUCGGAAGACCUUAACAUGUAUAUUUUAUGAACACGGGGACCACCUAGGUCCCAGUGUGCAUCCGCCUUUGCAAAUGUGGUAUCUAUAAAUAAAUGCAUGUGUAUAUAUAUGAAUUUUAUCCCAAGUUUGAACAUACAUACUCGAUCUAAGUUUCGAGUAGAACCCACAGGAUCGGCUGCCGUAACCUUGAAUUUUUCCUCUGACAAAAAAAUUUUAAGUUCCCACUUUGAUACGGGACUACACACAGUGAUCAGCUAGCAUAACACUAUACAUAUGGGCAAUCUGCUAACUACCAAGAAAAUAAAAUUACCAAAAGUCUCCUAUUGCAUGUGAGAGUUCAGAGAAUUAGGGCAGGUUUGCUUAUGGAGCUUCUUCAGUUUGAUGCGAAAAUGUUGAUGUCCCUUGUGUUUCUAGGGUUUGUAGGGUUGUUUGUGCGGUUGUAUGAUGGGCUUGUUGCGAAGCCGAAGAGGCUGAGGUCCUUGCUAACUAAGCAAGGCAUCAAUGGACCUCCACCAACUCUUCUUCUGGGAAAUAUUAUGGAGAUAAAGAAGGCUCGAGGCUCCAGCAAUUCUACCAGUGGACUAAUCCCCAGCUCUCACAAUUGCGCUGCUCUUGUCUUUCCAUUUUUUGAGAAGUGGAGGAAGCAAUAUGGUAUGCAUACGUAAAUUUAUAUAGAGUAUACCAUUUUUAGCAUACGUAAAUUUAUAUAGAGCAUACCAUGUUUAGCAUACGUAAAUUUAUAUAGAGUAUACCAUGUUUAUGACCAAGAUCUCCUCAACAUAUAUAUACAAGGAACAUUUACAUGUAAAGGAUGUAUGUAUCCCUUUUGUCUCUAUCUUACUCAUUACGUUUCAAAAAUAAAUGGAUACAUACCAUCUCCGGGACAGGAAAGUGUUUUUCUUCAUAUGCAUACACAACAUACAUACAUGCAUUUUUUAGUAAAAUAUCCGUACAUACAUUAUGUUACUUACAAGAAAUGCUAAAGGAACUCUCUACCAUCUUAUAUUUUUGUCACAAUAUUUUAUAGUUGUUGAUAUAUAAAUUAACAUUAGAGUAAACUGUCAUUUAACCCCCUGAACUAUCACGUGAGUUUCAAUUUCCCCCUUGAACUAUUUUUUUAGCCAAUUGACCCCCUAAACUAUGUUAAAGUGGCCAAUUAACCCUCUACCGUUAAGUAUCUUUAACUCCAUCCAAUUUUCUGUUAGAAAGUGUCAUGUGCUUGGCACAUGACCACCUUUUUACAUUUUAUGUCUAAAUCUUUACAAAGAAAACAUAUAAAACAAAUAUUAAAAAAAAAAAAACUUACAAACCCUAAACUUAAUCAUUCAAAAUAAUAGAAAAGGUAAGGCUUUUUAUAUUAACACUCCACAAAAUGUUGAAUGCACCCCAUAUUAAAAUUUAAUAUUAAAUGACUUAUUUACUCCACUAUGCAAUGACAAUUUUGACCUUAUUAGGUUUUAAAAAAAAAUUAUAAAUACACUACAAAUCACUUUUAGCGUAUUAUUUAUCUUCUCAACUAUCAAAACCCUCUCAUCCUCCAUUGUUGAACAAAAUCCUAACCAAUGAAACUACAAACAUGUUGAUUGAGAAAAAUUGUUUUCGAUGAAUGAAACACGAAAUCGAUGUUUCUGAAGCUUCACAUGAGGUAAGACUUCACAUUUUUCAUUGUUUUAGUGAUUUCGAUGACAUCGAUAAUUAUUUAAUCUUGCGUUUGCUGCAUUAUUUUUCAAUAUGAACCCUAAAAGAUGAAUAUGAAUAUGAAUAUGAAUAUAUAAGUUUAAAUAAUGCAGCAAACGCAAGAUUAAAUAAUUAUCGAUGUCAUCGAAAUCACUAAAACAAUGAAAAAUGUGAAGUCUUACCUCAUGUGAAGCUUCAGAAACAUCGAUUUCGUGUUUCAUUCGUCAAAAACAAUUUUUCUCAAUCAACAUGUUUGUAGUUUCAUUGGUUAGGAUUUUGUUCAACAAUGGAGGAUGAGAGGGUUUUGAUAGUUGAGAAGAUAAAUACUACGUUAAAAGUGAUUUGGAGUGUAUUUAUAUUUUUUUUUAAACCUAAUAAGGUCAAAAUUGUCAUUGCAUAGUAGAGUAAAUAAGUCAUUUAAUAUUAAAUUUUAAUAUGGGGUGCAUUCAACAUUUUGUGGAGUGUUAAUAUAAAAAGCCUUACCUUUUCUAUUAUUUUGAAUGAUUAAGUUUAGGGUUUGUAAGUUUUUUUUUUUUUAAUAUUUGUUUUAUAUGUUUUCUUUGUAAAGAUUUAGACAUAAAAUGUAAAAAGGUGGUCAUGUGCCAAGCACAUGACACUUUCUAACAGAAAAUUGGAUGGAGUUAAAGAUACUUAACGGUAGGGGGUUAAUUGGCCACUUUAACAUAGUUUAGGGGGUCAAUUGGCUGAAAAAAUAGUUCAGGGGGGAAAUUGAAACUCACGUGAUAGUUCAUGGGGUUAAAUGACAGUUUACUCUUAACAUUAAACUGUGAGGUGUUAUAGAGUCCAUAGAGAACCACUUUUGAGAGCCCUUGACAUUUCUCGUUACAAAAUCUCAGUUAAGAGAACAGAACUAGACAACUGUGUAAAAAACUUUUCACUAGCUAGGAAUAUGUAAACUUUUCGCUUUGGGAAAGAGACCUUCUUGGGCCAAAGGCUUUAACAUGCAUACAGUUAAUUACUUUCUUUACUGGGAAAUGAUUUGUUCACAUCCAUUUUCUACACUUGUCUAUUUCUGUCUCACUUUAUGUUAAAUUAAUUAUUCGCAGGUGAAGUAUUUGCGUUUGCACUUGGCAACACACAAAUAUUGUGUGUGAACCAACCAGAUGCAGUGCGAGAGAUAACAACAUGCACGUCCUUAGACUUGGGGAAGCCAACAUAUCAAUUUAAAGAGCGAGGUCCUCUGCUAGGUCAAGGUAUUUUAACCUCAAAUGGCCCCUCAUGGGUUCACCAACGCAAAGUGAUUGCUCCUGAACUAUACAUGGACAAAGUCAAGGUAUUUCUAUAUAUAAUUAUAUAAUACUCAUGGAAAAUUAAUAUCACCAUGCAGAGAUGAUCGUUACCUUGUGAUUGAAUUGUGGUAACUGAUCGUGCAGGGAAUGAUUAACCUAAUCACAGAGUCUACAACUACCCUGGUAAAUUCUUGGAACAGUAAGAUUGAAACAGCCGAAGGAGGAAUUGCUGAGAUAAAAAUUGAUAGCUACAUGAGAAGCUUCUCUGGUGAUGUUAUCUCAAGAGCUUGUUUUGGAAGCAACUAUUCCAAAGGAGAAGAGAUAUUUCAUAAACUAAGAAAUCUCCAGGAGGCUAUGUCCAAGAAAGUCUUUUCCACCGGAGUUCCUGGGAUGAGGUACUUCGCCUAAGGUUUUUUUAUUUACAUAAUUAUAUUUAUUAGAGCAAAUUGAAGUGUUAUUAGUUUGGAAAGUAGAGUUUUGUCAUUGAACAAACAAAUAGUAUUUACAUAAUUAUACCCGAGUUUCAAUUUUUCUCAUAAUAUAAUAUUCAAUUCGUUAGCCCUUACUUCUAACGAAGGUAGCUAUAGCUUUAUACAAGACAAGGGUAGACAAUGUCUUUUUAAAAACCUAAUUACAGUGUUAUGGGAAUUGAUAAGGUAUAUUAAAGACUCAGUUCCGCUUCUUAUGAAAGCAGAAUUGUUGUUUGGAGACCAUUAUUGUUUAAAUAAUCUAAACAUCUUUUGGUGAAAAAACCAAUACAAAACGAGGCCUUCGUCAAAAGUCCUAGAUGUAGUCACCCUAAGCAUUGUGUUAAAGUGCUAACUCAGACCCCUUAAGCAUUGCUAUACGUGUAACAUUAUAUUGAUCUUAAAUUAGUACCUUUAGAUCCCCAUAGUCUUAAAUAAUUGCUAUAUUUUUGAAGACUUCUUCCCACAAAGAGCAACAGGGAAGCUUGGGCAUUGGAAAAGGAGGCCAGCACUUUAAUACUUCGAGUAGUGAAGGAAAGGCAGGCAGCAGGAUAUGAGAAAGACCUGUUGCAAAUGAUUCUUGAGGGUGCUAUAAACAGUGACCUCAGCCAAGAGGCUACAGAUCGAUUCAUUGUUGAUAACUGCAAAAACAUAUACUUGGCCGGCUAUGAAACCACGGCGGUUUCCGCCACGUGGUGCCUCAUGUUGUUGGCUUCAAACCCAAAAUGGCAAGAAAGUGUGAGAACAGAGGCCCUUCAAGUUUGCCAAGGCUGUAUUCCGGAUAAUGAUAUGAUUCCUAAGAUGAAACAGGUAUGGCGUUUCACAUGAUUAAGAUAUAUAUGUGUGUGUGUGAGUGUGUGUGUGUGUAUCAUAUAAGCACUUAUGGAAAAAUGAGAAACAACCACUAAGAAAAGACGUAGUUGUUGCUGAAGUAGCUAAUACUAAAAGUGUGCUACUACAGAACAAGUCACACUUUUGUACUUUUGUCACGUUUUUUGUAUCAGCUAUCUUGUGAUUUGUAACUAGUGCCCCUUUUCUUGUAAUCAGUUUUGAGGAGUAAUUAAUAAUUAUUAGUUAACUAUCUAUACUCAAUAUGUGACAUAUUAUGGAAUUUUUGUUAGCUGUUAGUUUGUGAAUCAUGACUAUAUUGGCUUGAUUAACUUUUUAACCUUGUACAGCUCACAAUGGUGAUUAUCUUUAACUAUAUGUGUAGUCAAUAUAUAUGCACUACUUAGUGUUGCCAUGUAAAUUAGAUUAACACAUUUAAACCUGUGCAGCUAACUAUGGUGAUUCAUGAAUCACUGCGCCUAUAUCCUCCAGUUACCGUGGUGUCAAGGGAGGCCUUUAAGGACAUGAAAUUUGGGGACAUUAACAUCCCAAAGGGUGUCAAUGUUUGGACCACAGUGGCAACCCUACACACUGAUCCAGAAAUAUGGGGCCCAGAUGCCUAUGUGUUCAACCCAGAUAGGUUUGCAAAUGGGAUUACAGGCGCUUGCAAGCUUCCACACGUGUACAUGCCAUUUGGGAUGGGACCCCGAGUGUGUCUUGGACAGAACUUGGCCAUGGUUGAACUCAAGAUUCUGAUAGCUCUCUUAGUUUCCAACUUCUCCUUCUCACUCUCUCCCAAGUACAGACAUGGACCUGCUCUUAGAUUGGUUAUAGAGCCUGAGCAUGGAGUCGAUCUCCUAGUGAGGAAGCUGUGAACUUAAAAAGAUUAUGAGCAACUUAUUAUUUCUUUUAGGUUUUAGUUUGCUCACUUGUUUAAGCCUGUAUUUGUUUUCCCAAAUAAUAUAUCCAUGAUCGGUUAGCCCAGAUGGUGGGGGCUAGUUUUAACUUUCAAGCUAUGUAAAAGUUCGAUUUCAAAUUUCGAUAGGAAUUUGGGAUAAAGUAUUUUAUGUUGCCUUUAUAUUUUGGCUACUGUGUAUAGGGCAAGGUCUAAAAUAUCGAUAUUAUCCCGAUAUUUUCAUCGAAAUUUUCGUGUUUUUGAACUACCGAUAUUUCCGAUAUCAUCGAUAUUUUAGACCUUGAUAGGAACUCUAUGUGGUACUAAGUCAUUUAUGUAUCUUACCAUGCAAUGUAUAAAGUGUAAAAUAUUGUACUAAUUCAUUAUAUACAAAUGAUUAUGGUGUGUUUAAACUUCUUUCAUUAAUUACUACAUAUUUUCUACACUCACAAUGUUUGCCAGCUCGCUAUAUAAUCAACUUAAAUCAGUUAAAUCCAUCAUGCAAUGCAUUUCCUUCCAUUUUUUUUUUGUGAUAAACUAAUAGAUAAUUGACUAAAUAAACACCCUGCAAAGUUUCAAUAAAAAAUUUCAAGUUUUUCUUACAAUUUCCGUGGUUUUUAUUCAAUUUUUAUCGAUAUCGAUAAUAUCCCGAUAUUUCCAUCGAAAUUUCCGUUUUUUGUUACUAACGAUAUUUCCGAUAUCAUCGAUAUUUUAUACCUUGGUAUAGGGUUUGUUUGAAAGUAUUUUAAUAAAGAGUUGAGAUAAUAAAAAACGCUUUGACAAAUUAAGUCAAAAGAGUUUAUGAAUUACAGAAGCAUAUUUUAGUGCCGAUGAAAGCAAAAGCUUCAUAGUGAGUUAAUUCAUGAUAUAACUUUGAUUUCUAAUUAAUUAUUUGACAUGCUUCUGAUAAAAGUGUUUUCAACUAAAACACAUAUGAGCGUUUUCACUACGACAUUUGGCAUCUUAUUAUAAUUCCUCAUACUACUAUUGUUCAGUGUUCACAUGACAUACACCGGGAAACAAAUAUGGCAACUAAAAGCUUCACUACUAUUUGCCGUUCUUAUAAAUUCCUCAUUACUCGCACACACCAGGGAACAUUACAAGCCUAAUCAGAUUUAAAAUUUUAAAGAAAAUUCGACGGUACAAGUGAAUUUUAUUAAUAAACAAAACAUACACGAUUGGGGGGACGUAGUCAGCUUUACCCCUCAAAAUACACAUCUAUACAUAAACAAUCACCAAACAAUAAAAAGAUAACCAACUCACAUACCAAACAACAAA
rnacentral:lncRNA from 1 species